UUAUUUAUUUAUCUUAGGGACCAUAUAUACACAUUGCUUAUUAAUCACAUAAUAAAUAUCCUUGUACAUUUCUCAUUAGUACUGGCUAUUUUGGAAGGAUCCAUCUAUAUAUGGUGCACAAAUUUUUUUAUUUUUUUUUGCUAUUUGUUUUUUUCCUCUCUAUGUACAGCUUCCUAAGAUUGGUUCUAUUACUAGGGUUUUCAAGAGGUUUGGAAUUAAACAGGAAACCCAGUAACCAUUGUGGAGAUCAAAAGCUCAAUUCAAACUUCAGGAAUUUUCAGAGGUUUGUGUGUAUUUAAUUUCUAUAAAAGGUUAGGUUUUGUUUUUCUUUUAAUAUGCUCUUCUUCUCUCUUUUCUCAGUUCAUUCUCUUAUAUAUCUAAACAUGAUCUCAUGCCUUGCUUUUUCAUUAUUAAAACUGUUUUCUGAUUUUUAAUCAAGGUUCUGAAUCAUUUGUGCUUGGAAAUAAUCAUGUUUUCUUUCUGAGAUAUUAAUGUGGAAACCUACUUUUGUAAACCUUGACAAAUUGAUUCAGCAAUUAUUACUUGAUUUAGGAAAAACACUUUUUAGUUUAGAUGAUUACCCUUUUAGUUUAGAUUAUUUCUUUUCUGAUCUACUGAAAUGUUUAGGCUAGCUAUCAAGGAAAAGUAGAACGCAGUAGAGAUGCUUCUUUUAUAAUUAAUUUACUUUGGGUAGAUAUUAAUUAAUUGUUCUAACAAGGGCUAAAAUUAAACCUCAUUAUGAACAACUGUGACAAAUUGUUACAACAGUUGAACUUUGCAAUUAACUACUAUGUUGGUUUUUAAAUGUCUUUAUAAUUACUUCGAAAGGCAAUUUAGAAAGUUCGUGCCAGAAACUCGAAGAUAUAUUUGUCUUUGAUAGAUAAGUGGCUAGGAACUUUCUUUGAGUCCUCUUUUAUUGUACUUUUUCUAGAAAUUUACAAUAUAUAGUUUCUUUGACAAAUUAAAUUCUGGAUCUAUUGGUACUUUCAUGAAGUAUAACCUGUAUAUCUCUAUUUGUUUUCGGAUUAGAAAGUCUUAAUUCAAUGCAAGAUAGGAUCGACCAAGCGAAUUUGCAGUAAACUGCAAAAUCCUUAGCUUGUUAAUUUAUUUUUAGAGAACUAAUAUUGGUUUUACUCUUGAGAUUAUCUCCUUCACCAAUCAAUGUGGAUGAUUAAUUAGAUAUUUCUCCUUGUUGGAUAAUCCCAUCACUCACUUGGUCUCUCUCUCUCUCUCUCUCUCUCUCUCAGUACUGUGAUCAGCUUUUUGUAGCACUGUAUCAUAAUUCUUCUUAGCUAAAUUCCAGUUUACUUUUCUGUAAAUUAAUCUUGGUUUUUAUUAUAUUUGUUUUUAAUAUGACCAUAAACUGCUGUUUUUUUUAAUGGUUAAAUACAAAAACUUACUCUUUUGCAAUCAAAAUAGGAAAAUUUGUUUAACCACGGCCGACAACAAUUUCAUUAAUUCUCCCAAUAUAGAAGAUGAAAAUUAGUGUUUGGUUUGCAUUUAUUCCGUCCUUUAUUUUCCUUACAAAUAAGCUUAUUUAGGUACUUUAUAAUGGCUUCAGAAGAUCUAAUUGGAGGGUAUGAAAGAGCUUCCUUCAGUCCACUCAUGGAUGGUUGUGGGGUUUGAAUUCGCUGCCGACUCAUUCAAUCAAACACUCGGUAGAAACAACAAUUCAAGCACGCUCAGUAGAAUCAAUGGAAUUGAUCCUCUAUUGAAGGCACGCACAAAAGUGGAACCAGACCUCAGUUACUGAGUGAAUGAGUGAAUGAUGCGGGAGAUUAUUCUCUCCUUCUCAUUCCAUGCUUGGACUGAAGGGAGCUCCCUCUUUCUCUUCUGUUGGACCUUCUUCACUAUUUUUCCUUCUUUUGCUUGAUCAAUUACAUCAUCGGAUAACACAUCGCUCUCUUUUGCUUUUUUUCAAAUCCUAGUUGAUUUAUAUUUCUAGCUAAGUUUAUUUCUUUAAGAAAUAAACGAAGCGGGUAGCAUGUUAUCUUUCUCUCUCAAUAAAAAAAAAAGACAUCGCUCUUUUUUUAUUUCUUCACCGUUUUAAGUUAGUGGUUUUUUUUUUAUAAUUACAUCUCUUAUCUAUUGUUGCUUCUUUCGCUAGUUAAUUAAGAAACUUCAUAGGUGUUAUUACUAGAUGAGCCUUAUCUUAGUCUAGGUAGAAUAUGACAUAUCUGCCGGAACCGAUCACGUAUAUAAAAACACCUAAUUAAAUAGUUCCCCCAUUAAUUAAUUAGGUAGAUCUCAGAUAUUAUUUCCAUGUCGGUCGUCUUCGGUAUAAUUCACCAUAGACGAGGCAAAGGCAAGAAUAAAUUAAUUUGGCCCCAUUAGUAUAUAUCAAUGCUUCACAUUUUUUGUUAUUAUUUCAUGUGGAACUAAACUUAUUACGCGUAGGUAUACAGCUGACUCAUUUUAUAGAUGCGCAAUAGAUUCUUUAUUUAUUUCCAAUUAAUUUUCCUUCAUAAGUAUAUCGAGUUAUGUUCAUGAUCUAUUUGUUGAAUCAUCGGAUAAUUAAAACAAAUUGUCCGGUAAAACCAGCCGAAGUACAAAGUUCGCAAAGCGACGAACUCCAAGUACUUAGGUUUCUACAUGGCAGAUCUCGAAUAUUUUUCACUUGUCUUAUCAUUUAAUAUAUAAGGUAUUAUACAGUAGAUAAUGUGAGUGGAAUUCAUUCAACGCAAGUACUUCGGUUCGCUGAAUUUUUUUCUUAUAUAUCAUACAUAUAAAAUCCUUUAAAACCUGCAUUAUUUUCUACGUGGGAGCUAUUUUUUCACACGCACAUAAUCCAAUGAUAUUCAUCUUUGCAUAUCAAAUUUUAAUCAUGUUAUUAUUUAUUUUUCUUGUGCUCAACUAUAUGGCCAAGGAAUCAAAGUAGUGGAGCCUAACAUUUGGAGCUAAGCUAUGGAUCACUGUGCAUGUCUCAUAUCUAAGUUGGUGACAAACUUUGAGUUACCCGGGCCAUUGAACCUUGCAAUACUCCCAACUAGUUCAAAAUCAAUUAGCAUCAUUUGAUGUGAACAAAUCAUGGAACUUUUGGCUCUGAUACCAUUUCCGGGUCGAUGGAUGCGACACGUCGUUUCGAACCUAUCCAUUUCGAACCUAUCCAUCCGAAAAGCUUAAGCCUAUAGCUAGCUAGAUACAAUUAAUGCAAUUAGAUGCAUCAACCCUUAGGUGCAAAUUUUAGUUAUCUUCAACUAGUGGCUAGUGCACCCGCACCCACCCAGGAAUCCCGUAAAAGUUGAUGUUAUUUUAUUUGUGUUAAGGAUUUAACCCCUGCUAUAAUUGUGAUUCUAAUCUUUCUUUUGAUCACAAUGACUCCAACUGCGGCUUCUUGGAACUUGGAUUGGUUUUUAAAUAUGCAAUUCCUCUUUAUCUUCUGGUCAAAGCAUGCAGGGAAUACCAAUGAUGCACUCUUUAAUUUGAGUUGUUCAAACUCCCACUCAAACUGAUGUAGACACCCACUUCAUGCGUUUGUAUAUAUUUACCUGCAAAUGCACAAGUAUAUAUACACAUAUCAGAGAGAGAGAGAGAGAGAGAGAGAGAGAGAGAGAGAGAGAGAGAGAGAUACAUAGAUAGUUAUAAAUGAAAGCAUUUCACUUCGACAUUGUCUACAUAUAUAAUAAAAGCUUAUGCAAAAGCCUAUCUCUAGCUUGUGCUUUUUGGUCUGAAAAGCUUCAAGUAGAGCAGAUAUUACUGUUUACCAACAGUGAAAGUACAAAACUUUCAGGUUUAUUAUUUUUAUAUUAGUGACCUCAUGUGUUGUUUACUUGUUUGCAGUGUAAAGAUUUUUCUUUCUUUAAAAAAAGAUUUGGUGUACAAUAAUAUUAUUUUGGUACUUUCUCUAUGUAUCCCUUCAUUAAACACUGUUCCCUCUUCAGCAAUUCCCAGAAGGGUGUGAAGAAAACAUAAAGAGAGGGUUUAUUUUAUACUCUUUUUUUAUUUCCCUCAAGUAGCAUGUUAUUCUUAGAUUAUGUUGUGGAAGUACAAUUACAUCAGUAUUUAAUGUUUAUGCUGAGGUGUAUCUUCUGAAAAUGUGUAAUAUAUAAUUCCCAUUAAGUACUGUUUUGUCAGCAUAAUUAUUAUCUUUUUUUGUGCUUGUGUGUGUUUUUGGCGUACUCUUUGAAAUAGGUUCUAUUUCAAAUGGCAUUGAAGUACCCUUCAAAAACUUCAUUUUACUGGAGAUUUAAAGAUGGUAAGUUAGGGUAUGAGAUCUUCUAAAUAUGGAAAACUUGCUUGUGUAGGGCUUAAGUUUAUGUAGGCUCAGCUAUGUAAGGGAAUGGCCAAAUAUGGAAAGAGAUUAUAUAUAUAUAUAUAUUGAGACUAUAUAUUUGAAGAGAAGUAAUGUUAAUUUAUAUGCGUGUGUUAGUUCAUGUGGGUGCCGUAUAUAUACGGUGGCCUCUCAGAUGCCUGUGCAUUUUACUAACAAGUUGCGUUUUAAGUACUCUUUUAACUCUUUCGUUUUAUUGUUCAUUAGGAUUUAUUAGAGUUUCCCUACAAAGCAGCUUAAUUAAACAUCUCCUUUACAUCAAUUCAUGUAUUUAAAUCCUCGUUUCAUGUGUAAACGCCUCGCCUCAGAGUUUUUUUAACUUUGUUUUGCCUCUCUUUUAUAUAUCUUUCGCGAGCUACUGACAUGAUAUUGGUUACGUACGCUAUAUACAUAAUUUUUCAAUAUCUCUCAUUAAUUUUGUCCUACUUAUAUAGCUUUAUUGCCUGUGUUUCAAGAGCGUUUGGAUCGAUGUAAUUGCACUUGGACUAGCUGUUUUAAACCGUGAUUACGCAAUUUCUGUUGUUGAGCACAAUAAUAUUAAUGUUGAGAAAUUUUGCUAUACGUGAAAGUUUAAAGUCGUCUUUCAUAAACAGAUCCAAAAAAAAAAGCCUCUUGUUCUCAUGACUACCCUAAAAUUUGUAUAAAAUUUUAUUCAUAUGUACCAGUCUGGGCUAUGGAUAUAAUGAUUUAUCUGCGGUUUAUCCUAUCUGCCCGUUUGUCAGGUAUAUAUAUAUAUAUAUAUAUAUAUAUAUAUAUAUAUAUAUAUAUAUAUUGACAGAUACAACAUUGUGCUCUAUUACUGAGAAAGUUAACGCACUUUUUACAUUCUUCCAAAUAUUCAUUCAUAAGCCCGUAAAUAGGUCCAAAUCUUGCACUCCACUUAUCCUCGGAUUUAAAAAUUUUUUGUGGGUCUUUAGUAUUAAAACUAACUAACAAGAGUAGCGAGAGAAUAAUAGUCUCUAGGAUGAAUUGUGUGUAAAUUUUACCACUAUAAAUAUUUGUAUAUGUAGCAUUGCGCGUGCAAGCAUAAUGACAUGAUGAGACAUAAUUAGCUGAUGAUGGUAGAGUUUAUAAGGUUAUCCUCUUUGAAUGCACGACUUUUGUCGCAGCUCAUUUUUUUCCACAGUGGUUGUGGAAUGGUGAGCGUUGGGGACGUGAAUUUCAGAAUGGUUGGUUGAAGGUUUUCUGCGUAGCCGAGGCCGCGCUGCCGACGAUGUUCCUUGGGAAUGUUUGGUUGCCUGCUGUGAGCCGACCACCGGCGGUGGAACUCACUAUCACCUCCCCGCUUUCUAUGGUUCAGCGCAGCCUUCAGCGACCUUUUUCUUAUGUAUAUGGAUAAUGCUGUUAUAUAUUAUUAAUGUGUUACUAUAUAUACCUGAUAUAAAAAUUUUAGGAUAAAUUUUAAUAUAUCUCUUUAUCUUUAGUUCUAAUCUUACUUCUCUUGGCUGUAUAUAAGUAAUAAAGUGAUGUUUUACUUUAUUACUUUGCUGUAUUGUGGCUGCAAAAAAUAUCACAUUGCUAUCCAGUUUAACAAUAAAUUUUUAUUGUAAAAUAGAAAUAAAACUAUAGAAUAGUUAAAUAUUAUUUUUUGAAUCGUGAAAUGAUUAAGUAAAAAUGAGCUAAAUCAUGACGGCUCAAAUUAAAGUUUGUACAAAAUUUUAAUUAGUUUAUGUUCCAUCUUGUAUUUAAGUGGAUAGUUAAAUUAGUAAGAAUUAGAAGUGUGAUUAAUGGCUGCACCACACAAGAUAUAUCCAAACUAAUCUUAUUAUGCCAUAUAGAAUGAUAAAAAGUCAAACAGAAAAUAAUAUAAUAUUUAUUCGCAUAUCAAAUAACAGUGAUGGAAGAGACUUUUGCCCUUGAAUUGGCCCUUUCAUUUUCAAGGGUGAAAAAUACUAAUGACAAUUGCGCAAUCACUUGUUAGGGAAGUUACAAGAAUAUCCCCGAUUUUGUGCUUUCAAAGGAUAAGCGAAGCCAAAUAGCAAUCAUACAAAAUAAAAGACGCGAAUUUAUGUGGUUUACUUAUGCCUGCAUCAACAUAAAACGACAAGGAAAAAAAAAAUUGUAAAGACAACUUCCACUGUAAAAUGAAAGCAAAAGAAAGUUAUCAGCUCUCAACAAAACUAAUUUAAAGAAACUUGAGAUUCCACCUUGCCAGAAGAAGGGAAACACGAGUUUAGGAUUCUGUUCAAUUUUCACACAUACUCUAUUCUUUUCAUGCUUCCCUUCUAAGCACGCCAUACUUUAGCUCUCAAAAAAUAUGAACCCAAAGAAAGUAUGUUCUAAUAGCUAGACAACUGGGAAGAUCAAAUAUCGGAUACAACAAACCAAGGUUCAUGCAGUGGCAUGGAGUCGUGCCGAAACCUUGUCGGCAUGAUAUGGCACGGUAUGUGCUGGUAAAAAAAAAUAUACAUAUGUGCCGACACAUAAUAGCAUAAAAUAUUUAUUUUUUUUACUAACAAAAUAUUCUAAUUAUUUAUUAUAUAUUUUUAUCAAAUUUUCUUAACUUUAUUGAAAAAAUUACUUAUUAAUUUAAAAAAAGAAGAGUUUUAAAUUAUGUAAUCAACACGGGGCUGUAUCAUGUUGAUAUCUUGUUGACACGAUACGGCAUGGUAGAUACGGCCCGUGCCGAUAGGCACUAAAUCCUUGUGACAAACUUGGAAAGCGCAACUUACAAGCAAGACUUAAUACUUGUUCAUCAAAUUAAAAUAGAGGGAAAAGAACAAGCCCUUUUGGUUGAAAAGGAAAAGGAAAAUACUUAAUGUAAAUUCCCACCUCACUAAACUGUUUUUGGUUCAUUUAUAUGAACUUUUAAUCUUCUUAGAUGCGUGUAGUUGUCGACAAAGUGGCGGAACCAAUAACAGCAAUCUACCGGCGGGUCUCACUGUCAUAUUGUCUUGAGAGAACUUGGGGGCGGUUCGAGUGUACAUCAUUGUUGUAGACCCCAAAGAGUCCUCCCCGAAACCGCAUGCCUUGAAGAACAACCUAGAAGCAUCACAAUUUAUUAGAGUUUUUAAGGUGCAAAAAUAAAUAUAAAUUGCAGGCUAAUGUUGUACAAAACAAGGACAAAGUGGAAGCGUAUCAUAUUAUCAUAUCUGAAGCCAGGUUUUAUGGAGUACGUCUGCAAAUACCAACUUUGCAGUGGUAUUUCCAUAAUGUCGCAUAUUUGGUAUAUAUGCAAAAAAAAAAAAACGUAAAUUUUAGCUGCACAUAAGCAUGCAAUUGUUUCUAGUUGUUACAUUUACCCGAAAUACCAAUUUCAGCUUGAAACUAAUGAAACACCAAAGUAAGGACAUGAUAUAACAAAAUACCAUACGGCAACAUAGUACUUGCUUAGUUAAUCUCUCAUAUGAUUUAAUUUCUAGAAAAUAAACCAAAUCUAUGGAUCUCAAGACAGAAGUUACCAAACUCGAAGUUUAUUAGGGCAGACCAACAGCAGCAUUUAGUUCAUCAUUUCACAAUUUAUGAUUUAACACAAUUUAUCCUUUCACAGCUUACCAGCAGCAAAGGAACAUCAUAAUGGAUACACAACAAUCAUACUUACAUCCUUAAAUAUUGAUGUGUCAUUAGAUUUACUGCUAGAAGUGCAUGAAUAUGAAUUAAAACAAUUUUCAAGGACACCAUUCCGCCCCAAGAAAAGUAUAUUCAACCACGAAAACUAAUUUCCAACAACCCGACCUAACAUCCACACAGGAAGAAAAUAUAUUUCCACUCCCCUAACCAAAGGAGCUUGCUUCUUACGAAUAAGCUCACGCAACAAGAUAUAGUAUAUAGAAGGGUCAUACCUCUCCUUUUCUGUACACAAGGCCGAUAUGUCAUAUAUGCCUCUGCUAGUGAGUACCCUGGAAAAUUGUUUCAAAUAUAAAAAUCACAUUCAGGCUAGUCAAGUCAAACCGAAAUAAUGAUUCUCGCAAGUUGAACCUAAUGAAUGGUUUCAAAAAAAAGCUAUCUAACUUUGAAUUGGCAGCAAGAUAUACAGGGAUUUUCAAUAGCAGAAUUAUAACAGUUGCAAAAAAAACUUUUCCUUUCAGAAGAAAAUAUAGGUGUGUUUACCAAAAAACAAAAAGAGAGCAUACUUUUUUGUAUACCUGAUAAUUCUUUCAACUAUUUUUCGACCAAUACCGCUCCUUUGUAGUAGUGGAUUGACCUGAAAAUUACUGAAUGAAAUUCAUAUGAAUAUUUGCACAUACAUGACACUUUUAUAGCAGGAAAGCAACAAAAUUACAAAAAAAAAAAGAAAAGAAAAAGAAAAAGAAAACUACAUUUCUGCUCCUGUUUUAAGCAUUCAAGGUUUACCGGACAAUAGUUACGGAUUUCUACAGUCAAAUGUAUGCAUCAACAUGCAUUCCCAGCUAACAAAAUACAGCGGCACCUGUCCAAUUAAUGAACUUCAUAAUGCACAAGUAUGCAUCUCCGAGUUUUAAAAUAAAUCCAUGGAGGUGUGGAAAAACGUUGCAUUCUUAAAGCAUGUUACUGAAAAAAAUCAAGAAACUAAAAAAGAAGAGAAAAGAUAGGCAUGGAGAAAGUGUCAUGAAUUUGAAGUUCUGUAACUAUCACAAACUUUACUUUCUAUCUAUAAAUAAAAUGAAAUUUAAACAAAUAGAACAGGAUUCCGCAAAGAUUUAUCUUCUUGGCUGUAAGAUACAUCCAAACUCACUCAAAACAAGAUCUCUAUAUAAAUUUACGAAUUUAGUAAUAGCGCUGACCAUGCUCGAAAUGUAUUUAUCUAAUAAGUUCUAAGAGCAAGUGAUAAUUCCUUUUACUUCCAAAAUUAUGGACAAUAGUCUAUGUCACCACGACUCAAUAGCAUGCAAUAAAGAAUUUAGGAUUGGCUGUAAUAUAACAAAAAGAAAAUCUAAAAGAAAUCACCAAAAUAUGUAAAGUAAGCCGAAAAUAGCUUAAGCAGCAAAACUUGAAGAUAUUCCAUGAAAUCAAAAUGAACCGCAUACGUUGAAGAUUUUAAAUGUGCUUAGGAUUGUACCACGUGGAUAGAAAUUGCGAAAGGCCACUUGCAUCUAUCACUGAAAACUAAAGCUACUUACCGAUAUGCCUGGGCUGAUCAUCUUUUAUUACUUCUAUUUCUAAUCUUCUCUGAAUCUCAUAACACCAGACCCUAUUUGGUUAUGUGGCUAACAACAUGACUUAUCCUUUUAAACUGUAUCACAAAAACAGGACGAAUCGAAGAGCCCACACAAUACAAUUGGUCAAAGGGUUUACUCUUAAUGAACCUUAUUUUCAGAAGCACAACACAGCAUUCACAUUGUACGCACAAAGUUAAAGUAACCGCUUUAUCAAUUACUCUAAUUAGACAAUCGAACUACGCAAAUUUCAAAACUAACCAUCAAACUCCACCCACAGAAACUCCCUAGAAAUGAUCAAUUCCAUAAACCCUACUCAAAACUAGCAAAAUAUCCUCGCGAAAAACAGUAUAAAUUGGACAGAUUCAAAGAAAAACAUUACCACCACAUCAUGAAUCGAAGCGGUGAGGCCACCAUCCGAAACCGCCCUCCCGAACCCCACCAACCGGUGAUCGGACCCCGACACGGGGAGCGCCCUCUCGAAGAGCUCUUCAAAUCCUAACCCUAGCCCUGGACCAUCGCGCUCGUCGUCCCGGUCUAAGAAUUGGGCCCUGCAGAAGACGGAGACGACGACGAAGCUGUGGGCGAGGGCGCGGCGGAGCUUCCGCGCGUCGACGGGCUCGGCGCGGCCGCAGGGGCCGGCGAGGGGGAAGCGGUCGCAGGAGAGGUUGCAGGAGAGGAGGAGGUCGCGGAGCUGGAGGGGGUCGAGGUGGGAGGGGUUCGUGGAGAUGGUGAUCGGAGGGACUCUUCGUCUAGGGUUUCGAGAGUUCGAGUGAGGGGAGAAGGGGAAGGAGGAGGAGGAGGCGGAGAUCGUGGCCAUGGAGGCGGAGCUCGCCAUGGGCGAAGGAGAGGGAGGUUUUAUCUCUGGAUUUGUGCGCAAUGUGAAAUACAAAACGAAGAGAGAAAGGUCCCGGAGCACCACGUCACUUGUGGACGAUCUUUCUUCGUUCAUUUUAACAUGUAUUAAAUGAUGGUCUAUACAGAAUUUUAGUAAAUAUCUAAUCAAUUUAGUUUGAUUUUUUGAUGUGUUUAAUAAAAAAAAUAAAUCUUAGUAUUGAAAAAAAAAUUUAUAAUUUUAAUUAUUUUGUUAAUUUGGGUUGGCCUGAUAUUUAGUUUUAUUUUUACUUACUCUAACCUCCAUCAUUUUGAAUUAAUUUUGAAUUUAAAAUUAUUUCUUAAAUUUUUUAACUGAAUCAAGUCUAAAAUAUUUAAAAUCAACUUGGAUUCCAAUCGGAUAUGAUCUUAAUUCCAAUAAAUUUUCUAAUUUUGGAAACUAAGAAUUAAAAUAAAGAUGAAAGAAAGAGCAUACCUAAUGCUCACUAUAAUAUAAUUUCUUUAUUAGUUAAUUGAAAAUAAAAAUUUUCAAAAGCAUGGGAUCUAGCACGGAGGAGCGUGCACCGGGUGCACGAAGCAUUUCUGACGCCACGUGGCUAAUCAUAAUACGUGCUUUCCCGUGCUUGCCUUUUUCACCCCAUCCCGCGCACUCCACGUGUACCACGUGGGCCCCAGCUUAUCCCCUGUCCCCGCCACAAACUCAACCGCUCGUUCUCCCUCCAACGCCCCCAAAUCAAAACCACACAAUUCCCUCUCUCCACCACAACGCAAACACCUCCCCUUCCCAACCUCAGCGAGAGCAAAAAAAAAAUAAAAAUAAAAAAAUAAUAAUAAUAGUAAAAGAGCAAGCAAUCGAUGUCGUCCUCAGCCGCCGCGCUCCGCCUAUCCUCGCCGCUCCCCUUGGCCUCGUCCUGCGGGCGUCGGCGGCGGAGGGGCCGCGCGGCCGCAUUUUCAAUACGGUGCGGGAUUGGGGACUUGAUCGGGGGCGACCUGGUCCGGCCGGACCUGGGGCGGUGGCUCGACGACGUGGAGAAGCACAAGGCGCUGGCGGUGUACUCGCCGCACGAGGGCGGGUACGAGGGCCGGUACCUCAACCGCCUCCGCUACAAGGGCUACCGCUUUCUCGACCUCACCGCCCGCGGCCUCGGCGACCCCGAGUCCACCCUCACCAAGAUCCACCCCGUCUGCCCUGUACGUCCAUCCGUCGUUCCCCUCCCUCUCUCUUAUAUUUUUUUUCUGUCUGUUUAGCUACGCUUCUGCUUUCAUUUUUAAGUCUUAAAAUUUUACCUCAGCGAUAAAAUAAAAAAAUAAGAUACGUUUUAAUGUGAUAGUAAGCGCAAUUCAAUUAAGUCCUAUAAUCUAUCACUUAUAACUUAUGGAUGAUGGAACCGCUUCUAAUAGUAAUAUUGAUUAUAACACUGAUAUUGUACCUAUGAUUUAUGACAGGACAGAGCUCACAUCUAAUUAUAUUUCAUAUUACUUUUAUAUAUUAUUUAUUUUUUCAUGCACCAUAUUGCUGACUUGGAAAACUAAAGAGUGCAGCCUCACCUUGGAAGACAGCCCAUAGCAAGAUGGUAUUUCCCUCCUGAGGUGGAUUACAGGCUUUCUUUGUUGCAUCCAGAUGCCAUAGGCCUUGUUGUAUGGAUUAUUGAAGCAAAGGUUUAGCUUCUCAGCUAUUUUUUAACAUUUAGAUAACAAAAAAUUUAAAGCAUUAUUAGUGUACUUGGUCGCAUUCUCUCUGUCUACGCACUUUAUAUUUCUUUUAGAAAUAAACUUAGCUGGAAAUGUGAAUCAACUAGAAUUUGAAUUUAAGAUCUCGAAUACCAACCACUAAAUCCUUUACUACUUGUGUUAGGAAUGGUCGGUAUUGAAUAUAAAUAUUAUAAAUACCGUUUUUUGAUAGUUUAAACUUUAAAAAAAAUAAUACUUGUUUAUAUUAUUUAGCAUGCUAUUUAUGUAGAAAUCUCUGAAUUCGAAUCUCAUUGGCCUUCUAGUCUCAUUUAAUUUCUUCCCAUUUUAGGUUUGUCAAAAUAUCUCGAACUCAGAUAUGAGAAAAAAAUAUUGAAAACAGAUAUUCUAAACAUCGUUCUAGCUCAAGUUUUUAAAGAAAAUUAGUUGUUUUAUAUCAUUUAACACUCUUCUCAUCGGUGAUUGUUUGGUAGGUUCUAUCAAAGGCCGAACUGCAGUUCCUUGCGCUGCUUCCGAGCCUUCGACCUAAAGUUAGAGUUAUUGCAGAAUGCGGCAACUGGUAAUAUAACGGGAGCUAAAAUUGAGUUUUUGCACCUCAGAAGCAGAUGUUUCAUUUGAUACUUUUUCUUUUUUUUUGGCGAUGAAAAUACUUAAUGAAAGAGAUAUAUGGAUAAUUCUGUUAAAAGAUAUAUUCAAAAAAUACUCCUGCAAAAGCUCUUAUAUAGCCCAAUGGGCCAUAAGUUCAUAACUUCUUAAGUUUUAGAUAAAAAAUAAGAUGAAAAUCAUAAAGAAGAUAAAGUUUCUUCUUUUCUCUCUUUUUUUUUUUGUGCAGGAGAAAAUUUGUGUGGAAGCCACUGAAAGAAAUAGCAGGUCUUUCACCAGGGGGAGAACUAGAAACCAGUGGUUCACAACAAUGACUAUGGGAAGCUAAUUUUGCAAAAUUUAGAUCUUGAUUUGUGUUCAUGUUCUUUUUUAUCUGCUUCAAGCAGCUGCAAUAUAUUUCAUGCACAGUUUUAACUAAUUUGAAGUGCAAAAUCGCUGGACGCGUUGUUUAAGAUGAUACAGGCAUGCAUAAUUAAUUAUAGGAUCAGAGAAAACACAGUAAAUUAGAAAGAGCACUCAGAGCUUUUCAUUUGUAAUAUUGUGGCUGAAUUAAAUUUCUCUCUAUGCAAACAAUUAGAAGCUCGAAAAUUUUCUUUUGCUAAACCUUUCCCCCCUAUUUUUUCUUUUUUUUAAUCUUCAUUUGUCGACUUGUUCACUCUUAAUUAUCUUUGACUGUUUUACUUUAGUUCAAAUUUGUAGAAUUUGAUUUUUAAUUUUAUAAAAUUUAGUCCCACAUUGAAAAUGAUACUAAAACUAGAUACCAUUAUUAUAGUUAAGGUAAAAAGCACAUUAAGUUGUCGACAAGCUCGAGCACAGGGAUAGGUCGGGAUAUUUUAAGAGAUAUAAUAAUAUCUAAUACUCAGCUCAAAAUUUGAAAAAUAUUUUAUUUAUUUGUGAAGAAUCAAAAUAUUUUUAUUGAUUUUAAAUAAUAAUAUUUUUUUAAGAAAUAUCCCUGUUUCUUCUGGAGUUUAUUAAUUUGCUUGGAUUUAGAAGAAUGUUCUAAAUAGUGAAGAAUAAAUUUGAAAUUGAUUUUAAAAAAUUCCUUCAAACAUUUUGAUCUUCUCUAGAGUUCACUGAUGAAACUAGAUUUUAGACGAAUAUUUUGAAUAUUAAUAAAUUAAAAUUAAAAUUUUAAAUAGUAGUAAAGUAUAAAUAAGCAAAAGUCCCUUAUUUUAAUUUAUCCUUGUGUGUCUCUUGAAGUUUAAACCAGCUUAAUUUUUUUUUUUGAGAAAGAUAGAUAGUCUGCUAUCCGCUUUGUUUAUUUCAUUUAAAAAUAAACUUAGCUGAAAAUAUGAAUCAAUUAUAAUUCGAAUUUGGGACCUUAGAUAUCAAUCACCAAGCCCUCUGUUCGCUAAGGACAAUCGGUCAGACCACCUUAAGUUCCUCGACAACCUUACGCUACUACCGUUUUAAGUUUUAACCAAAAGCACAGGAAAAAAAAAUAACACUUAUUAAGGGAUGAUAUCUAAUAUGACUUUUAAAAUUUUAAAAAUAUUUUAUUUAUUUUGAGACAAUAUAGAUAUUUUUAUUGAUUUUAAAAAAUUCUUUCAAAUAUCCCUAUUUCUCAUCAUGUUUACUAAUGAGGUUGAAUUUUUUUUAAAAAAAAAUUGAUAAUUUUAAAAUAAAUUUAAAAUUUUCAAUAGUACCAAAGAGUAAAUAAAUAAAGGUAAACUUCAAAUACCAUCAUGUAGUUUUGCACUUUCUCAUUUUAGUAUUUUGUGGUUUUCUCUUUUUUUUUCGUUAGCGCCUUUGUUAACUUUUCGUUAAAUCAUAUACAAAAAACUUCAGAUACCCUACUUAUGAUUUAUCGAAUAUUUACUUUAGUAUCAUGUGGUUUAUCAAAUUUUCACUUUACCAUACUAUGAUUUUAACUUUGUCACCGAUUUAAUGAAAAAAAUUAAUAGAGGGAACAACGAAAAGAGAAAAAUAAGAUUACGAGAUAUAAAAGUNAUCAGAGAAAACACAGUAAAUUAGAAAGAGCACUCAGAGCUUUUCUUUUGUAAUAUGAGUGAGGCUACUAUGCUAUCGGAAGCAUGGAGCCUUCCGUGCUUCCAACUCGUUUUCGAUAUUGUGACUUUCAAAUCGUCGAUCGGCUCCGUUAAACUUGAUCUAGAGUAUUUGAAGUACCUAGAAAAUAAAUUUUAUGAUUUUACGAUAUCAUUUGCCUAAUAAACGAAGCGGCUCAAAAUCAACGGCUGAAAAUAAAAAUCUUACAAAAUAUAAUAAUAUGACAUUAAAAUUUUAAAUCAAAGAUAUUGAUCUUGUUUUAUAUAGUAUAAAGAAUUUUCUAUCAAAACUUCACAUGAUUUGGAUAUUUCUACACCGUUAAGCUUGCAAACGGCUCACUACAGCUAUUGAAAUUUAUUGAUUUUGAGCCCAUUCGAUCACUAGGCAAAUGAUAUCGAAAAAUAAUAAAAUUUAUUUUCUAGGUACUCCAAAUACUCUAGAUCAAGUUUAACGGAGCCGAUCGACGAUUCGAAAGUCGUAACAUCGAAAACAAGCUGGAAGCACGGAAGGCUCCGUGCUUCCAAUAGCAUAGGAGCCUCACUCUUGUAAUAUUGUGGCUGAAUUAAAUUUCUCUCUAUGCAAACAAUUAGAAGCUCGAAAAUUUUCGUUUGCUAAACCUUUCCCUCCUAUUUUUUCUUUUUUUUAAUCUUCAUUUGUCGACUUGUUCACUUUUAAUUAUCUUUGACUGUUUUACUUUAGUUCAAAUUUGUAGAAUUUGAUUUUUAAUUUUAUAAAAUUUAGUCCCACAUUGAAAAUGAUACUAAAACUGGAUACCAUUAUUAUAGUUAAGGUAAAAAGCACAUUAAGUUGUCGACAAGCUCGAGCACAGGGAUAGGACGGGAUAUUUUAAGAGAUAUAAUAAUAUCUAAAACUCAGCUCAAAAUUUUAAAAAUAUUUUAUUUAUUUGUGAAGAAUCAAAAUAUUUUUAUUGAUUUUAAAAAAUAAUAUUUUUUUAAGAAAUAUCCCUGUUUCUUCUAGAGUUUAUCAAUUUGCUUGGAUUUAGAAGAAUGUUCUAAUUAAAUAGUGAAGAAUAAAUUUGAAAUUGAUUUUAAAAAAUUCCUUCAAACAUUUUGAUCUUCUCUAGAGUUCACUGAUGAAACUAGAUUUUAAACGAAUAUUUUGAAUAUUAAUAAAUUAAAAUUAAAAGUUUAAAUAGUAGUAAAGUAUAAAUAAGUAAAAGUCCCUUAUUUUAAUUUAUCCUUGUGUGUCUCUUGAAGUUUAAACCAGCUUAAGUUUUUUUUUUUUAGAGAGAUAGAUAGCCUGUUAUCCGCUAUGUUUAUUUUAUUUAAAAAUAAACUUAACUGAAAAUGUGAAUCAAUUAGAAUUCGAAUUUGGGGCCUCAGGUAUCAAUCAAUAAGCCCUCUGUUCGCUAAGGACAGUCGGUCAGACCACCUUAAGUUCUUCAACAGCCUUACGCUACUACUGUUUUAACCCAAAAGCACAGGAAAAAAACUAGCACUUAUUAAGGGAUGUUAUCUAAUAUGACUUCUAAAAUUUUAAAAAUAUUUUAUUUAUUUUGAGACAAUAUAGAUAUUUUUAUUGAUUUUAAAAAAUUCUUUCAAAUAUCCCUAUUUCUCAUCAUGUUUACUAAUGAGGUUGAAUUUUUUUUAAAAAAAAUUAAUAAUUUUAAAAUAAAUUUUUCCAUAAAUAAAAGCCUCAAAACUAAAAAUACAAUCCUUAAUAAAAUAUGGGUAAUAUUCAAAUACCAUCCCUAUAGUUUCACAUUUUCUCACUUUAGUAUUAUAUGGUUUAAAAUGUAUCAAUUUAUUAGUAUCAUAUGGUUUUUUUUUUCUUUUCUUUUCGUUGGCUCCUCCAUUAACAUUUCGUUAAAUUAUAUUAAAAAAACUUCAAAUACCCCACCCAGAUUGAUCAAAUAUUUAUUUUAGUAUCUUUUAGUUUUAACUUUGUUGCUGAUUUAACGAAAAAAAUAAUGAAAUAGAUAAUAAAGAGAAAAAAAAAUUAUAAGUUAUUAAAUUGAUAUAUUUUAAACUAUAUGAUGUUAAAAUGAGAAAGUAUGAAACCACACACGGAGGUAUUUGAAGUUUUCCUAAUGUUAAGCUUCUCGACCGAAAAAGAUACUUUCCCUUCCCAACCAGAAAAUGACAAAAACAGAAAAGCUACAGCUCUACAAAGAGGGCAGAGANCGAAUAUUUAUUUUAGUAUCUUUUAGUUUUAACUUUGUCGUUGAUUUAACAAAAAAAAUAAUAAAAUAGAUAAUAAAAAAAAUUACAAAAUAUUAAAUUAAUAUAUUUUAAAUUAUAUGAUAUUAAAAUGAGAAAGUAUGAAACCACUAGGAGAGGUAUUUGAAGUUUUCCUAAUGUUAAGCUUCUCGACCUAAAAAGAUACUUUCCCUUCCCAACCAGAAAAUGACAAAAACAGAAAAGCUACAACUCUACAAAGAGGGCAGACAGUGAGAGAGAGAGAAGUGAAAACAAACAGCAUCCGCCUGCUGCCUUUACUCAUCUUCCAUGCCGGCCGGGAGGCCGCAAGAUUCGCUCCUGUCUUCCCCUUCCCCCCGUAACUCUCCCUCCCCGCAUCGAUGGAAUGGUGGGCGCUCCUCCUCUCUUCCUCUCUCACCACCCUCUUGAUCUCACUCCUCCCCUGCUUCUGCUACAUCUUUUGGAUUAAGCCCGAGAGAGUAAGGGAGAGGCUGAGGAGGCAAGGGAUAAGGGGCCCCGUCCCUUCUUUUGUCUACGGAAACAUACCGGAGAUGAAGAGGAUCCAACAAGAGGUGAAUCACUCUCCAGAAGAAGCCGAGUCACGCUUGGCCACCGACUAUGUUCCCACUCUGUUCCCUUACUUCAUUCACUGGAGAAAAACUUAUGGUAUCUCUCUAAGUCUUGGGUUUAAUCCAUUACAUUUUUUGCUAGUUGUCUCUUCCGUCACAUCUGAUAUCACAUUAUUCGAAAGAUCGACCUAGUAGAAAAACAGACCCAGAAAUAUAUAUUAACAAAUCCCGCAUAUGCCAUUUAAUGCUUAUGGUCUCUUUUGAUGUCUCUUCCGUCAGUACAUGUGGCAUGAUUCAUUUGAUUUCCGCUGUGCACGUGAGGCAGGAGUCCUAACUGCACCAACGAGAUGUAGUCGAAUCCAUGACCUCCUGGAACUCGGGGGGGCAUAGAACUGACUCUAAUACUAUAUAAUCGAAAAGAUGAAUCUUAUAGGCUACUAACAGCCGCGGAAUAGUCUUAAUAGGUUUCCUUUUAUCUUACAUCCAAGUCUUCAAUUUCAGUGUAGUAGAUUUGUCGGAUAAGUAGCCUCUUUUGGGCAUUUUAGCAUACACCUUCCGAUCGUUGUACUGAGAUUUGUAUUGGCUUGGAACAAACAGGACCUGUGUAUAUGUAUUCAACUGGUGGCCUACAAAUACUUAAUGUAACCCGCCCGGACUUGGUGAAGGAGAUUGCGAACUGCAAGUCUUUAGAUCUUGGUAAGCCUUCUUACUUACAGAAGGAACGCAAAGCUCUUCUCGGCCGAGGGAUUUUGGCGUCGAACGGCGACUUAUGGGCUCACCAAAGGAAAGUUAUAGCUCCGGAGUUCUUCAUGGAGAAAGUGAAGGUAUAUUAAAUGAGUAAUUUGAAGUCGCAACAUAGAGAUCAUGGGAUCUGUGAUCCUUGAUUGUUCACUUUGCGACUUCUUUUUCUGCAUCUGGCUUCCGAGUGCUCGCACUUGUAUGGUUGAUCUUUAUAUUUCUUCAUCGUAAUCUGGUUUAUAUUUUGCAAGUAAAACAUCUGCUAGGAUCAAAAAUGAGUAUGAUCCACAUCUCAAGUUAUCGAAGCUGGCUAUAUAUGCCAUUUGUUCCAGUGAUAUUAGGCUCAUUCAUUGUUGGAAAAAACAUUGUCGAUCCAUGGAAUUUAUCGGAACGAACUAAGAAAGAAGUUAUGUACUAUCUCUACCUAACUUCAUGUGGACAUAUGCACAGGGAAUGGUGGACUUAAUCGUGGAGGCCGCUAAGCCUUUGCUAGAUUCCUGGGAAAGCAUGCUCGAGGGUGAGGUAGGGAGUAGAGAAAUAGUAGUUGAUGAGUAUCUGAGAAACUUUUCAGCUGAUGUGAUUUCAAGGGCUUGUUUUGGGAGUAGUUUUGCUACAGGUAAAGAAAUAUUCUCGAAAAUUCGGCGACUUCAGAUGGCAAUGGCAAAGCCGAGUUUACUUAUCGGUGUUCCUGGUGCCCGGUAUGUCGUAGACAUUCAUUCUUUUAGUUCUAAGAUUGUUAGAAGUCCAUCAGACAAGUUAAAUACUAAGAAACUAUAUUAAACUUGUAAUAAACAAAGCUAUCCACACUACCUAAUAGCAAUAAUGCAUAGUUAGGUUCCAUUCUAACCACUAUUAAAAGUAAAAUAGUCGGCCAUUCUAAGCUCUAUUUGGAAAUAGAUUUAGAACAUUUUAAAUUAGUAGGCUUUUCAUUAAGAUAAUGAUCUGAAACUCAACUAUUGGAAACUGACAGCGGCUAUAAUCUUCGGUAUUUGAAAACACAUGACCGAAAAGUCAGCUUUACCUUCUCUUGUUAUAUUUUCUCUAUUAUCUAAUUUGUGUAUUGUUAUUUGCUCAUUUCUUUUCUUUGCUUUUCUUUUGUAAUAACUUAAUUGCGAAUUUAUCUUUUCUUGUGUUACAUGGAAUUUUUCUUAUAUAGCCAUGUUUGCUUUGAGGAAUCCCUUGGCUUAAUUAAAUUCAUUUAUUUGUAUUCCUUAACGUUUCGUGAAGAAAUACAAAAAAAGAAAAAUUAUAUAUAUAUAUAUAUAUAGAGUUGAGCUAGAAUACUAUCGGUAGUAAACGAGCCGUUUUACUACCGAUUUGUUUUUAAUGAUAGAGCUUCCAAAUUGACAAUCGGCUUCGUUAAAUAUGAUCUAAACCAUUUAAACUACCUAGAAAUCAAAUUUCACGCACUUUCGAUAUUGUUCUUUUAUCCAUCAAGUGAAUAGAAAAAUGAAUGGCUGAAAAUGAAUACUCUUUAAAAAUAUGAUGAUAGGAGUCUUGUAAUCAAGAUCAAGAGUAUAGAUCUUGUUUUAAAUAGUUUAAAGAAUUUUCUAACAAAAANUGGCGCCCGGUAUGUCGGAGACAUUCAUUCUUUUAGUUCUAAGAUUGUUAGAAGUCCAUCAAACAAGUUAAAUACUAAGAAACUAGAAUAAACUUGUAAUAAACAAAGCUAUCCACACUACCUAAUAGCAAUAAUGGAUAGUUAGGUUCCAUUCUAACCACUAUUAAAAGUAAAAUAGUUGGCCAUUCUAAGCGCUAUUUGGAAAUAGAUUUAGAACAUUUUAAAUUAGUAGGCUUUUCAUUAAAAUAAUUAUCCGAAACUCAACUAUUGGAAACUGAAGCAGCUAUAAUCUUCGGUAUUUGAAAACACAUGACCGAAAAUUUAGCUUUGCCUUCUCUUGUUAUAUUUUCUCUAUUAUCUAAUUUGCGUAUUGUUAUUUGCUCAUUUCUUUUCUUUGCUUUUCUUUUGUAAUAACUUAAUUGCGAAUUUAUCUUAUCUUGUGUUACAUGGAAUUUUUCUUAUAUAGCCAUGUUUGCUUUGAGGAAUCCCUUGGCUUAAUUAAAUUCAUUUGUUUGUAUUUCCUUAAUGUUUCACGAAGAAAGACCAAAAAAGAAAAUUAAUAUAUAUAUAUAUAUAUAUAGAGAGAGAGAGAGAGAGAGAGAGAGAGAGUUGAGCUAGAAUGUUAUCAGUAGCAAAUGGGCUCCGUUGCAACCCAUUUUGUUUUCGAUGAUGGAGCCUCCAAAUCGACAAUCGAUGCUGUUGAAUAUAAUCUAUACUACGUGAAGUUUUUAGAAACUAAAUUCAAAUCUUUUCGACAUCAUUAGCCUAAUAAUCAAAGGGUUUCAAAAUUUGUAAUUUUAAUGGUUGAUAUAGACGUUUUCUCGUUUAACGAUGUAAAGAUAUCCAAAUUAAUUAAAUUUUGAUUAGAAAAUUUUUUAAACUAUUUAGAACAAGAUCUAUACUCUUGAUCUUGAUUACAAGACUUCUAUCAUUACUUUUUAAAGAGAUAUUCAUUUUUAGUCGUUCAUUAUUUGUGUCAACUUGAUGGACAAGAGAAUAAUAUCGAAUAAACAUAAAAAUUUAAUUUUUAGAUGCUUCAAAUGGUAUAGAUCGUGUUCAACGAUACCGAUUGUCAAUUUGGAUACUCUAUCAUCGAAAACAAAUUGGUGCCAAAUGAGCCCAUUUGCUAUUGAUAGCAUUCUAGCUCAACUCUCUCUAUAUAUAAAAGGUAAUGCAAUAUGUCUCAUUUAAUUAUUAAGGAACUGCAAUUUUGUACAAGAUAUCAACCAACAAGCAGGAACAGAGAGAUAUGGAGGUUAGAUAGAGAAAUCCGUUUACUCAUUCUGAACGUCGCGAAUGAGCACAUGAGAGAAGGCUCAUCAUCCUCAUCCAGUAAAAAUGAUCUUUUACAAGCCAUAGUCGAGGGUGCUAGCGGCAGGGGUGAUGAGUUUAUAGUCGACAAUUGCAAGAAUAUCUACUUUGCGGGGCAUGAAACCACGGCGGUCACCGCCACAUGGUGUUUGAUGCUUCUUGCUGCGCACCCAGAAUGGCAGGAACGCGCUCGAGCUGAGGUUUUAGAGGCGUGCCAGGGGAAAUCACUUGAUUUCGAAAUGCUCAGGAGGUUGAGGACGGUAAUGAUCAUCUGAAACAUCUUCGCUUUUAUAGUUGCAUGGAUGAUUUCUUUUCGUCCACGAUGUGAUAUUCGCAUUCUUUAAUGGUAUAUAGAUGAAAUUCCGAUCGGCAUGACUACUUCCAUUGAGUUCGUAAGAGAUGAUAUUAUCGUUUUCUCCUCAUCAAACCUAGAGUAGAUACCUUCAUAUGACAAUCAAAGAUUCUUUGAGAAACUAGUUGAGGAAUGCCUACGGAACAUUUCAAUCAUUAAAGUCUCUGGCCUUUAUAAUUCAUUGCAAUCUUAUUUACCCUUGUAGUUUAUUUCCUCCGUCAAAUUGAACAGAAAUAUAUAUAUCCAUGUAAUUGUCAUUUAACCGCAUACGCGAGAUGGUAUCUUGAAGAUCAAUUCUGCAUUUCCUUCUUUUUCAGCUGACUAUGGUGAUCCAAGAGACCCUUCGCCUCUAUCCUCCCGCUUCUUUCGUGACGCGCGAAACUCUAAGAGACAUGAAGCUUGGAGCCAUCCACAUUCCGAAAGGCGUCAAUGUGAAGAUNUUGGAUAUCUUUACGCCGUUAAACGAGAAAACGUCUCUUAUCGACCAUUAAAAUUACAAAUUUUGAAACCCUUUGAUCAUUAGGCAAAUGAUGUCGACAAGAUUUGAAAUUUGAUUUCUAAACACUUCAAGUGGUAUAGAUCAUAUUCAACGGAGCCGAUCGUCAAUUUGGAAGUUCUAUCAUCGAAAACAAAUCGGUAGUAAAACAGCUCGUUUACUACCGAUAGUAUUCUAGCUCAACUCUAUAUAUAUAUAUAUAUAUAUAAGGUGAUGCAAUAUGUCUCAUUUAAUUAUUAAGGAACUACAAUGUUGUACUAGAUAUCAACCAACAAGCAGGAACAGAGAGAUAUGGAGGUUAGAUAGAGAAAUCCGUUUACUCAUUCUGAACGUCGCGAAUGAGCACAAGAGAGAAGGCUCGUCAUCCUCAUCCAGUAAAAAUGAUCUUUUACAAGCCAUAGUCGAGGGUGCUAGCGGCAGGGGUGAUGAGUUUAUAGUCGACAAUUGCAAGAAUAUCUACUUUGCGGGGCAUGAAACGACGGCGGUCAGCGCCACAUGGUGUUUGAUGCUUCUUGCUGCGCACCCAGAAUGGCAGGAACGCGCUCGAGCUGAGGUUUUAGAGGCGUGCCAGGGGAAAUCACUUGAUUUCGAAAUGCUCAGGAGGUUGAGAACGGUAAUGAUCAUCUGAAACAUCUUCACUUUUAUAGUUGCAUGGAUGAUUCCUUUUCGUCCACGAUGUGAUAUUCGCAUUCUUUAAUGGUAUAUAGAUGAAAUUCCGAUCGGCAUGACUACUUCCAUUGAGUUCGUAAAAGAUGAUAUUAUCGUUUUCUCCUCAUCAGACCUAGAGUAGAUACCUUCAUAUGACAAUCAAAGAUUCUUUGAGAAACUAGUUGAGGAAUGCCUACGGAACAUUUCAAUCAUUAAAGUCUCUGGCCUUUAUAAUUCAUUGCAAUCUUAUUUACCCUUGUAGUUUAUUUCCUCCGUCAAAUUGAACAGAAAUAUAUAUCCAUGUAAUUGUCAUUUAACCGCAUACGCGAGAUGGUAUCUUGAAGAUCAAUUCUGCAUUUCCUUCUUUUUCAGCUGACUAUGGUGAUUCAAGAGACCCUUCGCCUCUAUCCUCCCGCUUCUUUCGUGACGCGCGAAACUCUAAGAGACAUGAAGCUCGGAGCCAUCCACAUUCCGAAAGGCGUCAAUGUGAAGAUCCUGAUCGCAAUUGCGCACCGUGACGGAGAGUUAUGGGGUCCGAACGCCGACGAGUUCAACCCCGAGAGGUUCGCAAACGGCAUUGCAGGGGCUUGUAAGCCUCCUCACAUGUACAUGCCCUUCGGUCUCGGGAUUCGGACUUGCGCGGGUCAGAACUUGGCCAUGGUAGAGUUGAAAAUUGUCCUCUCACUUCUUUUAUCCAAAUUUGUUUUUGCGCUCUCGCCGAGCUAUGUCCAUUCACCUGCAUUUAGAUUAACAGUUGAGCCAGGGUUUGGUGUACCACUUAUAGUGAAGAGGCUGUGAAUUGUUACAAUAUAUAUACAUGGAGUUUAACUUACUUUGUAUUUCAAUUUAUUGCUUAAAAUAAUAAUUAAGUUUGUUUCUCCUGGCAUUUUGUUUCCUUCUUAUUACUGUUUUUGUUCUUUCUCCUUUUCUUCUAUCUAAUGAUGUGUCAUUGUAAUUUUCUCCUUAGUAUUAGGAAAUAUUUCUCUGUGGCCCUGUUUGAAAAGAUAUUUUAAUAUGACAGUGAAUAUGAAGUUGGAUUUUUUUUGCAUCUUCGAAUGUUUUGCUAUUCAUGAUUACAUAAUAUAGUGUAUUUUACUUAUAAGGUAAUUUAUGUGUUUGUACAUAAAUGAUUUGAAAUCUGAAUAUAAUAUUUUAGUUUAAAUAUUUAAUCACGCCUAUUAACAAUCAAAUUUACAUCUAUGCAUGAAUUUUCAUGUCUAAAUCUUACAUGGAUAUAUCCUAUUAAUUUGAGGGAGGUGGGAUCUUAAGCCUUUUCUUUUCUUCUCUAAAAAAAAUGCAUUUAUUCUAUUUUUUUCAAAUAGCUCUUCACGUUUCAUUGCAUUUACUUGCAUUUUUUUUUUUUCUGGUGACCCUUGGCCUACUAUUCAUAAAAAAAUGUGUAAUAUUUGUAAUUAAAUUUGUAAUAUAGUUAUGCGAAGGAGGUGCUUCCUCCUCCUCUAAUGGCCCUCAAGGACGAGAAGUAUCAGCUAGCAUAUAGAGUUGCCGGAAUCUGGGAAGAAGUUGACAAUCGUGUACGUAGUAUCUCACGAAAUUAUCGGUGUCGUCGGAGAAUGCCCUAAACGAGGGCACGAAGAGGUCUAUGUAACAAUUUUCAUCUCUUAUAGUUCUUUUUUGUCUUUCGUUGAAUUGUAAUUCUAUUCUAAAAAGUUUAAUAUAUUUUUUAUAUUAUUAAAUUCAAUCAAAUAUGAUUGUAUCCUUCUGUUUCUGUUUUACGUUCUAUAUUUGUUAGUUUAUUUAUGCGUCCCAACAAGACCUGCACCUCCAAUUGUGACAAAAACGUAUUAUUAGGACUUAAAUUAUAAGAUUAUAAGAAGGGCACAAACGAGGCUCGAAUCUUUGACCUCAACAACCAUGUUGGUGAGGAAAAUCAAAUUUUAACUUAAGUUUUAAUAAAUCCUAACUAGGUCCAAUCUCCAUUAUUUUUUCAAUUUUAUAUCUUUAUUCUCGUCCAUAAACAAAAACAAGUUAAUUUAUUAUAGCGUCGUUGAGAGGGAUACAUCACAAGUAAUCAAUUCAUCCGGGAAUAAGUAAACUUUACUGAUUCUUUUUUUAUUUUUUUUUUUCAAUCUAUUUUAAACGUGUUUAGUGUCUCUAUUUCCGGACCAUGCAUGCAUGUUAUAGAUUUAUUUAAUUAAAGAAACGAAACAAUCAUUAACAUUAAAAAUAUAAGUAAUUAAGCAGUAUUGUGUAGUGGAGAAUUAAUUCUCCACCUAAAAAAUGGCCAAUUAAUUUGUAUUUAUUUUCAUUUUGUGGUCCAUUUGCUUUUUUUUAGAAAAAAAUUAAACUUUUUAGGAUGGUCCAGCAAAACAAAGUGAUCCGCCGACCUCGCUAAAGCAAAAUACUCCCUGCACUCGGUGCAUCCGUACAAAUUGUGCACCAUUUGAAAAAGUCUUUUUUUGUGGCAAAAAUAUUAUGUAAAAAAAAUAGUAUUUGUAAAUCAUAUAUUAUCAUCUAUCAUCAGAAGUAUAAGUAAAAUAUAUAUUUUUUGCUUUAUUUUUCCAUUGAAAUUGUUUAACGUACUCUGCUUAAUUUGGCCUUUAUGUGCUCAUUAAUCCACUAAGUUUGCUUUUUUCCUUUAUAAAAGUAACAAAUAAAGAAAUUUGAAUUGAUACAUUGCAAAUGCGGGACACGAUCAAUUAAAACUGAAAUGAAGAAUGUUCAUAAUUAAGUUUUUUAAUUGCACCAUUGGUCCCUUUUUAUUUUGUACCUCUUAAUGUUUUAAUUAGGCCUUUAAUAUAUAUUUAUUGUUCAAUAAAAGUAACCAUAUAUACCAUCAUGAAGCUAAGUUUGUCUCAUCAACAUCAAAUUUGUCUUGAGGAGCUUCUCAAAUUCCCAUGAAAGUAAGGGUUAAGUUAAUUAAAAUAACUCAUAAAAAAAUAAAAAAAAAUAAAUGUGAAACAAAGAGCACAUAUGAAAAACAUAGAUAAAAAUUCUGUAAAUACAGUUGUUAAGAAGUAUUGUAUGAAAAAAAUACAUACUAUUUUGAAUUAUAUUAUAAAAAAAAUUAACAAGAUGUCAAAAAUAAUUACAAAAAAAUCAAUAAUUAUGAUUCAUAAAAAAUAAUAACCAAAACAUUUUGUCAUUUUACUAACAAAUAUUAUCUAGAAUCAACAUUAAUAAAUAAUUAAUAACAGGCCAUUAAUGUAUUACUUAGGUGUUUAUAUAUAUAUAUAUAUAUAUAUAUGCUAUAACAACUUAAUAAUAAUUACACUAACAACCUUUACAUAACUAUUAUUCAUAAAUAAAAGGAACAAAUUAAUUUUCAAUCACAAAAUAGUAAAAUAUAAAUAUAAUUUAUGCAUGCACCUACAACUCGAUCAAUUAAGAAAUUAUACAGGAAGUGGCUACAUGAGCACCUAAGGUUAGAUAGUUUCUUUUCUUUUUAUUUGGGAUUCAAAUUUAUAACAUUGGAAACUUUAUUAUUGAUGCCACGUGCAUGAAAACAAAGGUAUAUACUUUAUUCAUUUAUUAAAUUAAAUGAAUUGUUGUGAUAAUUAAUUAAAUAAAGUAGGAUAAACUGCACAGGGAUUAUUAUUCUUUUCGUAAAAUGGUUUUAAUGGAUCUCACUAACAUUAAUAUGGAUUCACCGCCGCUUAAAAAGUUUAUGAAUGUAAAAUAAAAAAUUAAAAAUAAAAUUAAAAAAUCAGAUAAUUAAAGUUGAGAGAUAAAUGGUAUCACAAUGAAACGGCACUUGAUCGUGGUGUGGGAGGUUUAUGAGUUCGAGUCUUAAUUGGAAUUAUUCUGAAUAGGAUUAUAAAAUUUCAUGCUCCAAGUUCUUAAAUAAUAAUAAUAAUAAUAAAAAUUACGAGAUGGUGGUGCACCAGGUGUACGCAAUAGUUUGAUUGCGAUGACUUUUGUGCUGUUCGUCCACGUCAUUUCUUGGAUAACUGUGCGCACUCCAUGCUAGAAAUUAUUGCAUGGACCCGUUUCACCAUGCACCACUUCUCCAAAACUCGCGUUAUAGAAGCCUCAAAAUCAGAGUUUAAAUUGUUGAAUCGGUUCUACGAGAUUCAAAAUGUGUAGCAUAUUUUGAACAGUUAUUAUUAUUUUUUUUAAUUCAUUGAGUCGAAUAUUUAUUGCGGUGCAUGAGUUAUUCAGAUACUCGGUGCAUGGAAUAAUUUCUCUUUCUUACAUAUAGUUAUAUAUAUAUCCAACGUUCCUGUCCCUUCUACUACUACACGCUAAACAAUACGAAAUAGCUAAGGCCUUUGACUUUUUAGUGUGUAUGCAUGCGUAGGACUUAUGUACUAUUAGGAGUAUGGAAAUUUUCGUUUUUCUAAAUUUUUUUUUAUAAUAAAAUUUUUAAAUUGAUGAUCGAUUUUGUUAAACUUGAUUUAGCGUAUUUAAAAUAUUUAAAAAAUAAAUUUUGUAGUUUUUUGAUAUCGUUCAUCUAGUGAUCAAAAUGACUCAAAGUCAACGAUUGAAAACAAAAAUUAAUUUCACAAAAAGUUAUGAUAUAGUAUUAAAAUUUUCGACCAGAGAUAUUAAUCUUGUAGUAGAUAUAGUAUAAAAAAUUUUCUAUAAAAAAUUUCAUCCGAUUUAAAUUCUUUUACACCAUUAAACUUGUAAAACGGCACAUAUCAGCUAAAAAAAUAUUGAUUUUGAAUCCAUUUAAUCACUUGUGAAAAAUCGCAAAAUUUUUUUUAGAUAUUUAAAUAUAUUGGAUCAAAUCUAACGGAAUCGAUCAUUGAUUUAGAAGUUUAAUCAUUGAAAACAGUUUAGGAGCAUCGAGACCUCCGCGCUUCUAAUAGCACACAAGUCCUACUCAUGUAACUAUAUAUAUAUAUAUAUAUAUAUAUAUAUAUAUAUGUAAAGCGGCAACAGUGAAGAGAAAAAUGAAGGUGAAAAAAAGAAAGGAGUAGGCAUUAUGAUGCUCUCUUUGGCCAUCGUAGGGUUUUGCACUUCGGUUCUAUUUUGUUACAUAAUUGCAUGGUUGAAAACUAAGAGGAUCAGAGAGGCUUUUAGGGAGCAAGGGAUCGAGGGGCCGCCGCCGUCGUUCAUCUCCGGUAAUCUACGGGAGAUGACAAGGAGGAGCCCGCGGCCGGCGACGGCGGCGACGGUGGCGAAGGGACGAGGUUUUGUUGACUAUUCGCAAGCUCUCUUUCCUUAUUUCACUCAAUGGAGCAAAGAUUAUGGUAUGCAAUUGUAGUUCUUUGUUUAAUUCCAUGCGUGCAAUAUAUAUAUAUAUGAAUUUGUCAUUUAUAAAUCUGCUUUUACGUAUAGCUUUUGUUGUGGUAACAAUCAUGGUGUGAUAUUUUCUCAAAAAAAACAAUCAUGGUGUGAUGGAAAACGGAUGCUAUAUAUACAAUAUCAUUUGAUUAAUCGAAUUUUAACAAUAGGGUCCGUUAAAAUUACAAUUUUUUUUUUUUAGAGAGAGAAAGGUAGUAUGCUAUUCGCAGCUUCGUUUAUUUUUUUAGAAAUAACUUAGCUAGAAAUAUGAAUAACUAAAUUUUAAAUUUGAGACAUCAGAUACUAACUAUCAAAUUUUUUGUCAUUUGCUCUAUGAAUAGUCGGUGUUAAAAAUUAUGAGUUCAAAUGGAGAAAGUAUUAAAUUUAAAUUUAUAAUAACACACUCUUUGAUAGUUCAAGGGAAAAAAAGAUAAUGAAAAGAAGUAAUUUAUUAAUUAAUUUCAACUAGAUUUAUCCUAUAGUCAAAUUAUAUAUAUAUAUAUAUAUAUANNNNNNNNNNNNNNNNNNNNNNNNNNNNNNNNNNNNNNNNNNNNNNNNNNNNNNNNNNNNNNNNNNNNNNNNNNNNNNNNNNNNNNNNNNNNNNNNNNNNNNNNNNNNNNNNNNNNNNNNNNNNNNNNNNNNNNNNNNNNNNNNNNNNNNNNNNNNNNNNNNNNNNNNNNNNNNNNNNNNNNNNNNNNNNNNNNNNNNNNNNNNNNNNNNNNNNNNNNNNNNNNNNNNNNNNNNNNNNNNNNNNNNNNNNNNNNNNNNNNNNNNNNNNNNNNNNNNNNNNNNNNNNNNNNNNNNNNNNNNNNNNNNNNNNNNNNNNNNNNNNNNNNNNNNNNNNNNNNNNNNNNNNNNNNNNNNNNNNNNNNNNNNNNNNNNNNNNNNNNNNNNNNNNNNNNNNNNNNNNNNNNNNNNNNNNNNNNNNNNNNNNNNNNNNNNNNNNNNNNNNNNNNNNNNNNNNNNNNNNNNNNNNNNNNNNNNNNNNNNNNNNNNNNNNNNNNNNNNNNNNNNNNNNNNNNNNNNNNNNNNNNNNNNNNNNNNNNNNNNNNNNNNNNNNNNNNNNNNNNNNNNNNNNNNNNNNNNNNNNNNNNNNNNNNNNNNNNNNNNNNNNNNNNNNNNNNNNNNNNNNNNNNNNNNNNNNNNNNNNNNNNNNNNNNNNNNNNNNNNNNNNNNNNNNNNNNNNNNNNNNNNNNNNNNNNNNNNNNNNNNNNNNNNNNNNNNNNNNNNNNNNNNNNNNNNNNNNNNNNNNNNNNNNNNNNNNNNNNNNNNNNNNNNNNNNNNNNNNNNNNNNNNNNNNNNNNNNNNNNNNNNNNNNNNNNNNNNNNNNNNNNNNNNNNNNNNNNNNNNNNNNNNNNNNNNNNNNNNNNNNNNNNNNNNNNNNNNNNNNNNNNNNNNNNNNNNNNNNNNNNNNNNNNNNNNNNNNNNNNNNNNNNNNNNNNNNNNNNNNNNNNNNNNNNNNNNNNNNNNNNNNNNNNNNNNNNNNNNNNNNNNNNNNNNNNNNNNNNNNNNNNNNNNNNNNNNNNNNNNNNNNNNNNNNNNNNNNNNNNNNNNNNNNNNNNNNNNNNNNNNNNNNNNNNNNNNNNNNNNNNNNNNNNNNNNNNNNNNNNNNNNNNNNNNNNNNNNNNNNNNNNNNNNNNNNNNNNNNNNNNNNNNNNNNNNNNNNNNNNNNNNNNNNNNNNNNNNNNNNNNNNNNNNNNNNNNNNNNNNNNNNNNNNNNNNNNNNNNNNNNNNNNNNNNNNNNNNNNNNNNNNNNNNNNNNNNNNNNNNNNNNNNNNNNNNNNNNNNNNNNNNNNNNNNNNNNNNNNNNNNNNNNNNNNNNNNNNNNNNNNNNNNNNNNNNNNNNNNNNNNNNNNNNNNNNNNNNNNNNNNNNNNNNNNNNNNNNNNNNNNNNNNNNNNNNNNNNNNNNNNNNNNNNNNNNNNNNNNNNNNNNNNNNNNNNNNNNNNNNNNNNNNNNNNNNNNNNNNNNNNNNNNNNNNNNNNNNNNNNNNNNNNNNNNNNNNNNNNNNNNNNNNNNNNNNNNNNNNNNNNNNNNNNNNNNNNNNNNNNNNNNNNNNNNNNNNNNNNNNNNNNNNNNNNNNNNNNNNNNNNNNNNNNNNNNNNNNNNNNNNNNNNNNNNNNNNNNNNNNNNNNNNNNNNNNNNNNNNNNNNNNNNNNNNNNNNNNNNNNNNNNNNNNNNNNNNNNNNNNNNNNNNNNNNNNNNNNNNNNNNNNNNNNNNNNNNNNNNNNNNNNNNNNNNNNNNNNNNNNNNNNNNNNNNNNNNNNNNNNNNNNNNNNNNNNNNNNNNNNNNNNNNNNNNNNNNNNNNNNNNNNNNNNNUAUAUAUAUAUAUAUAUUAUAAUAUAAAUCUAUUCCGAGUAUAUAAUUAUUAAUCGACCAUCCCUAGCAUUGACAGGAAAGGUUUUGAUGGUUAGUGCCUAAAGUCCUCUAAGUUCGAAUCUUACUUGUUUUACACUUACAACUAAAUUCACUUCUGAAAACAAAUGAUCAAAGAAAAUAGUACGCUAUCUUUACUUUAAAUUUUAUCUACAAUGUUCAUAGUAAAUAAAAGAUUAAAUAAAAUAAUGAAUAAGAAGUUUAAUCGGCCGGCAACAUUGUCAACAUCUUCGGAUAUUUUAGGAAUUUGUAAUGGGGAAGCUUCCUACCAAAUAAGAAGUCUUUGAAUGAGGUGAUUGAAUAAUUAAAUAACUAUGCCACCUACCAAGUAUAAUAAGAACACUUCCUAACUAAUUUGAUGCAAAUUUUCUGCGAACUCAAGCAAAUUAUUGUGACAAUUUCAAUAAAUUAUUAUAAAUAGAAGAGAAGUUGAAAUUGACCAAUAAGGUGCAUAUAUAUCUUUCUAUUUCACUACAUGAGUAACAUUUGGUGUUAGUUACACAUAUGUUGUAUACAACAACAAUGCUUUAUUAGAAUUAUUCUUUUAUAAUCUAUGUAAUUAAUUAAAUCAGCACAUGCUGUAGCCACAGAGUAAGUCCCUGCCUAUUUUAACACAGUUUCCAAUGAUUAAAAAAAUAAAUAACUUGCCAUACAUAAUAUAUAUAUAGCUUCAAAAAUAAAAUGAUUAGAGCGUUCAUUAAAAAAGAAAGAAACGGAAUGUGGUUAAUUAAUAGAUACGUACUCCAUCCAAUUAAAUGACAAAGUAACGUUUCUCAGCAGUUAACUUACAACUUUUAUAUAUAUAUAUAUUAUAAUAUAAAUCUAUUCCGAGUAUAUAAUUAUUAAUCGACCAUCCCUAGCAUUGACAGGAAAGGUUUUGAUGGUUAGUGCCUAAAGUCCUCUAAGUUCGAAUCUUACUUGUUUUACACUUACAACUAAAUUCACUUCUGAAAACAAAUGAUCAAAGAAAAUAGUACGCUAUCUUUACUUUAAAUUUUAUCUACAAUGUUCAUAGUAAAUAAAAGAUUAAAUAAAAUAAUGAAUAAGAAGUUUAAUCGGCCGGCAACAUUGUCAACAUCUUCGGAUAUUUUAGGAAUUUGUAAUGGGGAAGCUUCCUACCAAAUAAGAAGUCUUUGAAUGAGGUGAUUGAAUAAUUAAAUAACUAUGCCACCUACCAAGUAUAAUAAGAACACUUCCUAACUAAUUUGAUGCAAAUUUUCUGCGAACUCAAGCAAAUUAUUGUGACAAUUUCAAUAAAUUAUUAUAAAUAGAAGAGAAGUUGAAAUUGACCAAUAAGGUGCAUAUAUAUCUUUCUAUUUCACUACAUGAGUAACAUUUGGUGUUAGUUACACAUAUGUUGUAUACAACAACAAUGCUUUAUUAGAAUUAUUCUUUUAUAAUCUAUGUAAUUAAUUAAAUCAGCACAUGCUGUAGCCACAGAGUAAGUCCCUGCCUAUUUUAACACAGUUUCCAAUGAUUAAAAAAAUAAAUAACUUGCCAUACAUAAUAUAUAUAUAGCUUCAAAAAUAAAAUGAUUAGAGCGUUCAUUAAAAAAGAAAGAAACGGAAUGUGGUUAAUUAAUAGAUACGUACUCCAUCCAAUUAAAUGACAAAGUAACGUUUCUCAGCAGUUAACUUACAACUUUUAUAUAUAUAUAUAUAUAUAUAUAUAUAUAUAUAUAUAUAUAUAUAUAUUAUAAUAUAAAUCUAUUCCGAGUAUAUAAUUAUUAAUCGACCAUCCCUAGCAUUGACUGGAAAGGUUUUGAUGGUUAGUGCCUAAGUCUUCUAAGUUCGAACCUUACUUGUUUUACACUUACAACUAAAUUCACUUCUGAAAACAANUAUAUAUAUAACAGGUGAAAAUAGUCAAAAGAGUAAAAUCUAACAGCGGAAAAUCCGAUAGCACCAAACGCUCGGUGCUAUUGAUAGUAUCCCAGUCGAACUCUAUAUAUAGAACUAAGCUGGAAUAUUAUCAAUAGCACAGAGUUGUUGGUGCUAUUAUAUUUUCGGCUCUUGGAUGAAGAAAUGUACUGUUAGGAACUUAAGGUUAAGUGAAUUGUUGGUUCAAUAGUAUAAUCUAAUGGGUGAAAAUAGUCAAAGAGUUGAAUCUAACGGCGGAAAACUCGAUAGCACCAAACAUUUGAUACUAUCUUGCGAUAGUAUCCCAGUCAGACUCUCUCUCUCUCUCUCUCUCUCUCUCUAUAUAUAUAUAUAUAUAUAUAUAUAGUCCGGUUGAGAUAUUAUCGAUAGUAUUUCAGUAUAUUUUAUUCAAUGGAUUAAUUGGUGAAUAAAGUUAACUUAAAAAUAAUUUUAAGACACUGAUCAAUUUUAUGUUCAUGCAAGUGAGCGUUAAGAUUCUAAAUAUAUUUUUUUGAUCACUUAAUAUUGCAUCAUAGUAUUCUUUCUUUUUUAUUUUUUUUUUCUUUUGUUGGUCGAGAAGGGUUGGAUGGAACUGUGGAAUUAUCAAUAUACAAUAAUGUUUUCUUAUAAAUGCACAUUAAUAUUGCACACAAACUAUAAUGCAUAUAUGUACGCAAUAAUGCACCUUUUUAAUAAUUAAUGUACAGUAAUAUUACUACUAUAUAAAUUUAUCAAGAUAUUAACAGUGCAUAAAGAUUAUCUACAUACGUACGCAACCAAUAAUAGAAGUACAUAAACACAUAUAGUCAAUUGUAACACUAUUGUGAGUGUACCCACGUACUUUAUUUAGAUUCCUUGUUGAAAUGGUUUUAUCUGUACCAUUUAUUGAUGGGAUUCGAUAGUUUCAAUGCAGCAAAUUCUAAAUUAAUUUGCCUAAAAAUAUUCAAACGGUUGUGGGAAAAGUUGAUAGUACACACUUAAUUAUUUGGACAGGUAACUACCAAAAGAAAAUUAAUCAAAAUUGAUGGUGACAAUUAAUCAAAUGGUCGGUGAGAUAACCCCCAAAUAAUCAAAUGGUCGGCAUGUUAUAUCUAUGAUCUUGUUCAUAUAAUUUACAAUAUUCUAUACUUAUAGUCAAGUUUUAUUCAUAAUUAAGCAUUUUAUUUGGCAUAUCUUUUUGAUUUAAUUAGCUAGUUCUUAUUUAGAUGUCGAAAUAAGUUAUUCAAUAAUAUGAUAGCUUAUUCGGUAUGAAAAAUUGUUUCGCAUGAUAAGCUAUAAGGAGUUUAAUUUUUGGCCCCUUGAAGGAGUAUUUUUAACAUUCAUUAUUUGGUAAAAUACAAGGUAUUUUUUUAUUCCAAAGAAUUGACGAUAUAGAAGGCCAAAUCUGGAAUUCUAAUUUAUAUAUUUUUUUUAUCACACUUUUGUAUUAAAUGCUAUGAGGUUCUUUAGUAAAUCAAAAAGAUAUUCUAAACAAGAUAUUCUUGCUCAAGAGACAUGUAGGUAGUUGAAGUUCAAAAUGAAAUGUUGUCUUGAAUAGGAUACCAUAGGUCUUCGUGUCAUUCUUUUCAAAAUAAAAUGAAUCAUUAUGUAGGUAUAAUUUGCUAUCCAAUUAAAUUAUAGAUGCCAACACUUUUUUCAAGGAGCAAAAAUGAAACCCCUAGUUUCCAAUAAUAUAAGAAAAUCUUCAUACCGAAUAAGUUAUUAUUGAAUAUAUUUUAUUCCGACAUCCAAAUAAAGUUGCAACAUUCAAAAUCGCUUCAUUCUAACCAGCUCCGUUCUUAGGCAUAAUUCAUCUAGACUUUUAAGUUCAAUGGUGGAAUUUUAAAUCUAGAGAAUCCUUUAAUUCAAUAGAUGAUUUGGUUGACGUGUAAGAUUGAAGAUCAUUAAAGCUUUAUAGAAAUACAUGGUGCAUGAAGAUAUAUAUAUAUAUAUAUAGGAGAAAGUCCUCUUUGUAGCAGUUACUCCACCUAGGUACAAUACCAACAAACAAAAAGUCUCAUUUUGUAUAAAAGCACAAGAGAAAAUUUUUGUUUGACUUUAUUGCAAUAUGAAAUUAUUUUCGAGAGAAAAGUAGCCCACUAUCUACUUGAUUCAUUUUUUUUAUAAAUAACUUAUUAGCAGCAAAUAUGAAGUAACUAAGUUUCAAACUUGUGAGCUCACUUGUACUAGGAAGGGUUGGUGCAUACAUGCAUGAAACUAUUAUGCUGUCCUUGAUUAGACUUGAGUGUUGCAAAUUAAGGAGAGCUGUCUGGAGAUAGAGGAGCAAUAAGUGUAGGUAACAAAUAAUUAUUCUUCGAAAAUUUCGAACAACGAUAAGGAUUAAAAUGAAACACUUUGAAAAUUUUAUUUACCUAUUUACACACAUUAACUUUACUAUGUUUGAGAUUUUUCCAUACAACUCAAAUCUUGAUUUUCUUCUUUUUUUUUUUUUUUUCCUUAUUGUUACUAACAGGGCCAACAUAUUUAUACUGGAUGGAGAGGAGACCUGCAUUGUAUGUGACAGAUCCUGGUCUAAUUAAGGACAUAAGCUUGUGCGUAUCAUUGGAUCUGGGAAAGCCAAGGCACCAUCAGAAGGGUCAAGAGCCCUUGUUUGGUCAGGGUAUUUUAAAGUCAAAUGGACCUGUUUGGGUCCACCAGAGAAAGAAAAUUGCACCAGAGUUUUACAUGGAUAAAGUGAAAGUGCGUGUGUACUUACUCAUUUCUUUGCCUGAGAUACAGGGUGGUAAUGUGGGUCGUGCCGGGCCAACACAGCCCACAUUCACUCAUGGCCGGUCGGGACCGGAGGCCACCUGGCACGGCACGAAUCCUUAUCCACACCGUGCGGUGCCAUGUCUGGUCCCGACACGGUUUCUGGCCCAGGCCCGUUUAGGUUGGGCCUAGCCAUCCUAGGGCAUAGGCCACCAGCUCAUAAUUUUUUUUUUUUUUUUUCACUUUCUACUUCCUUUAAUCUUUUUUUAAUGUUUUGAUUUUAUUUUUCUAUGUUUUUCAUAUUAAUUUUAUAAUAUACAGUAUAGUUAUUUAUUGGCUAAAUAAGUUUUGAAUAAUUUCUAAAUAGUACUUUAAGAAAAUUAUUCAAAAAAUAUAAAAAACAAAAAAAGAAAGAUACCAGGCCAAGUGUGUUGUGCCGGAUCACGUGUCGCCGAGUCGUUUUUUUUUUUUAGGGAAAACUUUAAAAACCUGCUAUGUGGUUUCGUAGUUUCUCACUUUGUCCUCCUGUAGUUUAAAAUGUAUCAAUUUGCCCUCCCGUGGUUUUUUUUUUCUCUUUUUCUUAUAAAUUUUAUUAUUAUUUUUUUCUUAAAUCAGUGAUGAAGUUAAAAUUAAAAGGUACUAAAGUAAAUAUUUGAUAAAUCUAGAUGAGUACAUGAAGUUUUUUGUGUAUAAUUUAAUAAAAUAUUAACAAAAAAGUUACCGAAAAGAUAAAAAGAAACCACAGGGGGGCAAUUUGAUACAUUUUAAACCAUUAAACCACAGGAGGACAAAAUGAGAAACUACGAAACCACGGGGGGUUUUUUGAAGUUUUUCCUUUUUUUUAUAUCCGGCAUUGUAUAUGGCGACAGAAAUUCUAUACCGACUUAAAAUAAAAAAAUUAAUUCUAGUUUUUUAAACUGUUCUACUCAAAUAAAACUUUUGCGACGACACCGGUGUCUAAACACGGUAAAUCGUAUUCUAGGAGUGAAAGAUGCAACAAUAAGUAUCGAUCACCAUUUUAAUUGUAAGUAACUGCAGGUGAUGGUGGAGCAGAUGACAGAAGCAGCAAUCCCAGUAAUGGGUUCGUGGAAAAGCACUGUUGAUCAGCAGGGUGGCACGGCAGUCAUAGUGGUGGAUGAAGAUUUAAGGGGCUUCUCUGCUGACGUCAUCUCCAGGGCUAUUUUCGGAAGCGAUUAUUUGAGAGGGAAGGAGAUCUUCGUCAAGCUCAGGGCCCUCUUAAAGCUCAUAGCAGAGCCGAGCCUCCUCUUUGAACUCCCUUAUAUGAGGUAUAAUGUACUUUAAAUUAAGUUACCAUUUCUUUUUUCAUUUGUCGCUUUUUUUAAUGAAAUGUAAUAUACUCGCUAAAUACGUAAAGAUAAAUAAAAUAUUAAAAUUUUGAAGUUGAAAAAUUACUGGAUAGACCGACCGUCCCUAAUGUAAGUAGCAAAGAAUUUGGUGAUUGAUACCCAAGGUGCCAAGUUUGAAAUCUAGUUAUUUUAUAUUUCAAGCUAAAUUUAUUUUUUUAAAAAUAAAAAAACUAUUAGAUAACUAGUAAUAAUUUAGACAUGUUUUUAUACAUUUUUACCAAUUAUACGCGUCUCCGACACGAAUACGUAUGUGUUCGAUACGGACACACGAGAUUUACAGAAAUGUCACGAUACAUAGAUUGCAAAUAGCUUUGUCAUUUUCUCAAAGAGUAACAUGACCGUUCACCGUUUAUCUCGAUCAUACUUCAAUUCUUACCAUUCAGUAUGGUUGCAAUAUAUACUUUCUCUAACGACGCACAAAAAUAGGUGUCUACCGACGAAGAGGAACCGAGAAAUACGGCGACUGGAGCGAGAGGUUCGGGUUCUGAUACUCGAUGCAGUGAAGGAACGAAGAGAAACUCCCACAACCUCUAGCCAGGAGAAGGAUCUCCUGGGUUCAAUAUUACUAGAGAGCGAUCGCGGCGCAACUCAAACCCCUUCCGAGGACUUCGUAGUCGACAACUUGAAGAACAUCUACAUCGCCGGGCACGAGACGUCGGCUGCCACCGCCGCCUGGUGCCUCAUGCUCCUCGCCGCCCACCCGGAGUGGCAAGAUCGCGCUCGCGCAGAGGUUACGGAGGUGUUGGAUGGCGGCCGCCGACCGUUGGACUGGGAGAUGCUCCAGAAGAUGAAAACUGUAUGUACAUUGAUCAUCGCCUACGUAUGUUAUGUUCGAAUCGCAUGAAAUAAUAACUAAAAACAGUACUUCUACGUUGUUUUUAUUGAUAAAAUUUCUGAAUCGAUAAUCGACGCUGUCAAAUAUAAUCAACAUUAUUCAUCUAUUAUUUGUAUGGUCUCAAACAAUUUUUAAUGAUAAAUAUAAAAAUAUGUUUGGAACCAUAGAUAAAUAAUGUCAAAUAAUAUAAACUUUGAUAUCUAAAACUUUAAAUAACAUUCAGAUGCUUUAUAAUUAAAAAUAACGUAAAAUUAUUAAGAAUUAUUAUUUCUAGAACUAUUCUAACUCUAAUUUUACAAAAGAUUAUCUUUCGAGUGGACGCAUAAAUGUGACAACUAAACUAUAAUAAAAGUCUAUAUGCCUACGUAAGUGCUUCAUGCAAAAGCACUUUUAUUCACUUAUAUUUUUUUGCUUUGUUUUGUUUUUCUUUUAAAACACAUGCAGUUAACAAUGGUGAUCCAAGAGACACUACGUAUUUUCCCUCCCUCAUCCUUCGUGGUGAGGGAGACGUUCCGGGACAUAACGUUAGGCGGCGGCAGCGGCGGGGGGGGGGGGGGGGGGGGGGGGGGGGGGGGCGGGCUCCGUAUCCCCGACGGUGUGAGCCUGUGGAUUCCGACAAGCACGGUGCACCACGACAAGGCGGUGUGGGGCGCAGACGCCGACGAGUUCAAGCCCGAGAGGUUCGCGAGCGGCGUCGCGGUGGCCUGCGGGCAUUCGCAAGCGUACAUGCCGUUCGGAUUGGGAGCCCGCACGUGCGUCGGCCAAAACUUCGCCAUGGUGGAGCUCAAAGUUGUGCUCUCCCUCGUCCUCCGCAGCUUCACUUUCGCGAUCUGUCCCAGUUACCGCCACUCCCCGGCUUUUCGGCUCAUCGUUGAGCCUGAAUUUGGAUUGCCUCUUGUAAUGAAGAGAUUGUGAAAAUAUGAACCUUGUGCAUGAAUCGAUCCCUGAAAAGAAUUACCCGGAAAUUACUUAAGCAAUAAUUAAGUGUAGCAUAAUAUUGAUUAGAUUUAAAGAAAAUAUAUAUAUAUAUAGUAGUAGUAGUAGUACCAAAUAAUUACCACUCUGAUUAAAAUUGUACUUUGUUGUGCAUAAUUUUUGCAUGUGUAGUUCUUUAGAAUUAGUAUAUGAAGCUUGGUAUAUUUAAAGAAAAUAGAAAGUAAACUACGUUCAUUUACGGCUAAAACAUGAAGUAACUAAAAUUCGAAUUUGAAAUCUAGACCUCUGAUGUUACGGAGGAUGUCCGCGAACUCUGGACCAAAGUUUGUGAAACUGCCGAUACAGAGUUGAGAUCUAAAGGCUUAACCAUCCUGUCGGCAGUCUGGUGGGUUGUUUGGACCGACAGAAACUCAAUUGUCUUUCGAGCUUCAUCCACCGACGCUGCCCGAUCAAUUGAGCGAGUGAGACUCUGGACGCGUGACUGGACCUUACUUCAUUGAACGACCCACUCCCGACCUCUCCCUCUUUAUUUUUUUGCUCUUUACUCUUUACUUUUCUAUGACUCGUUUCUUUUAGUGUUCUUGUUUUUUUGCCUCGGAGGCCGCAGUUGCCUCCACCCUGUACGCUUAAUUCAUCUUGCUUUAUGAAUGAAGAAGAGAGCUUGCUAUCUAUUCCUCAAAAAAGAAAUAUAGAAAACUAAACAUCAAGCGCAGGAUAUACUUAUGAUUUUCAUCGAUCGAAUAUGAGAAUGAUAAAACCUUCCAGUAAACUGUUAAGAAUUCUUGAAAUAUUAUAAACUACGAAAUUAAUCACUUGAUAAAGUAAAAUUAGUUGUUUAACAUGAUAUUAGAGUAGGGUCCAAAUAUUAAUAAAGAAUAAAGAUAUUUAAACACAAAAUAUGUAUCAAAUUGUCAGGAUGGCCGAGUGGUCUAAGGCGCCAGACUCAAGUUCUGCUCCUCGUGAGAGGGCGUGGGUUCAAAUCCCACUUCUGACAAAUUUUUAUUUUGUUUAUUUUUUUUGUUUGUUGUUGUUAACUUGUUGUUGACAUAUAUGCUCUACUUAAAAAUGGUUUUUUUAAAAAAAAUAAAAAGGUUGUUUUCUUUAUUGUUAUUUACAUAUAUGCUGUGCUUUUUUUUGUUUUUUCGUUUUGCUUCAUCAUUUUUUUAAGAGAAAAAUAGACUUUUCAUUUCAUUCAUCUUUUUAUAAAAAAAAUUAUCUGAAAAUAUGAAGUAGCUAAAUUGUUAAUUUAAGAUCUCUAGUACGAACUAUUAGGUUUUUUUAAAUUUCAAUAAAACUCACAACCUUUGAAAUCUGCUUCAUUUGUUGAUAUUUAGUAAUCAACGUUAACAUGCAUGAUCUACUUAAAAGUUAAAAUUGUGAUUUUAAUUAUGAUAAAUAUGAUGGACACAUUUUUACCAUCCGAUUUUAGAAUUUUAUUUUGAGCUUUUGUUUUAAAACCUUUAUUCUAAACUUUCAGAUAAGUUUCAUUAGCAACGGUUUUUUUUUUUUUUUUUUUUGUAGUUUCAUNUCAACGUUAACAUGCAUGAUCUACUUAAAAGUUAGUAAUCUUUAGAAGCUUUUUUUUAUAUCCUACUUAAUUAACACAUUUUCUUCAAUUAAAAAAUAAAAUUGAGAAAUUGCAACUUUAAUUAUUAUGAUCAAUGAUCAAUAUGAUGGAUAUUUUUUUUUUGAGAGAUAGGUAGCACGCUAUCCGUUUCGUUUAUUUUAUUUAGAAAUAAACUUAGCUGGAAAUGUGAAUUAAGUAGGAUUCGAAAUUGGAUCUCGGAUACCAAUCACCAAGUUUUUUGUCACUUGCUUUAGGAAUGGUCGGUAAUGUGAUGGAUAUUUUUUUAAAAUUUAGAUUUUUAUACUUUGGAUAAGAAUUUUAGCAACGCCCGUUAAAAACAGAAUUUAACUCCGUUUACUUAAACCGUUAAAGCCAAUCCGUAUCACAAUCACGGGAGCUAUCCCGACCGUUGAGGAGGGAUCGGACGAUGGAUAACGGAACGAAAAAAAGGAAAUAUAAAACACGACGCACACAGACAUCGCACUAAUGGCGACGCGACACGCGGCGUGGUGCCAUUGGUCGAAACGGGUUCCGACGGAUUCCGGAGCGCGGAUGCGGUUCGAGGCUUCCUAGCCGUAGGAUCAGGCCCGUCCCUUCGAUCCAACGGUGAAAAGGACCUUCGUUACCAUUUCGGCGCCUUCUUGUUGAUGCCUCUUUUCGCUCUCCCGCCACUAUCCCUAAACCCCUUCUCUCUCUCUCUCUCUCUCUCUCUCUCUCUCUCUAUCUCUGUGUUGAGGUGAUGUGUGCCCUUUUGUGUAAGGUAAGCUCCCCAUUUGUGUAUUUUUAUCAUAUGAUGAUGAUUAGGGUUUGAUUAACAAGUUUUUGGUUCACAUGGAUUGAUGGAUAUGUUGUUUUGUGUGUCAAAAUCGAAUCUUUGUGCUCUUAUGUUCGUGUUAAAAUGGUUUGUAUUUGGGGGUUUAUUGUUGGAAAUUUUGAGAAGUAGGGAGCUAGCCUAAAUAUUUGAGGUUUUGUAUCAAAAUCGACUUCUCUUUUUUUUUUUUUAAGUUGUUGUGUUGAUUUUAGCUAGAUUAGAUGUUCUAAGCAUAGUGGAGAUUGGUUUUCAUCCAAACGCAAAAUUAUUUUAAUUCCUGCUUAUAUCUCAAUUUAUACCUAUAUCUGGAAUAACCAUUUUUUAUUUAUUUUCGAACCAAACGAUACCUUAGGGUUUUAUGGUUUUAACAACUAAGUUGAUAGAUCAAGCUUGUUUGUUAGAUCAAACUCAAUGUUUCUUCCUUAAUUCUGUUUAAAGGAUUAGUAACUUUAUGCUUUGAAUCAGCUUAUCUACUUGGUUAUUUAGGGUUAGAGGGAUUCAAAUAAUGAGUUUAUGUUUGGAAGAUGAUAUUUGAUGCAUCUACUAGUAAAAUAGUAGAUCAGUUUGCUAUGUUUUAACACCAAAAAAGAAAAAAAAAUGAAAAAAAACUGCUCGUUUUAUCGAUGUACUUUUGGAAUAUUUUGUUUCUGCUUGAUCAGAAGUUUUCUUAACUACUUCUGAUUCAAAAAGUUAUAGGCUUUGCUGCUUAUCUUUCUUUUUUUUAAAAAAAAAAACUUAUUUUUAAGGGGACCUUUUCUUGUGAGUGGAUAUUUUUGUGAAACUAACUCUAUUUCCUCAUGUUAUUUCCUUUCCCCCCUGCUGUUUGCAGUGAAGAAUUGAAGAUUUAGCUUCGAUUAUGUCAGAUUUUUUAUGGCUGAUUUAAUGUCAAUGAAAGUUGGUAGAAGGUAAAACCACGUCCUGCAAUUGCGGCAGUUGUUCUAUCAGAAAGAAAUUUGCUCAUUAGAUUAUGUGCAAAGAGAACAUCUGGGUUCCAGAGAAUAAAAUAAGCAAGGUUGUGAAAAUGGAAGCUGAUCAAACUGUUCUAGUGAAUGGUGCGGCGUGCUCUCCUCCUGCUAAUACCUGCUGCAUUGAAAAAAUCGGAGCUUCGUUAGCUGAGGAAUUUGAUAUCCAUAACAUGGGGCCAAAAAAACAGGCGGAGAAACACGAGAAUGACACUGAUUUAGUUUCUUCCCAAGCUCCAUGCUUGGGAAAUACCGGUGAAAAAGAAGAUCUGAGUGUUAAUAUCUGCAAAAUUUAUACAAGGGAAGUCAUUGGUUCUGAUCCAGCGUCCUCGCCCUGUAAAAUUGAGGAUGAUUUGGUAGUCGGUUGUCAAACUCCCACGGAGAGCAUCUUCGACCCCUUUGCUCCUGGCCCAGACGAAUUGGCAUUUGCGCCCAAGAAGAAGAUGAUGAAGGGAACACUAGUCCCUCUUCGGAGGCAGCUAAAUUUCGAUCUUAACGGUAUAGCUGCUAAGAAUUUGGAGAUGGAUUUUUCUGGAGAUACAGAAGAAGAAGAUCGAAUUAUUGAGUUGGUUUGCAAGUCGUUUCUUGAGCUGAUUAUUUCGAAUCAGGUGCAGGAGAUUAAUGCUCAGAAUUUCCCGACUGAGCCAAGUCGAUCGGAAGGCUUCAAAACACCUGUUUCGUGUCCUCUUCUCAAUGGCGAUGCAGAUACUUGUCCGGCUGCACCUAUCAGACCAAAUUCGAAGUCGAAGAGACUCAGUCCUGGUAUUUGUCGAAAGCUUGAUUUUGGGUCUAAUUUGGUUUGAGAUUUGUGACCUUUUUUUUUGCGCAAGUCUAGUUGAAGAACAGCGAGACAUAUACUUACUUUUUAACAUGCUCUUGCUGUGUAUCUGUAAGAAAACUUGUUACUUUUGAAUGCCAUCAGUUUAUGGCCUGAAAGUGGAAGCCAUCUUAGAAUAUUAUAUUAGAUUUUGUCUUUUUACUUAAACCUGCUGUUACUAAAAUGCUAUACUGAACUCUUCUUGCAGAUUCUUCCAAUGCUCAGAGUUAGUAAUCACUUGUAUUUUUUGAAUAGCUGCAUGAGUGGCAUGAUUUUCCAAAUCUUUAAUAAAAGAACAUUUUAAUACUGAGGUUGAAAUGCUUACCGAUGCUCAAUUGAUAUGAUUUGUACUCUGAAAGUUGCAAAAUUACUAACUAUAAUUAUUCCAAUUCAUUAUAUUUUUUUUAAAAAAAACAAGAUCUUUUAGUAGAUAUCAGAAAAUGAAAAGUGAAACUGCCAAAACUGCUGAUGUUAUUAUAUCAAAUCAUUUCAUUAUGGCUAAUGAUUGAGCAAACUCUUAGGCAUGUAAAUAUGUAUCAGCAUAUAGUACAAAGGUUAUAUAAAUGUUUGAGAUAAGUAUAUAACUCAAACAUUUCCUAAAAUAUGUAUGCAAUAGUUUUUACCCUGAUUGGUCUUAAAGACUAGUAGUAAGCCUAAAUGGGCAAGGAUCAAAGUAAAAGGCCCAAUCGUGUACAUAAAUGAAGCUGAAAACAAAUAAGAAAACAAAUAACUGAUUUCAGGCUAUAGGGCAAGCUCUUUAUAUAUAUUUAUUUCUUUUUUAACCACCUCAUUAGUUAAAGGUGCUAUCUCAGAAUAUAGGCAACUAUAUAACUUUAUAUAUAUUUUUUGUAAUCAUUUCAAACUUGCUUGUUUGGUUCAGCUUAUGUUUAUGCUUUCAAUAAUACUUUUCUUGAGUUUGAGUGUUUUAUAAAUGUAAACUUUUAGAGAUCUAACUACGAGGGAGAGCAAAAUUGUGGCAAAGAAAGGAGCUAGUUGAAAAUAUAGUUAUUUUUCUUUUUUCUAAUGCAGUUCAAAUAAUAUUUUUUUCAAACAGUACUAUAUCUUAGAGCAGUACCAAAUAACUCCUUUAACUCGUGGACAAUUAUUCCCCACUCAAUUGUUCAAAUUCCACUUGAAAUUUUGCUUGUAGGAUAGGUAAGGAUUGACCAAAUUCUUCAAAAUGUUCUUAAUUGUAGAAUUCCAAUACAGAUCACUGUUGAACUUUUUAAACCCUACCAACCAAAAUUAUAUUCAUACAAUUAUUAUUAUUAUUAUUAUUUGAGAAAAUAUUAGCACGUUAGCCACUUUAUUUAUUAAUAUUUUAUUUGGAAUUGCAGAAAAAUUGCGUCACGUGCCGUGAGAAAGUACGAUAGAAAAUAUAAUAUUUGUUUCCGUAUAUAAUAUUGUAUUUCAUAUAUUGUAAUACAUCGGUUACGAUAUAUUUUUUGCGAUUCCAUCAGAAAAUAUAAAAGCAUACUUCUUUAUAAUUGUUUUUCCAACUUUAUUUUAUUUGCGGCCCCAUCAGAGAAUAUAAAAAGCAUAUUUUUAUAUAAUUUUUUUUCUAAUUUUAUUUUAUCUGUUAGUGUUAGAUGAAUUUCAAUACCAAAACGAACUUUAAGAAUAAAACCCCAAAGAAAGCAAAACAGAGGGAGAAAGGGAAAGGAAUAAAAAUAAAAAAAGAAUCUCAAAAAAAAAAAAAGGGGGGGGACUCCUCGAUAAAUUGUUCAAUUUCUCUUUUCGUAUGUUUGUCAUAGUGCGAACUCAUUUUUUUAAUGCUCCUACCUAUUUGAUAUUUUCACUUUAAAACUAGUUAUUUACUUUAUGUAUAUUACAAAACAUAAAUUUUUAUUAUUUGCAUUUUAUUUAUUUAUAUAUCUUAAAAAUAUAUAUUAAUUAAUGAUUGAGAUUAAGCAUUCAAAUUUAAUUUGUUGGUGCAUUAUUCACCUGAGUUGGGCCGAGAAGGCGAACGACACGCACGCGCUUCUUACAAAGAAAUAAUUUGAGAAAAAGAUGAUUUCUUCUUGUCUUGCUUAUAUUUUUUAGGUAGAUUUUUUUAUGAGAAAAGAGUGCUGCUUGAUCGUUAUAGUUGGUGGAAUCUUCGCGGUGGCAAGCGUUGCUCGACCGGUGCGUUGGUGAAUUCCUCCGCGUAGCGAAGAAUGUGCACGAGUUCAACGUGGUGGAUUCUACGGUAGACUAAUUGUUUAUCGGAUCGUAUUUGUUCCGUUUUCACAUCCCCUCCGAGUUCCCGAGUCACUUUCUCGUACUAAAAAACCUAAGUCUAAGCUGCCUAACAAAGCCAAAGAAAUGGGUGGAAAUUGGAAGCAGGAAACAGAUCCGGUUAGUCUACAUUCGCCUUACCCCCAGCGACUUUUGUCUUCCAACCACUUCAUUAAUGCUUCAUUCAGCAAAAAGCACCAUUUUAAGGAUGUUUCUAUGUAGAACUCACUCGCAUAUAGGUUGUUGGAUUAAGUAUCAUUUAUAUGGUUACAGAUCAUCCCUAGCGCAAGUGGUAAAAAACUUAAUGAUUGAUAUUCAAGGUCCAAGUUCGAAGUCUAAUUACUUCAUAUUUCCAGCUAAUUAAGUUUAUUUCAUAAAAAGAUGAACAAGAUGAAUCGAGCUAGAUGCGCAGAGAUCGUCUUAAUCAGAGUUUAGAUGCGAAACACCAUUUUUGGCUUGAUUUUUUUGUAAUGAACAACUUAAGUCUAAUCGUCCACCACCCAUGUUCUUCUUCCGAACCAUGUGUGGUUCACAAUUUACCAACUUUAAUGUAUCUUCUAUAUAUAUGCAAAUAACAAAAGUUAUUGUCACCUUCUUUAAUUCGAUUCCUAAUAAUUAAAAUUGCUUCUGGAAUAUGUCACUAUAAUAGUUCCAAAUCACACAUCUAAAGUUUAAGUUGCCUGCAACUUUUCAAAUCACAAGCCAACACAUAAGCCAAGACGGGGCCCACGAAAAGAUCAUGUUAUUAUUUAUUAUUUCUAGAGAUGUCCACUUAAUUUUGGCUAGUGAUUGUUCCUUUCUCCUUUUAUUGCUAAUUGUUUACAUUAUCUUCUAUAAAAAGAUGUGGAGAAUCUUAAUUAUGUUUCUUUUUUUGUGUUUUGUGCUUUGGAGAGAAUUGUUGAGUUCUCUUUGCUUCCAUAAUAUGAUAUUCUAGCAAGGAUUUUGUCUGAUCCGAAAUAUUAACAAUAUAUUAUUAAAUCUCAACAAUAUUAAGUUGAGGAUUCUUAUUUCACUCUAUAUUUAUGUGUACAAGAGUAUUUAAAACAACCUCUUUUUUUUUUAUUUGACAAAAUAACCAAAAUUAUGCUUGUAAAGUGAAAAGCAUUUUCACAUUUACAAAUGCUCCUUUUUUUAAAGAUUUAAUAAUGUAAUAGUGGCAGUUGUAAUAUUAAAAUACCACUUUAAAUUUUUUCUUAGAUAAAAAUAAAGUAUGUAUAAUAUUAAAAGAUAAUUCUUAACCGCACAAGUUUGUGAAAAAAAUGUUAUUAUUUUAUAUUUUAUUAACAUAAUAUCAGAAUAAAAAAAUUUAAAUUUAAAUUCUGUUAGAUCGAUUUUUUAGUCGGCAACGUCUACGUACGAACAAAAAAACCACAAGAAUAUAUAUAUAUAAUACUAGUAUAUAUAUAUUAAUAUAUAUAUAUAUAUUAUACUAUAUAUAUAGUAUAUAUAUAAGGAAUAUGUGAUAUUGCAUAUUGAUCCCUCCAAUUACCUAUAUUAUAUUACACACGUAGGUAAGCAAAACUAAGUAAUAAAUUAAAAUCAUCUUAUUCAGUGUAAACAAUAAAACAAAGCAUGUAUCUAUCAUCAAUAUCACUAAAUUACAAAUAAAAACACCUGAAAAAAAAAGAAAGUAAAAAAAAAAAAAAAAACUGUAGUGGUCUCUCUCUACAUACAAGUAUAAUAUGAGUAUCUCCCGUCAUGCAGUAAUAACGUACCAAGGAUUAAUUGCACCAUUACGUUCCCAACUUUUACCGAAUUUUUCACUUUGAUCCAACACUUUACAAUUUUACAAUUAAAUCCCCAAAUAUUUAUUAUAAUUUAUUUUAAUUAAGUUUCUACCAUGGUCCAUGGAUGCCCCAUACGGCAAUUUGGUACAGUCGCUAGUUGUCGAUAGUAGAUAUUUAAUUAAAAAAUAAUUAUUCAUAAAUAAUGGGGAUUUAUUUGUAAAAUUAAACAAUUAAUUGCACUAUUAAAUCUUCCCAAUCUUUUACUUGAAAUUUUACUUUGGUCCUCAAUUUUUUUUUUCCAAAAUUAGAUUUAAAAUAAAUAAGGGUAAACUUCAAAUAUCAUUUCUAUAGUUUCACACUUUCUUACUUUAAUACCCUAUGAUUUAAAGUGCAUCAAUUUAGUACCUUAUAAUUUCAUUUUCUCUUUUCGUCAGCUCCUCCAUUAAUAUUUCGUUAAAUUAUACACAAAAAUUUUAGAUAUCCCACCUAAAUUUAUCGAAUAAACUUUUCACUGAUAUAAUGAAAAAAAAAUUAACGGAGGAGAUAAUAAAAGGAGAAAAAGAAAAUUAUAGAUACUAAAAGCACAUUUUAAACCAUAGGAUACUAAGUAAAAAAGUGUGAAACUAUAUGCGUGGUGUUUGAAGUUUUCCCAUCUAAUUAUUCAGAAAAAAAAAAAAUUGAGGACGAAAAUGAAAGGAAGGUAAAGGUUGGGACAAACGGUGCAAUUAAUUUAGAUAUUAAGGUGAGGAGGGGGUAGAGUGAAAAAUAGGUACAUGUGGGGGUGAGGCGGUCAAUUAGAGCUGGGUCUUGUUGGUGCAAUUUUGGCUCCGCACAGCGAGGUCGGGGAUUCCGACGUCGACGUGGCACUCGGAUCGGGCGACAGCAUGGCGUUUGAUGAAUCCGAGGAUGGUGACGCGGCCGGGAAUGACGGUCUCGGAGUCGAGGGGGACCUGGCCGGCCAAGACGUCCCCGAUAAGGUUCCCGAGCUGGGCGGCGAACCGGUCGGCCUCGACGGUGAGGGUGAGCCGGACCAGGCCGGUGCCGUGGCUGGGGAUCCGGCCCGGCUCGACGGCGGCGUCGCCGACGGCGGCGCCGUGGUAGGAGAGCGCGGAGCGGCCGACGCCGUGCGCGAAGGCGGCGCGGUUGGGGUUGUAGACGCGGACGAGGAGGUCGAGCGUGACGUUGAGCUGGAUCGACGCCGCGGGGAGGGAGACGCGCGGGGCGACGCCGGAGACGCGGGUGGAGACGAUCUCCGUGACGGGGUCGCGGACGCGGAAGAGGGUGAGCGCGAGGACGAGCGCGAGCACGCCGAGGGCCGCGACGCCGACGGCGACGCAGAGGAGGAGAGUGGGGGAUAAGCGGUGAUAUGAGGGGUUGGGGAGAUGGGAGGGGGAGUUAAUGAUCCUGGAACUGCCAACAAACUUGAAAAUUGGGGUUUUUUAAGUGGAAAAUGCUGUCUCUAAUACCCUCCUAUCUGGGGCGUACAUAGUAGACUUUUAAAAUUACGUUAUUAGAUAAAAUACAGUUAGAAAAAAAAUAUACAGAAAUAUGUUUCUACAGUGGGACCAUAAAAUAUAUCAUGACCGGCUCAUCACAAUAUAGAACGUAAUAUUACGUACAAAAACAAACAGAAUAUUUUUUGUACUUUCUCACCGCACGUAACACAAUCUCCCACAAUCCCAAAGGAAGCCUUACACAUUUACAACUUUGAGUUAAUCUCAGGAAUUGAGCUCUUUUAAAAGCUAGGAGUUAUUAAUGCUUAUAGAUUUUUGAUUUUUGGAUAAGAAUUUAUAGGGGCAAAAAAAAAUUGUUAUGUAGAGUUGAGUGAGUGGUUGGUGAAAUAGUAUAAUUUUACUAGUAAAAUUGAUUAAAGAAAUAAAUUUAAUAGUAAAAAACUUAUGAGCACCAAAGUCUAUUGUCGGACUAUAAUUCUGGCUACAAGAAGGCUAGAAUAUAAAAUUUAUACCUGAAACAUAAGUGUACAGACAUUAUUAUUAUUUUAUAAUAAAAAAAAUACUGCAUGUAUAUUUUUUAUGAAAGUGUACAUUUUACAACUCACCUUUAUAUGAGUAUACAUAUUUUGCGCCCAAACAUACCAGGAGUGAAUUCUCUUUUUGGAUUUUAGUGAAAAAAAAAUGAUAGUAAGAUAAGUGGGUAGCUUAAUAAGUCCAUAAUAAGAGCCACAAGAGAGCCACAAAAGCCCUAUAGGUGUAAACUGUACAUUCAUGUACUGUUUAUAAUAGUAAUAAUAAUAAUUAAAAGAAAAAGAAAAAUUGUCAUUUGUAUAUCUUACUAAAAGUAGUAUAUAAAUCUUAUACCACUUAUUUAAGAAUUGAAAACUUUUUAAAAAUUUGAUAAGACAGUGAAAGAAUGUGGACUUUUUGGAUGAAUAUAUAGGAUGUGAGAUUUAUAUCAUAUUUAUAAGUGUGCUAGUAGCAUUAUUCUAAUUAUUAUUAUUAUUAUUAUUAUUUAUAAUUAUGAGUAUAUUUUUUUUUUUUGAGAGAUAGGUAGCACGUUAUCCGCUUCGUUUAUUUCAUUCAGAAAUAAACUUAGCUAGAAAUGUAAAUCAACUAGGAUUCGAACUUGGGUUUCGAGUACCAACCACCAAGCCCUUUGCCACUUGCUCUAGGGUUGGAUCAAUUAUGAGUAUUGUUGAGAGCGAAUUGAUAUUGUUAUAGUAAGUUUGGAUAUUAGUAGAAUAAAUAUAUUGUAUUGCUGAUGAUUUGCAUUAUUUUGCUCUGAAUACUUUGGCUAUAUCUAUUCUUUAGGGAAAGAUAAAAGUAAUCACCGUCCCUUUUAUUUCAAGAUUCAAGUAAGUGAACCCGGGAAUCAUGGAUGGUAGCAACUUUCAGACAAGGGUGUGUUUGUUUUAUCAAAAGUGGAGAGAAGUGAACUGAUUUUCGACCGUAAAUGUCUAUUUCUGUUAUUUUUUUUACCACAAUUUUACUUUCGGUCGAAACUUAAACUCACUAAAAUACCGUAAUUGAUUUCAACCCAUUCGUGAUUAAAGUCAAUUACUACUACAAAAAAAGAGAGAAUUUCUUUUUUGAGAGAUAGGUAGCACUCUACCAUCUUCGUUUAUUUUAUUUAGAAAUAAACUUAGUUAGAAAUGUGAAUCAAUAAGGAUUCGAACUUGGGUCUCAGGUACCAACCACCAAGCCCUUUGCCACUUGCUCUAGAGACGGUCAAUAAAAAAAAGAGAAUUUCAAAUUUUACGUCAUCCACUUUUUACUAAACAAACAUCAAAAGUAAGAGAACUUUAAUUCUACAGUUGUAGAAAUAAACAGCCAAAAAAAAUCUCUCUAAACUCUCAUUUAUCGAACAUUUAUCUUAACCUAAACUUAGCCUUCGGUGAAACCAACUUGAAUAAGAGAAAUAGAGAAUUGGUACUUAGUUAUUAGACUUUGUAAAGGACAACAAAGAAAGUAGGGACCAGAGGGAAAGGGGUGACAAACCACACAUGUUAGGCUUGUCAAUAAGCUCUCUUAAACAGUGUUUGUGUUGGGAAUUCAUAGUUAAGAUUGUGAAAAUAUGAGUUUGAUUAGAAUAUUCUUCAGAAUAAGUACCUUGUUACACUAGUAAUUCUUUUUUCGAUGAUCAAACAUCCAAAUUAUUUAAACCGGCCAUAGUUGCUUACAGUUUUGUCGAAGAACUCUUAAUAUGAGGGUGAGUGUUGUAUUUUCAACUAACGCAGUUUAAGACUAAUGCCAUGGACCAGAUCUACUUAAUAAUUUCUUCUACUUUUGUUGGAAAAGUAAUCAAUGGUAAAUUGUACGUCGAGUUUUCAAACUAUAAAACUGGUGACACUUUAGCCCUCAAAUUUUAUAUUAGAAAUAUAUUAAUAUUUAGUCAACUAAAUUAGAUUAUAGCACUUAAUUAUCAUAAGCUUAAAAUUUGAGAUAAAAAUUAUUAUAAAUUAAAGUUUGAAAACUAAAGUAUCAUAAUAAUUUGAGGAUCUAACUUGCAAUUCCCUUAAGCAUGGCCAUUUAUUGUGCAUAAGUCAACCAGUCAACUAUCAUUAAAAUAGAUCUGAACCUGUAUCCCAUUAAAUAUAGACACUGACUUUAAUUUUAAACCCAAUUUUGUACAUGAUAUUAACUGCUAUGGGCGUGUUUGGACUUUAGAUGUCCAAUUAAAGUACGGAUAAUAACUUGUGGAUAAAAAUAUAGAAAAUUAAUCUUAAUUAUUAUGUAUUUUGAUCUGAUCAUUUAACUUUUUAAAAUUUUAAUUUUACCAUCUAAUCUUUUAAUUUAUUUGAUUUCCACCGGUUAGUAACUCUUUAACUUUUAAAUUCAAAUACACCGUUUUUCUUUAUAUAUUUAAUUAUGUGUAAUAUUAUGUAACUAUAAUUUUAUUAAAAUAUGCAAUUAGCUUAAAUUUUGUAUCCGCAUAGUUAUCAAAUUAUUUAAAUCAAAUAAAUUAAAAGAUUGAAUAAUAAAAUCAAAAUUUUGAAAAAUUAGAUAGUUUAAUCAAAAUGGACUAAAGUUCACGCAAUACCUUUUUAGUUAACUUGUGCUAAAUGAUAAUUUUUCUUUUUGAUUACUAUUUAGAAAGUGUAUGUAUCUUUAUGCCCUAUUUGCAUGCCGAAGCAAGUUAUUCAAAAAUAUUCAUUAUAAAGGUUUGAAAUUGAAAGUUAGAAGUUUGAUUUUAAUUUUUUUUUAAAUGUCUUCGUAUUCAUGUGGUAAAUAUCACAAAAAUUUGGAGUGAAUAAAAAAAAAAUUCUAAAUAAAAUACUUUUGUAUCAAAAUAGAGCUUUUAGUUUCUUUCUGAAGUGCUUGCAAAUUUUAAUUGUAAGAAAAUAGUAUUUUAUCUACGAAGUAAUUUAUUUUAUUUCUUAAAAAUAACUUAGACAUUGAACAUAUCAUAUCGUUAUAAUUAUCCAACUCAACUCUUUAUCAAUCAAAUAUUGUUUAUAUGCUUUUUGAAUAAAACAAAAGUUAAAUAUAUAUAAAACUUACUUGAACUUUGGUUAUUUGAUUCAACUAUAGAAUUAAAUUUAUAUUAUGUUAUAAAAAUAUAUUGCCACUGAAAAAUUCUUUAAAAGGGAAACGUCACAUUAAGGGCAUUUUUGGAUUAAGAUUUCAAGUUUGGAAUAAAAAUCGGAAUGAUCCAUUCCUAAUUGUUAGUAUUUGGUUUAAGAAAUUGACAAAAAGAAUCAUAUAUUUUUUUCACUAACAAUUAUUUAAAUUUAAAUAUUAAUCUAUUUUCAAGUUUGAAUUUGAGUCACGGAUUCAAAAUUUAAUUUUAAAUUUUUAAUUUUAAAUUUAAAUUCUAAUAUAUGUUUGAAAUUCAAAUUUAGUUCUAAAUUUUAAUUUUAAUUUUGAAUUUAAAUUUGAAUUAUACAUUCAAAUUUUACAUUAAAUUUGGGAGUUAAAAUUUGGAUUCUAAAUUUUAAUUAUGAAUUUGGAUAGUAAAGUUAGGUUAUAAAUACAAUUUAAUUUUUCUGGAUUUUAAUUUGAUUAUGAUUCCGAUUUCGAUUCCUCUUGUAAAACAAACAAAUUAGAGAGUUCCAAUUCCAUUUUCGAUUUCUUUCCAUUUCUAUUUUGAAUCAAACGUGUCCUAUUUGUGAAUUUGAGGCCUAACAACCAAAUGCAUAUCUUAACUUGAAUUCGAAAAUUUAGCGAAGCUCAUCGAUCCGAAUAUACGACUAAAAAAAUUGUCUCGACUCUAAAAAGCUAAAAGUGUUGCUAUAAGUCAUUUGAUCCACUUUUAGGGUUCAUUUGGUAGUCAAAACUGAGUUAAAAUUGAAGAUAUCAUAUCCUUUGUAAGAUCCACGCAAUGUAUUAUUACUUAUAAAAACAAAUAAAAUAUAUUUUCCCAUUACAUUGUCUCGCGACACGGAAGUAAUUUUACUCGCAAUCGUAAAAGAAGCUCUAGUCUUUUUUCUUUUCUUUUCUUUUCUUUUUUUUUUCGGUUUGAUGUUUCUCAUGAGCUAAAUAAGUUCUAUAACUCGCUACAAGAAACUAAACUGAUUUUAACUUCCUAUCCAUCACCUUUCUUAAAGUACCAUGAAGUGGGAAAAAAAAAAGAAAUCAAUGUCACAAAUUGGAAUUAAUCAUCAAUAAUCAAUAUUUUAUGUGUUCUCUUAUAAGUUCUCAAUACACAUUUGAAUAAUUCAAAAAAAAAAGGAACAUCAUUUCUACUUUCGUAGUUUACAAGUUAAUGAAGCACUCAGCUUGAUUUUAACUUCCCAUCAAACACGAUUUUAUUAAUGGCUUAAAGUGAGAAAUGAGCAAAAAAAACUUUAAAUGUUUUAAUUCCUAAUUUCUCAAAUUUGGAGGGUUUUUUUUGUCCUUUUCGUGUGGCCAUGGCCAUGGCCAUUUUCACGCUACUUAAAAAGCUCGGAAACGUACGCCACCGAGGCCCAUGAACCGGACCGGUUCGAUGGAUCCGUGACACCGACUCGCCACCUGCUUAAGUUCAUUUAUUUGAGUUAUUAUCUCGUUUGGACUUUUUCGGAAAAUAUAUAAUUUUAUAUUAAAAUAGAGGUAUUUUUUAUAAGUUUUUUUUUUUUUUUGCAUUUAGUUCCCCUUAAUUUUUUUUUAUAAAUAAUCCUAAUAAAUUUAUAUUUGUACAUAUGACCUCUUCUUGCCACACGAGCAUCACGUUUGUAUUUUUAAGUUGAACACAGUAAAUGAAUUACUGUAUUUACCGUAUUCGUAUCCAUACUCUAGCCCUUCUUCUUUUUUUUUUUUUAACUUACGGAUGAAAAAAAUAUAAAAGGGAAUAGAGCAUUUUUAUAUAACCCUUCUUCUUUUUUUUUUUAUAUAGCAUUUUUACCGUGUUCAACUUAAAAAUGCUAUCUAAGCGCUCGCUUUGUAAGAAGAAGGUUAUUUAUAUAAAUAUAAAUUUAUUGGGGACAUUUGUAAAUUUUUUUUUAAAGGGACUAAAUGCAAAAAAAUAUUUUUUUUAAUAUUUUAUGUAAUGUGAAAUAUUUUAAUUGAAUAUUAUUAUUUUUAUAUAAAAUAAUUAUUAUAAAGAAGAUUUUUGCCUCUUUAAGGCGGUUGAUGUGCGGCCAAGCAUUUUUAUUGUACUUGAGGGAUUUUAAAAUUAUUUAUAUGCUAAAGUCUAUACGAAGCUGAGGACCUAUUUUGCCUUUCUAUAGAGUGUAACCCUGUGAACUGUAUUGAAAAAGAUUUAAAAUAAAUUCAAGCAAAUAUUUUUGUUGGAAAAAUUGAUAUAUUCAGAAUAAUUUUUGAUAUAUGCCACAGUAAAUACAUUGCAUCUAAUUAUAAUUUAAACCUCUUUGCUUUGUUCCGGCAAUAGUAAAAUUUACUUUGGAUAUAUUAAUUCUUUUCCGUUGCAGGGUAACUAGAAUGUUUUUUAUCGGGUUAUUUUAGUAUUUUUGCUUUCAACCAUAGCAGAACGUUUAAAAAGUUUCUAACUUUCAAAUGCUCUUUUAUAGAUAAUUGUACUUAAAAAUUAGAAAUAGACGCUAAGCCAAACGGGCCUUAAAAAGAGCGGGAGGUGAAGAUUUAAUUCGUGGCCCGUUUUGGCCGGAUACAAUGAGACGACAAAAUUGAGAUUUGCGUAGAGGUUCUACCAGUUUCUUUCAUUUAGGGCAUGCUUGUUUCAGCGAAACUAGACUUUGGAUUGAAGUGGACUUUGGAUUGAACUGGAGUUCGAUGAAAACUACUUCUUCCCUACUGUUUGUUUUGUAGUUAUGAAAGUGAAGUUCCAUCAGUUCUGUUGUUUGUUUGGUAGGAAGUAUAUAAUAUAAAGCUAUAAUUUAUAUAUAGAUAAUAAAUAUUUUAAUAAAUAAAAAUAAUAUAAUUAUAUUUUUUAUAAUUAAAAUUUAAUUUAAUUAUGCCGUUUGAGAUUAACUCGAGUUUCGACCGUAACUUUUUUACGACGAGUCAAAUAACGGAAAUGAUCGUUUAGGACGAAAACGACUUUCCUCCCUUCCACUUUCACCUCAUUUCCAUUCAAACAAACAUGCCUUAGAGUCUGUUUGGUUAGCGAAAGUUUUGAGCGUCGGAAGUAGCAUACACAAUCAAAUUUGUGAAACUCGAAGUUAAAAACAAUUGAACAACCAAACAUCUAACUAUAAUUCAACUGCACUUCAAAUUUAUAAAGAGCUAAAAUAUUAGUACGUUCAUUAAUCACGUUUAAGCCAAGAAGAACACCAACAAAGCCAUGAGCUUAUUUUCAAAAGCUAUUUUUACUCAAAGUGAUCUGGAAUUAUCUUUAGUUAAAGACUCAAUAUGUUUUUGAUUUAUCGCGAGAUCAAAAUUUACGCCCUUAAAAUACUUUAUUUAUGCCCGAAAUAUGCUUUACAUCAAUCUGAAGCUCUUUAACAGUUGCAAAUCUUUUGUUAGGAAGAAAAAUUUUUUUUUUAAUAAAAAAGAGAACGGUUGAUUUAAUUGAAAGGGAUAAUCGCCUAUAUACCCUUCAAAAAUUUUGAAAUAUUUCAUUUAUUCUUACUUUUUUUUUUUGUUUCAAAUAUACCCCUCAUAUAUUUCUCUCUUAUUAAAAAAUAUCCCUGUUGUUAGUUUCUGUUAAACUAUCUUGAGAUAAAUCCGAGUUAAAUUUCCACCAUAAUUAAAAAAAUAAUAAAAGCACCUAUUUUGUCCCUAAUUUAAGGGCAAAUAAGAAAAAUUGAUAACAAUAGAAGAGUAUAUUUGAAAAGGCAAAAAUUCAAUUUACUUCUUUUACUCAUAAGUUAAGUUAAGGGCAAAUAAAAAAAGUUACUGACUGUCGAAGGAUAUAUAUAUGAAAGGGUAAAAUGGUAAUUUUACAGAGAUAAUCAUCCUUUCUAUCAGCUCACUAAUAGAAUUUAACUCUAGGUGUAUAUUUGAAAGACUUUGAAAAAUUAAAAAUAUAUUUUUAAUAUUAGUUUACCUAACAGUUUACUAACAAAAUUUAAUUCUAGGGAUAUAUUCAAAAAUUUUUGAAUCUUAAAAAAAUAUUUUUAAUAUUAAUCUUCUGAAAAAAGUAAAUAUAAAAUUCAGGAACUUUUCAGAAAUAUAUAAGUAAUUGCCCCAGUUGAAAAUAUAAGAUAAAUGAUACAGGAAAGGUGACUAGGUGACCGGACUCGGCGCGGACCGGGCUAAAUCCGAAUCGGCUCGCCCGACCCAAUCCACUUGAAACGUGGUCUAAUGGGCCAGGGCUUAUGGAGUCCAAUUACCCGUGGAGUGGUGUCAAAUUCGUAAUUACCCGUUGAAGCAAGGGCAUUUACCGCCGCCAAUCCGACACGGACACACUUGACACUGUCUCGGUCCCUCUUUCCUUUUGGCGUGGAUUCAAAAUACAACGACUCUUUUUGUAAUCGGACGCCACAUCGAAAUUCAAAUCCACUUUUGUUCCAAAUUUCACGCCCGCCACGGCCCCUCUCUCUCUCUUUCAUCAUCGUCUCUUCCCAAAUCACAAACGACGAGGUUUAUGAAUAGGAGCUUCUCUCUCUCUCCCACACCCGCCCUACUCGGCUCCUAAACGCUCUCAUUUAGGGUUUUCUAGGGUUUCUUAGCUCCUGAGGUUUCCGUUGGGGGAAUUGGAGCUCGUGAUCUCUCUCUAGGGUGUUUAGGGCUUCUCUCCGCUUGCUCCUUUCCCCCUCUUUGGGGGAUUGGAGCUCGAGAUCUCUUCGGGUGGGGGUUAGGUUAGGGUUUGUUUCGUUUUGGGGGUGGCUCUGUGGAGGUUUCUUCUCGUCGGAUGGAGGGGAGGCGGAUCCCGAUAAGCCCGCGGCCGUGUAGCGGGCGGAGGAUCGUCGCGAGGAAGCGGCCACGGGUGGACGGGCUCGUGAACACCGUGAGGAAGCUCCAGAGGCGGGAGAUCAGCUCCGCGAGAGAUCGGGCGUUUAGCACGAGCAGCGCCCAGGAGAGGUUUCGCAACUUCCGGUUGCAGGUUGGUUGCGUUUUGAACCCCGAAUUGGCCAUCUUGUUGUAUGAGAAUCUUUUAUUUGGAUUAUGGUGGAUGUGCUGAGAUGAGGAUUUAAUGUUUGUUAUAGUGUUUAAUGAUAACUUCUGUUAGUUGAACGCUUGUGGUAAGGCGGUGUGGAUCUUCGGAUUGAUAAAAGAUGGAAACCAGGGAAUUAAGAAUCUUGCAGAUGUAAAUUGUCUACAGAGGGUAGAGAGUGGGGGAUAAAGUAACAUAGAAUCGAAUAAAGAUAGCAUCUUGAUAAUCUAGAAUAACCGCAAUUUCAUAAAGUUCUUAUGUUGUGCGUGUUUUAUGGCAUAGUCUAUUGUAGGAUUUCGAUAAGUUUGUUGAAACUAUGUCAAUAUGUCAUGCACGGCUCAGUCUUUUCUUUUAAUUGAACGAGGAGAGAAUCAUAUUUGAUGACAUUAGAACUGCUUAUCUGGUAAAAUUAUGUAGCUCUCUGUUAUCAAAUUUGAAAGCAUUCUUGUGUUGAAACCGUCAGGCACUAACUGAAACAACAGGUCGAUAGGGGAUAAUAAAUUUCAUUUUCCUAAUUUGUUAUGUUUUGCUUGCUAAAUGGCUUCUUGCUCGGUAAAAUAUGAGUAAUUCUCAUGGCAUUAAGGAGUUUAUAGAGGAUAUAAUACAGGCGUGAACUAAAUACUGGACAUUUUGAUAUGUCAUAUGUCCAUGCUGUUGGAGAACUAAAUAGCUCUGCUGUGUUGAACUAGAAGUGCUGCAAUCGGGUUUGGAUCUUUAUUUGAGCAAAAGAUUUAUUUGAAGAAAUAGUUGGAAGCAAUUAAGCAUAUAAAUGCCCAACAGAGGGGAUGCCCUUUCUAUCUGUAUGUUGUAUGCCUGCUAUUUCAUGUUGCUUACAGAAAAUAAUUUUUGAAAAAGAAUGUAGGCCGAAUUCUAGACUGUUAAUUUGUCUAUUAUCAAUUACCAACUGCAUGCAUGUUGUUACUAUCAUUGCGAAUUCAUCUGCUUCCUUGCUGCAAUUGUACUUGGGUUACUGACAGAUGCUUAAUUUGUAUGAUUUUUCUUAUGCCCUUUGCUCCAGGAAGAAUUCGAUACUCAUGAUCCAAAGGGACAGUUUUUGCAGCUCCCUUAUUUGAGAAAAAGGUCCAAAAUUAUUGAGAUAGUUGCUGCUAGGGAUGUUGUUUUUGCUUUAGCGCAAUCAGGGAUUUGUGCUGCCUUUAGCAGAGGUUUGAGUUACACACAUUACCUUAUAGUGUUAUAAUUUUCUUCAAAUUUACAUGAAUGAUUUACCUUUUCUAUUUAUAAACAGAAACAAACCAGAGAAUUUGUUUUCUCAAUGGAAGUCCUGACGAAGUCAUUCGCAGUUUGUUCUAUAACAAGAAUAACGAGUCACUCAUCACUGUAUCAGUCUAUGCUUCUGAAAGCUUCAGCUCCUUAAGAUGCAGGUCUACUCGAAUAGAGUACGUAAAAAACCUUAUGUCUCAUACAUGUGAUACUAUAUUGUGAUUAUGUUUUCCGUUGUUUAAUAAUCAAACUUAAAAAUCUUGCAUAUAGGUAUAUCAGAAGGGGCAAGCCAGAUGCUGGUUUUCCUCUUUUUGAGUCGGAAACAUUAAAGUGGCCUGGUUUUGUAGAGUUCGAUGAUGUAAAUGGGAAGGUUCUUACUUAUUCUGCAGAUGAUAGGUACGAAUGCUCAUUAUGUAGAGGACAGGACAUUGUUUUAGAUGAUUACUGAUAUUUUUCUUAUUUUGAAAGCAGCAUAUACAAGGUCUUCGACUUGAAAAACUAUACGCUGUUGUAUUCUAUACCGGAUAAGAAUAUCCAAGAAAUUAAGAUCUGGUAAGACUCUUUCCCUCUCUCUCUUAUCAUUUAUGGCCAAAAGUUCUGUCAGCAUGAAUUCUUUUCAGGAAAUUAUGCAAGCUUACUAUGCAGAAAGAACAUAAUAAUAAACUAGUUUACUAUGUUGCUCAACUUUUGUUAUCGUAUGUAAGCUUCAUUGGCACUUUAUUUUUACCACAAGUUGCAUAAUGGGAGAGCGAUUUUGUUGGUCCUACAGGUCAUGAGUUUAAAUCUUUCUAAUCCAACUGGUUUAUCUUAUUAAUUUACAGACAGUAGGUUUCUGCUUUUAAAAUGAUGCUUCCCUUUAAUGAAGCUUAUUGGACAUUCAAAAAAACAAUGCUUGCAUUUAAGAAAUCUAGAUGGUAUGCUUUGAGUAGUGCAGUUUCAUCUUGAAUUUUAUGAAGCUUUGAAGCCAGACUGGUUUAAAAAACACAUCCAAAUUCAUCUAAGUUUGUUGUGUUGCCUCGGGAAAUGCAUAUCCUAAUUUUAUAAUGAUUUUGUGAAGUACGCAACUGUUGAGAUAAAUGAAGGUGGCCAAGUGAUCCAGUUUUAUUCAUACUUGUUAGUGCCCCAUGAGAACCAUUUCUUACAACUGCUUUCAGACUUUGUUUUGAAUCUUGCGCGCUAAUUGAAGCAAGUAUGAGUAAUUGAAUUUUCUUUGUUGAGAAUUGAGAUAAAGGAACAGUUUGACUUAACUAUGUAACUAAGUCAUGGCGAAUAUGACUUUUAUCAAUUAGUGCUUUGUAUGAAUAUUAUUGAAGGGCAUUGUAUUGUGAGUUGUCUAUAGAUUUAUAUGUUCUGUUGUUUUGUAGCAGUCCAGGUAUAAUGCUAUUGAUAUUUGCACGAACCACCAGUCAUGUUCCUCUUAAAAUUCUAUCCAUUGAGGAUGGGACAGUUCUCAAAUCAUUCAACCAUCUUCUUCAUCGAAAUAAGAAAGUGGACUUCAUUGAGCAGUUCAACGAAAAGCUUCUGGUUAAACAAGAGAAUGAGAAUCUUCAAAUUCUUGAUGUAACAGUUUCUUCUCUAUUUCUUUAUCAAAGCAGUUCAAAACUUGGUGAUUCUCCUGUUUCUGAAAUGUCUAUUUGUCGGUAUUUAGGUCCGGAAUUCUCAAAUAACGGAAGUAAGCAGAACAGAUUUUAUAACUCCAUCGGCAUUUAUCUUUCUAUAUGAGCUACAAUUGUUUUUGACGUUUCGGAAUCAUUCAGUGGCAGUUUGGAACUUUCGAGGUGAAUUAGUCACAUCAUUUGAGGAUCACCUCUUGUGGCACCCCGAUUGCAAUACGAAUAACAUCUAUAUUACAAGUGAUCAGGAUAUUAUAAUUUCAUAUUGCAAAGCUGAUACUGAUGAUUCAUCUGCCGAAGGCACUGGUAAUGUUCAUGUUUCCACCGAUCACUUGUUAGUUGACAAGAAGUCCUUAUCAUUUUUGUAAAUUCUUCAUUACUACUUGCUUUUUUGUUUUCCAAUUUAAAAACAGAAAGAUGAUAUGUUUGACCAAAGUACUUUCGAUACGUUCCUUAUAUCGUUUUGCAUUUGUCUAGUUCAAAUUGUUUUUAUAUAGCAUCUAUACAUUGCACUACAAUUAUAUUGUGUAAUUAUAAUUAAGUACUUAACAGUAGUUACUUCAAUUUGGGGAAAAAUGGCAUAUAGGUCAUGCUUUUUUUUUUUUCUUGCUAUAUUAAAGUGGCUAGGCUUCAUUUAUGUUCUUUUUAUGGUAAAUUUCUCUCUUCUUUAGAUAUCCUUUAAAUUCAAACUGUUAAUUUAUGUAAGUGCCUUGUCUCACUCAAUAUCCUGGCAAACAGACGUUGCAUGCUUUCAUCGCUGAGGAUCAAGUCGUAUAUGUAGUAUUUACAUUAUGUGAGAUUGUCUUGUGGAGAUUUUCCUUAGUAGUCAUAUUACCACUCGUACAAUCUAGCAAAGUGUCUGUGUCAGGUAUUAUCAGGAAUAAGGAUGCCGCAUAUAAACUAUGACUCGCAAGCACUGAAGAUUAUCUUGUGAGGAUUGACCCCGCUGUAGCCAAUUAACUUUCGGAGUCGAAAGAUCUAUUGUGAAAUAUCUAUUCUGAGUACACCGUACGAAAACUACCCUUUUAGUAAUUCUUUACCUAUGUCAGUUGGGAAGUAUGGGGGAGCAGUGACGAUAUCCUCCCUUGCAAAAUAAUUGCUGUUUUUGUUUACACGGCAUUCAUUUGAUUUCUCACAGGUUUUAUUGAACCUUGGGAUGUUGAUUUUUGUAGCUUAUACACUGUUGCGGUAAACACUAACAUAUUGGUCUAUUGAUGUUCUUAGUAUCCAUAACAUUACAUUUCAUUGAACCUAAAUUUCAAAUACCGACUUAGUUCAUUUCUGAUGCAGCUGGAUCUAUAAACAUCAGCAACAUCUUAACCGGGAAAUGCCUGGGAAAAAUCCAGGCGAGCAGCUUAGACAAGCAAACAUGUUCUUCUAGGUUUAAAAACACAGUUUCAGAAGCUUUGGAUGACAUAACCGCCCUUUAUUACGACGAAGAUCGCAAUGAGAUCUACACAGGUAAUCGUCACGGUCUUGUUCAUGUCUGGUCCAACUAGUAGAGAUUUCCUCUGCAGAAGCGAUAUAUCGGUAUGACGGUAAUCUUUGUAUCAUUAGCAUGAUGUACUUUUAGUUCUUCAGCCAUUUUCUCCUGACCGCUUCAUUAUUUACCUUGUGAGGUUUGUUAACUUCUCGGCAACCUCUGCAGUGUUUUAACUUGUAUUUCCUGUAGUUUUAUCAGCCUCUUUUUUUUUUUUUUUUUGCCAUUCAUUGUAGUUUCGGGACUGUAUGCACAACUCUUAUUUGGUUUUAACAUUUAUUUUAGAUGCUCAUUCUUCCAUCAGUUUGCCCUAACUCUCUUGUCCACCUGGCAUUUGGCUUUGAAACCUGUUCAUUUUUCUAUCUUGUUGUGUGGUGAGAAUUUUUUUUUGACCUGUGUGUAAGGAAAUUUUUAAACUCUAUUUGGUUCUUUGAUCUUUAGUGAAUGGAUAGAACUCAUUGUGAAUGACUAACAAUCCGAGUAAUGUAAAUGUUAUUUACAGAAUUUUGAAAUAUUUUAAAAAGACAAUAAACCAUGAAAUUUUUUAUAUUGGACAGCCAAUGAUAUUAGAAAGUUAUACAAAUGCCAAUUGGAUAAUUGAUCGAGAAGAUCAUGCAUUUAUAAGUCAGGUGGAUAUUUUUAUUAGGUGGUGUUGAGCUAAUUACAUUGGGCCUAUUUGCUAUUUGGGCUUUGCUAUUUGGGCUAUGUAAUUUAGUGAAGUCAAAAUCUCCUCUCUAUAUUUUUAUUAUGUAUGUGGGUCCUCUAUUUGUAAGUCUUUGGAUCAUGGUUUUUUUGAUCCAAAGGCUCAUAUUGUUAGCCUCUUCUCUUAGAGAGCUAAAGUAGGAUAUUAGAAUAUGAGAGAAAAGUAGAGAGAGAAGUAGAGAGUAAGAAAAGAAGUGGGAGAAAAGAAAGAAAACCCUAGGUUUGGUUUUGAUCUUGGUUCUAUCAAGAAGGUGAGAUCUUCUUUGUGAGGUGUGGUUUACACCAUUUGGGUAGAGCUAAAGAUUGUUGGAGCUCUUUUUUAUAUCUUGGAGUUAAGGUGAUAUUUUUUCCAUUUGAAUCUCUCUUGUAAUCUCCAAAUUUAUAGUGGAAGCUUCUUUUGCAUUGUUCUCCCGUGGAUGUAGGUAUAGCCGAACCAUGUAAAUCUUUGUGUUAUUGUGAUUUGGUUUAUUUUGUUAUUGCUCUUGUGAUUGAUUCUCAAUUGGAUGUUUGUAGAGAGUGGGUUGUGAAAUUGUCAUCAAUAUUUUUCACCCUCAUUUAACAACAAUUGGUAUCAGAGUUUGAUUGGUGGUUAUUUGAGCAUUCAUUUGUGUUUAUUCACUCAUCCUUCAAAUGGAGAAAGCUAUGAAAUUUGAGAAGUUGAAUGAGAGCAAUUGGCUUAUAUGAAAAAUCAUGAUAGAGGAUUAUUUGGUUGCAAAAGAGCUUGAUUUAUCAAUAUUGGAAAAAGGUGCAAAACCCACUAGUAUGGAUAAUCAUGAAUAGGAUAUACUUGACCGAAAAUGUUUGGCGGCAAUUAGGCCAUGCAUUUCAUCAUCAAUCUUGUUUGAUAUCUAUCAAUGCAUGACCGCAUCCGAAUUGUGGGAGACUUUGAAGCAAUCGUUUGAACAACCUUCUGGUGUGAACAAAAUGCAUGCAAUGAAGAGACUCUUUCUCUUGAAGAUGCAAGAAGGUUCUACUAUUCGUAAGCAUGUGAGUGAGUUCAACUGAAGUCUUUCAAAAUUAAUUUUGAUGAAAAAGUCCUUUGUUUACUACUUUUGAGUUCUUUACCUUCAAGUUGGGAUACUAUUGUUACUAUGGUGGUGAACACAAUGGGGAACAAAUUCAAGUUGAAUGAUAUUGUUCCUUCAUUGUUGAAUGAGAAACUCGCAAAGCCACAAAUCAAUUGUUUAGUUAUUUGAGUCAAGCAAUAACUAUUGAUGAAAGAGGAAAGUCACCGAAGCGAGGCCAAUAUUCCAACACAAAGGGAAGAUCUCAAAGUAAAGAAAUAUCAAAAUCACAAGGUAGAAAGCUUACUUGUUGGUAUUGUAAGAAGACGGGUCAUGUGAGAAAGGAUUGUUAUGCUUUAAAAAAUAAGCAAAAAGGUAAAGACAAGGAUGUCAAGAAUGAAGCUAACAAUGCUUCGGAUGGUGAAAGUGGAGUCACAUUGAGUGUUGCUUGCACGGUCUCUUCUUGUGCAAACACUUGGGUUUUGGGUUCCGGUGCUUCUUUUCAUAUAUGUCCGGAUCGAUCAUAUUUUUCUACAUACAAAAAAGUGGAUGGUGAAUUUGUUUAUCUUGGUAAUGAUCGGGCAUGUAAAAUUGUCAGUAUUGGUGACAUUGUCAUAAAGUAAACAAAUAGUCAAAAGCAUACAUUGACAAAUGUGCGUCAUGUUCCGGAGAUCACAAAGAACUUAAUAUCGGCGGGACAAUUGGAUGAUUUCGGUUUUGUUAUCACUUUCGGGAAGGGCUUUUGGAAGAUAUCAAGGGAUAGUAUGACUAUUUUGAAAGGGAAAAAAGAUGGAAGUCUCUUUAUACUUCAUGGAACUGCUCAAAAGGGUGAUGAUUCAAAUUUGAUGGUUGCUACUGCAAGCAAAGGCGAAAAUAUGCAAGUUUGGCAUAAUCGACUUGGUCAUCUAAGUGAGCAUGGUAUGAAGGUAUUAUAAGAAUAUAAACUUAUUCCUUUUUUUGAGUAUUCAUUUCUUGAUUUUUGUGAACAUUGCAUUAUGGGAAAACAACAUAGAGUUAAUUUUAAAAGAAAUGAGAUGCAUAGAAAGGGCAAGCAAUUGAAAUUGGUUUAUUCCGAUAUUUGCGGUCACUUGGAGGUGCAUACUACUUUGUUACUUUCUUAGAUGAUUAUUCUAGAAAGAGUUGGAUUUAUCCUUUGGCUCCAAAAGAUCAAGUUUUUGAAAUUUUUAAGAAAUUCAAGACCCGUGUUGAAAAGGAAAGUGACCAUUUUAUUAAGUGCUUACAAACCGACAAUGGUCGUGAAUUUUUCUCUAGUGUCUUUGAUGAUUUUUGUCUUCAAGUGGGAGAUUAUUGAGCUAAUUAUAUUGGGCCUAUUUGCUAUUUGGGCUUUGCUAUUUGGGCUAUAUAAUUUGGUGAAGUCAAAAUCUCCUCUCUAUAUUUUUAUUAUGUAUGUGGGUCUCCUAUUUGUAAGUAUUUGGAUCAUGAUUUUUUUGAUCCAAAGGCCCAUAUUGUUAGCCUCUUCUCUUAGAGAACUAAAGUGGGAUAUUAGAAUAUGAGAGAAAAGUAGAGAGAGAAGUAGAGAGUAAGAAAAGAAGUAGGAGAAAAGAGAGAAAAUCCUAGGCUUGGUUUUGAUCUUGGUUCUAUCAAGAAAGAGGUGAGAUCUUUCUUGUGAGGUGUGAUUUACACCAUUUGGGUAGAGCUAGAAAUUGUUAGAACUCUCUUUUAUAUCUUGGAGUUAAGGUGAUAUUUUUUUCAUUUGAAUAUCUCUUCUAAUCUUCAAAUUUAUAGUGGAAGUUUCUUUUGUAUUGUUCUUUCGUGGAUGUAGGCAUAGCCGAACCACGUAAAUUUUUGUGUUCUUGUGAUUUGGUUUAUUUUGUUAUUGCUCUUGUGAUUGAUUCUCAAUUAAAUGCUUGUAGAGAGUGGGUUGUGAAAUUGCCCCCAAAGUGUUUGUGAAAUUGCCAUCAAUAUUUUUCACCUUCAUUUAACAACAGGUGGUGUAAUUUUUAUUAGGUGAAGGUGUAAUUUUUAUUUGGUUUAUUUUUUUUUAAUAUCUUUUAACAACUUAAUAGAGUGAGUGCUCAAAGAUCUAACUUCGUAUGUGCAAAACGCAAUUAGAGUUUGCUUUAUUGUAUCUUAAAAGACUAGUCGAUCCAGUGUAUACCAAAUUACUCGAACGGCCAUUGGUCGAAUUAAACCUUAGGCUAUUGUUUGGUUGGGGGUUAAGAGGUGGAAUAACUCCUUAACCCCCAUUUUAUCCUCAAACACUGCCAGUUUGGGGUGGGGUUAGCAAACCCCACCCCCCAUCCUUGCUUUUGCCCCGCACGCCCCUCGAAGCACACCACUUUUCUCUUUCUCCCAGCCCUUUGUAUUAUAGAUCCUUCCCCUUCCUCCUCGUUCUCACCCCGAAGCCUUUCACCUCCGGCUCUGCCUUCUCCCGAAGCCUCUCCACUCCGGUCGAAGCCCUUCACCUCCGGCUUCACCUUCGCCCGAAGCCCGUCACGUCCGGACCAAGCCCUUCUACACCCGCCCGAAGCCCUUCACCGCCGCCCGAACCCCUCCACCUCCGGCUUCACCUCCGCCCGAAGCCCUUCACAUCCACCCAAAUCCCUUCUUCCUCCUCGCGUUUGACAUACCCACACGUCCGGAUUUACCUUCUCACGGUUUAUCUGCCCGGUCUACUUCUGCCCGAAGCCCUUCACCGUCGGCCGAACCCCUUCACCUACGGCUUCACCUCCGCCCGAAGCCCUUCACCUCCACCCAAAGCCCUUCUUCCUCCUCGCGUCCGACAUACCCACACGUCCGGAUCUACCUUCUCACGGUUUAUCUGCGCGAUCUACACGGCCGAUUUGUUGGUUUCUUCGUGGAUUUGUGGAUUUCUUGUUGGUCUCGGUUAAGGCCCGUUCCUCGACAUCUUGGUCGUAGGGAGGCGUUGUGCUGCUACCCUUCGGUCUUCGGUUCUGAUCUUGCCAACAGUGUACGAAUUCCCCGCCGUUGCGUGCUAUCGAUCUCACUGUCGCGCCUUGACUAUCUCUGUGCUUGGUUCUGGCCAUUUCUGAGCUUAGACAGGUUUGAUCUCCAUGUUUACCGUUCCCAUAUAGCGUUUCUAUAUAUCCAAUGUUGUUGAAAUAAUAUCAUCUAUUUGCACAAUGGUUGGUAUAACGCACAUGAUGUUGAUUUGAGCAUACUUGAGAAUAUUAAGUAUUGGUUGGAAGCUUGUGGUUCGGCGAUGAUGACGGAUUCCAAUUAAGAUUAGAAGGAUGGCAUCGAUGGAAACAUCGAUGCAAUCCCAUGUUAAUUGGAAUCCACUUGAGCCAAUUAUGGGAAUGAACCAUCAAGACCAUAUUUCGUGGACUAUGCAUUUUUCUGCGUUGGACACAAAUAUUGCAUGAAACAUUUACUCUAUCCAUGUUUUUAUCAUAUCAUUCUAACCUUUAUUAUAUGUAGUCUACUUAGUACUAGAGAAUAACAAUUGCAUCAGUUUAUUGUGACCGCAAUGCUUAUACAUUACCUCAUAGGGCCUUUACUUUAUCUGCCAAUUUAAAUAGCAUGUAAUAUCGUAUAGUGUAUUUAUGUACUUUGUAUGCAUCCAUCAUGCACUGGUUAAUUAUUAACUACAGAUACGUCCCUUCAAAAAAGUUACAAAGUCCAAACAUAAGCAAGGUGGGUUGGCAGAUGACUCACCUAAUGAGGCUAGUGGUGGUAUUCGUAAUGAUACCAGAACAAGGAGUCAAAAUUGGAGCAACAUGCUCGAUGCACGAUUGUUGGGGCUGAUGAGAGAUGAACAUGCAUUUGGUAAUUGCGUAAACGGGUCGUUCACUCCGAUUGCUUGGAAGAGGAUGGUAAAUGAUUUCAACAGUCGAAACAAUUUGAACCUAACGAAGCAACAAUUGAAGAAUAGAUUUAAAGUUCAAAUUUUUUUUUCAAUUUGUAUCAUUCUCUUACCAACAAAAGCGGGUGGGGAUGGAAUCAUGACUUGCACAUUCCCACACCUGAUGACUUGUAUCGUUAUUUUGUUAUUAAGGCAUGUACAUUAGAUGACAGUAUUAAAUUGUUAAUAUCAUUUGUUCAGGAGAAUUCGGCGUACGCUAGGUGUAGGGAUAAGCCAUUUCCCGCCUAUGAUGACAUUGAUUUUCUUACCCAAAAUACUACUGCGUCAGGAAGAUAUGCAUUUACAACUGCUGUGGACACUCCCCCUACAAUUGAAAGCUCCUUUGGGUCAUCCCCUGGUGAGGAUGAUACUAUUGCUGGCAUUAGAAUGUCAGCUUGUAAUAUCUCAGCGUGUCCAUUCGAAGCAGGGACAUCUGGGUGCGCCAGAAAUGUUAACGAUGAUAGCGCAGAUACGUCACGCUCCCUAAGCCCUCCCGUAAUGCGCACAACUGGUGCAAGUAGUUCUGGUCAUAGCUCUGGUAGUAAAAGAGCUCGAUUCCCAGAGCGCAGCAAUAAGCAACCACAAACGACAUCUACAUCCGGGGAACGAAAAGAGAAAGUAGAUGCCCGAGCUUCUGCGAUGGCCGACAUGGUUGAGCUGGGAAAGGAAAAGCUUGUUUUGGUGCGGCAACUAUGCCAGGUAGAGCUGAGCAGUCGUGCUGAUAAGCCAUCACAGAACAAAUGCAUGCAACGAGUGUAUGGAAUGACGGGGUUAAGUGAUGAUCACAUCUUGGCUGUCGUCGAUGCGUUUAAGAAAGAUAAGAAUCGAGUAGCUUUCAUGUCAUUGAAGGACGACCAUGCAAAAACGUGGGUUGAGCGACAGCUUACGGAGCAAAAUGUUAUCUAUAGGCAAUUAUUUUUCGGGCUUUAGACAAAUGGCGUAUUGGUAAUUGUUCUUUAUCGUUCCUCGACCUAUGUUGCUUGUGGUAGUUCAUUAUGUUGUAUGUUACUUUGGUUUAUGUUUUCUGUAGUCUUAGCUUUGCAUAAUUUCUAGCUUGUGGUGGUGAAUGAUGAUUAUAUGAUGCUUUGAUUUAUGUUUUCUCUACUCAAAUUAGCUUUGCAUAGCUAUAUGUUCGUGUGUAGUUAUUUUUGUUUUAAUUUAUUGCGUGCUAAUUUAUUCAGUAUUUACAACAGUUUGAUUUUGAACGACAUUAAUGGUGAACGCACUAUAUAAAAUAAUUUUUUCUUCAGCAACCAUAGCCACCGUUAUGACAAUAUUAGACGAUGAUGAAUCUUUCGAGGCUAUGAUGCAACUUGAGUUAGAAUCUAAACCAGUUGCAAAUAGAGUACCCAGACAAAGGUGUCGGACUCGACCGUUUACCGGACAUCAAAUAUUGUGAGAUAUAUUGUCUGGUCAUCAUGAACGCUGCUACCAUAACUUUCGUAUGAGUGCAACUAUAUUUAUUGCACUCUGUGAUGCGUUAGUCAAGAGGGGGUUGAUAAGUAGCACAAGAAAUAUGACUGCUGAUGAGCAGUUAGGUAUAUUUUUAUAUGGCGUAGGGCAUGGCGUGGCAAACCGAAUUUUGGCGGAAACAUUCCAAUAUUCCGGAGAAACCAUCAAUAGGCAUUUUAACAAUGUUGCACGCGGCAUUGUGAGGCUAAAAGAUGAGUAUAUAAUAUUGCUGUUAAGUAAUGCUGCCGUGCAUCCAAGGAUUCGGGAUAAUCCAAAUUUUCAUUCUUUCAAGGUAACCAUGCACGCUUAUAUAUAUAAUACAUUAGUGUAUAAAUAAAUUUUAUUACUACUAAUAUUUUUCAUCUUUUCUUUUGUAACUGUAGAAUGCUAUUGGCGCGAUCGACGGAGCACAUAUUCCAGUAGUGGUCAGAAGGAGUAAACAAACACCAUUUCGAUGUCGAAAGGGUUUACCUCACAAAAUAUGAUGGCUGCGGUGUCAUUUGAUCUAAAUUUUUUAUUUGUAUGCACAGGGUGGAAAGGCUCUGCUGCCGAUAUGAGAGUACUUCGAUGGGCGUGCAAAUCAGGUGGUUUCGUUGUUCCCAAAGAUAGUGUUGCUAAUAAUUUUUCUGUUUAAUUAAAAUAUAUAUGAACACUAUUCUAGAUAAUUCCUGUUUACUUAUGACAUUUGGUAAUUAUAUUAUUUGCAGGCAAGUAUUACUUAGUAGACUCUGGAUACGCAAAUUCAGAAAAAUUUCUUGCACUCUAUAGAGAAGAGCGUUACCAUAUUAGUCAAUUUGACGCUAGCACAAGAGCCCGCGUUCAUCGAAAUCCACGAGAUUUGUAUAACCACCGGCAUACUCAAUUAAGAAAUGUGGUCGAGAGGACAUUUAGCAUUUGAAGAAGCGUUUCAAAAUUCUCAAUAUAACAACAUCGUUUCCGUAUAAAGUUCAAUGCUUGAUUGCUAUGGCAUGUUGUAUAAUACAUAACUUUAUUCGUCGUCACCAAGCAAAUGAUGAAAUUUUUUCUGAGGAUCCAGAUGAACAGGACGCUGAAAAUGAAGGUGGAGAAUGCGAUUUAGUGGGAGUAAUUGAUGACUUCCAAAAUGGUGAGGAUCUCCGUGCUAAUAUUACAAAUCAAUUGUGGAGCAGUAGAAUAUAAGUUUAUCUAAAUUUUAUAAUUGUAUUGCUAUUUGGUAGAACUAAGUGCAGUGGCUGUAUUGUUAUUUGACAUUUGUAAGAUGAUAAUGUAUGAGAUGCAUAUGCUUUGUAAUACUUGCUUAUUUAUGCCUUUUAUGGAACAUGUAUUAAUGUUAGAAGUUGUGAUGAUAUUUUCUGCGUUAAAUGUUGGUAGGUAGAUCAUGUUGGUAGAUAUAAUUGUUUUCUAACUCUGUUAUAUAGUUUACUCUUUCAAACUGUUUUGGUUGUAUAUGUAUUUGUUUUUGAUUCAAUGUAUUGUUAUCUUUGUAAAAGUUCGUUGAUGUGCAGAUUGACUUGAUGUACUUAAAUAUUUGUGUAUUAUUAAUGAUAUCCAAAUGGUAAUGCUAAUUUUUAUCAAAUUUCGCAACGUCUCGUAUGACUGCCAUAAGUGAAGUGCAAAAGUUGGGCGUACGCGUUGUGGUGGUUAUAUGUGCUUAUUGGAAGUAAAAGUGUUAUCGGCACAAAUCGAAUUUGAAAACGUCUAACGGUACUCAACUCUACUAGAGGCUAAAUUUGAAAGGUUGAAAAUUAGUGUUUUUGGAGGGUUAAAAUGCAAUUAUAAGUAAAAUAUUAAAAUAGUUCGGAAAAUGCAAAUGUGAGUGAAAUUUGAAAUUAAGACAAUUUUAAUAUAGUUGUUUGAAAAUUUUAGAAAUUUUCAAAAUCACAAAAGAGUAGUGAAAAAUAUUUUUUUGUACAAAAUUACGCUAAAAUGUAUUUAAUUUUAAUCCUCACAAUUAUUUGCGAGCAUAGAAUUUUAAAAACCAAAAAAAAAAUUUUAUUUCAAUACAUUAAUGUGAGGGUAUUUUCGUCUUUUUAUCAUUUUACUAACCACUAUCCUUCUUAUCUCACCUACUCCAAUCAAACAUAAUUUUUUACUAUUUCGGACUAACUCUAACCCUCAAUCUAACACAAAAAUAUUUUAAUUCCAUCUUAAUUCUAAACUUAAUUAUAUUUCUAGAAUAACUAAUUUUUUUUUAAUUCCGAACCAAACGGUAGUCAGGAAAAUGACUUUUUACACAUUUUGAAGUUUUUUUCAUCUUUCUACUGCAUAGACUUUUUACCCAUUUUGAUACAACCACUGGGAAAAAAAAAAAAAAAUCUAUUUCUAUCUCGAGGGCGUGUUUGAUUAUGCUGAGCUGUACCUUGCUGAAGUCAGCAAGGUCCGUCCUUACGACGACUCGACAUCACGCCACACUCGUUGGGAGUGAAGUCGGAGGACGCGAAAUCGCCAUCCCAGUGAGACUGACUGAUUGUGGUGUUAUUUAGUAUCAAACGUUAUAAUUUAGUCUUAAACAAGUAAUCUUGUUUCAAAUAGUUUUUAAAAAAAAAAAAAAAAAAAAUAGAUAGCACGCUACCCGUUUCGUUUAUUUUAUUUAAAAAUAAAUUUAGCAAGAAGUGUGAAUCAAUUAGAAUUCGAACUUGAAACCUCGAAUAUCAACCACCAAAUUCUUUGUCACUUGUUCCUGCUUUAUUUAUAUAUAUUUUUUUGUUUUGAGCCUUUCUUAUAGCAGUUAUGACAUAUGAUAAUUUUUUAUGGAGAAAAUUUUUUUUUUCUUUCAUCCUUAUGGCCCACAGUUGCCGACCGUGUCUCCGCAUUCGCUCUGACGUGCUCUUCCUUUUAGUCAUCCUCAAAUCUUACAGUACCCUCGCCGCAGUCUAUUCUUUCGUCCUCCGCCGUGGCCUCACUUUCGAACUCUAAGUCUCUACCGGCAGCAGAAGUGUGGGUGAAAUAAGAGAGGAUCAUAGCAUCGACGUGGGGACAAUGGAAAAGGGAGGAGAAAAGAAGAAGCGGCAAGAAGCAAGUAAAGAAAAAAAGGAGAGAGAAAUAAGAGUAAUUUAAUCAAUUUACUAAAACUCCAAAUCUAAUUUACAAAACUCAGAAAAAUGUUCAAUUUUUAUAAAAACACAGUUUUUUUUUUUUUAUAGAAUAGAAAUUGGCCAAACCUUUUUUAAUUUAAUUAUUAAUUCAUUCCCCAGUAGCUUUUAUGAAAUAAGUAAUAAAUACCGAUUAGUUCUCAAAUUUCUAAAUAACCUGAUUUGAUUAAUGAUCAUUCAUUUCUUAGUUCUCUGUUACCUCAUUUGCAUAGUGAAAGGCAUCAAAAUUUAUGUUAUUUCCAGUUAUGCAAACAAUUUUACCUAUAUCAUGUCCCGCCAUCUUUCUCACUAUUAUUUUUUUCAUUUGUGAAAAGAAAAUUAACACAAAAGUAAUAGUCACAAUUAAUAAACCACCAUAUUAAUUUUAAGAUUAAUUUCAUACAAAUUCCUGCAAACAUAGUGAAUGGCAAAUGUAUCCUUACAAAGUUUAACUUUCAUAUAUUAUUCCUGCAAAAGUAAGUCAUGAUGUUUUCAAAUUUGUCCCUCUAAUUUGUUACCGUUAGAGAGCUGUUUAUAUUUUCAAAUUUGCAAUCACAAAUACGUCCCUCCAAAAGCCAUUACAAUAUAAUAUAAGAGGAGUAAAAAUAUCAAAAACUAACCAAGGUUAAGUAUUAACCUAUGAUUUGUCGGAUUGUUGGCGCUAACCAUUAAUCCCAAAAGCUCGAACUGUUAGAAAUAUGCAACCAAUUCAUUUAAAACGUACAGAUAUAGCGCCCACGGGUCUCGAUUGUGACUCGGCCCAAUGAGCCUCACGCCACUUCGAACAUGACUCGGCCCAUUCAGCCUCACGCUAUUUCGAACAUGACUCGACCCAUCCAACCUCAUACCAUUUUGAACAUGACUCGACCUAACAUGGCCUCCUGCCAUAAGGCAGGAUGCUGGCUCAUUUAAGCCAACAAUCCCCCAUCCAGCAGCUGCACACAUUCGCAGCAUCCGAAAAUCAAACCCGUGACCACUAGCUCUGAUACCACUUGUCGGAUUGUUGGUGCUAACCAUUAAUUCCAAAAGCUCGAGCUGUUAAAAAUACACAACCAAUUACUUAAAACAUACAGAUAUAGCGCCCAGAGUCUCGAUUGUGACUCGGCCCAAUCAGCCUCACGCCACUUUGAACGCCACUUCGAAUAUGACUCGGCCCAUCCAACCUCAUGCUAUUUCGAAUAUGACUUAGUCCAACAUGGCCUCCCGCCACAGCAGGAUGCUGGUCCAUUUAAGCCAACAUAUUUUAACUUAAUUUUCUAACGGCAGAAAUAUAUUCAAAAAUAUCAAGACUUUUACAAGAACAACAUACAAAAGUUGAACUUUGUAGAAAUAUAUUUGUCAUUCACUACGUUUGUAGGGACCUGUAUCAAAUUAAUCCAUAAUUUUAUAUCAUAUGCACAUAUAUAACAUACCCAACUCUAGUAUAUUUAGAAUUUAUACUCUAAUGUAAAUUUAAGUUCUUCCCAAUUUAUCUUUUACGUAUUUAAAUCUUCAUCUUAAUAUAAUUUAACUACAAAUGUGAUCAAAUCCAAACAUCAUUAAUGCCACAACAUUUGUGAAUAGUGUCUGAUGAUGUAAAACUAAUUAUGACAGCAUGAGAAAUUGCCAAAUAUAAGUCACAUACCGCACGCGGCAUGCUCAGCAGCACUUUCUGGAACAGUAGUGAACAAAAAAACAUAAACAUACAUCAGUAAUCAAGAAUUCUGGUUAGAGGCAACAAAUGAAGUUACCAAAAAGAUAACUGAAAGCACAUUCUGACCAUACAAACACACUGCUCUCUCUCAAAAUCUGACUUGAGAAGGUAGAUAUUAGAAUUGUGAUUUGUCGAGGGUAUCGAAGUAGGGAUGUUCCAUCGCUGCUUUUGCUGAUAUUCUGCUUGCCGGGUCGAACUGAAGCAUUUUCUGCAGGUUAUUAAACACCAAUACAGAAUUUUAAUGGACACUAGAUGAUGAUGAUAGAGGUAGAAUCUUGUUUUGACAAAUUUUAAAUUCCUAUUUGAUGCCGAAGGUACUGGAACUUGAAACACCACAGUUACAAAUCAUGCAUUUUAAAUUAAACGCCACCAUCAAUUCAUCUAAAGAUUUAUUAUGUUCCCUAGUUCAAGAUUAAAUUUGAGCUAAAAAUCGGUGGAUGGUAUGUUUAUCAAUUAUAUAAUCCUAUUUUAGAAGCAUCAUAACUAACGAAGUGUUGCUUUUCCCAAUUUCUGGAUAUCUAAUUUGAGGUUCUAUAAAUUAGUUUAAUGAUAUGGUGAUUUACCGAGAGAAGGUCUACACCCUCCGGUUCCAGUGCUGGAACUGCACGAGCCAAAUUUUGGGACUUCCACUGCGGAUAUUCAUGCCAAUCUCUCAGAGAGCUGACUCCAGGCCAUAACUCAUCAUUCGGAGUCCCCAGCAUCCUUUCAGAAAAGAAGUACAAUAUUCGGAUAAAACAAAAUAAUUUAUUAACAUACAUAUAGUCGAUGAAACUAGGAUACAUUACUUUUGCCUUACCCAGAUCUAGAAAAUGUUGAUUAAGGUGGAUCAAAAUUGUUAAGAUAGAAUGUUAAACUUUCUACAGUCAAAACAAGAAUGUGUCAAAGGUUCAUUAGAAGAUAUUAAUACUUAAUGACAAUUUAGUUUGAUUUGGAAGUUGAAACAAAUUCAUAAUUCUAAUUCACUUUAUUUUUGGAUAACCUUUGUAAUUCUCUAACUCCAAUCAGGCAAUGUAAGAAAUGAAAACACACUAAUGGUGAUAAUUGCAUAUGUAAUGUGUUGAAUAAACUAGCAGCUCAUAUUAUUUUUAACGAACCUGAAAAUGUGUAGCAACUGCUGCAAUUCCGAAUCACCAGGGAAAAGGGCUUGUCUUCUAACCAUUUCAGCUGCAUAAAUAGAAAAUUAAGUCAGAAAAGGCAUCAAAAGGAGCAGAAACCAGGCAACAUAAUCCAUGCUUGCUUACCCUCCCAAAGUUUCUUAAGCCAUGCACAGUUUAAAUCCAGUGUGAUUUACAUAAAAGUCACAAGAAUUUGCUAUUAAAGGGAAAUAGAAUCUCUAAAUUUUCAAACAGUGCCUGAACUUUUAAACUUAAACUAAAGAGAGUUAGUAAUAUUGCCCAUGCUGAGGCAACAAGAACUAUUUGGUACAGACUAGCAUUAUUUAUGAUUUCAAGGCCAUAAGAUUUAGGCAGUAGUAGGGGCUAAGUCGGCUUCCAUGUCUCUCAAUAACUCAUGUCUUUUUGCUUUCAGUCACACCAGUAGCACACAAAAUAUAUGGACUCACAUAAAUAUCAGAAAGUGCUGUUGAUCUUAAAGAAACAAGUGUGCGAAUUAUCUUGUGUUAGCUCUCAGAUUUGGUAGCAUUUUCUUAACCGUCUCUUUUACGACAAUUCUGAACUGGCUCAGAUUUAGUUAUUGAAAAACAAGCAUCCUGUGAAUCAGAAAGUGCUACUAGUAUGCUACUCUUAUUGGUCUAGAUUGAACUGAAGGUUGGUUAGACAAAACAAAGAAUUUAGAGAAAUAAAAAGUUAUCCAAAUGAAUUCGAAGAAAGUAGUACUUAACAUACCAAAUAUACAUCCAACAGACCACAUAUCAACUCCAGUAGAGUAGUGUGUUGUCCCUAGCAAAACUUCAGGAGCUCUAUACCACAGGGUAACAAUCUACAACAGCAGAAACUGGUUUAAUAGUCUAUCCCAUUAAUUUAACUUAAAAAAUGGAAGUGAAAAAUAUACAAAAAGAUCAAACAACGUGGGUGACAUUAAAGAUGUCCGUGGAUCGGGUCGGGUCUGGAUAAUUAAUAUACUGUACCCAUACCCUAAAAAGAAAUGGUUACAAAAAAAUAUAUAGACCCUAUCCAUUUAACUUCGGGUCAGGUCCGGGUCUGGGUACUAAAGUUUCUAAUAUACCCAUCGGGUCUAUUUGAGCGGGUCUGGAUAGUGACUACUCGUAUACUACCCGUUCAAAAUCGGAUAUGGAUCGGGUCUAAAUCGGGUACGGAUAUCCGUAUAAAUAUAUUUUUUUAUAAACUUUAUUAAAUAGUCAAUAAACAAACUAUAUUGUUGACAAUGAAAUAUUGUUGGCAGAAAUGAAAUGAAAAAAAAGAGUAGAAAACAAAGAGUAAAAAAAUUAGAAAAAAGUAAUGAGUAAAAGAGACGGCUAGGGUUUCAUUAGGAUGAAAAUACAUAGUGACUCAUCAUCUAUGAGUCAUAUUAAAAUUGAUCCUUCAACUUCAAAAGUUUAUUUUUUUUUAUUUACUAUCGGAUAUUUCAUCGGGUCCGGGUCCGGGUCCGGGUCCGGAUUUGAAAACUAUUCCGGACCCUACCCAUUUAAAAGUUAGGUUCGGGUCGGGUCCAAAUCGGGUAUGGGUAUAAAAUAUCCGGACCUAUACCCGAAAUUUUAAUGGGUAAUUUUUUUUAUCCGUAUACUAUUCAUUUUUUAUCGGGUCCGGUUCGGGUCCGGUUCGGGUCUGGGUAGGGUCCGGAUCGGGUAUGGGAUAUCGGAUAUUUUGGACACCUUUAGGUGACAUAGGUUGAUGAUGGAUAAAGAAGCUGAUCAGGCAGGACCUCAUGAGUGUAGCUUUUCAGAGGGAUGGUGAAGGCUCUUCCGAGACCCAGAUCUGCAAUCUUCAAGAUACCCUUCUCUUUGUCAACCAAGAGAUUUUGAGGCUUCAGAUCCCUUUAAUCAUCAUAAAACAUCGCAUAUCUCAUCACUUCAAAGUUUCACGUUAUAGAGUAAGGUAACAAAUUCAUAAAAGCAAAAUCCGACCUGUGAAGCACGCCAUGUCCAUGGCAAUGGGCAACUCCUUUACACAACUGAUACAGGAAACUCUACAAUAACAAGAAUAAAACAUAACAUAAUUCUCACAUCAAGAAUCAAGAAUAAGAAAUGAAGUCCAGCAUAAUCUAAUGAACAACUAUUAAACAAAAUGAGUGAUCAGCAUAAGGAUAUCCUGUGCAGAUUUAUCUCUACAUGAAACUGUUUGUUAAUAACAAACCAAGUGGUCUUUUGACUUGUUGACUCCCCUUGAUCAAACUCAGAUAUCUCAUAUACCAUUGGCAAUACCAAACAUGACUGGAUAACAGGAAACAAAAUUAAUGAGUGAGCCUGAAGUCAACACGGCACGAACUCGCCUAACCGGAAUAUGAACACAAUAUACUAAGGCCUUCACAAUUAUUUUUUUAUUUCUUUUUCAAAAAUUCAAAAAUUAAGGUUACAAUACAAACAUGUAGACAUAGUUCUCAGGUUGAUCUGACGAAUCCGAAUAUUAAACAGGUUCACGGCCCACAAACCUGAAUCGCCACCCUGAUCUCAUUUAACAGCUACAUGAUUAGGAAAAAAUCCAACACUAGCCAAUUAUCAAUCAAGAUUUCAUUUUUCAAGCAGAACACACUCACAACACCCAAGAAACACAUAUAGAAGAAUACCUGAAUCACUUGCGGCGGAAGAGGCCUCGGAUUGGGGCCCCUCCUAUGCGAAUCAAUGAACUUCUUGAGAUCAGUGUCCAGAUACUCAAACACCAGAUAAAGCAGGGGCUUUCCGUUCUUCUCCGCAUGCUCCACAUUAAGCAAUCUACAGAACCAAAUCCACUGAAGAAGAAGCACAAAAUUUAGGGCAAAAAUUAGGGCAUGAAGGUGAUCGUCGGGUACCGGACGAUGUAGAUGCUCUGGGAGAGCAUCUGGAGGAGGGAGAUCUCGCGGAGCGCGGUGGGGGGGAUCCCUUCCUCGUCCAUCUCGAGGCGCGUCUUCUUGAGGGCGACGAGUUGCCCCGUCGCCUUGUCCUGGGCCUUGUACACCUUCCCGUACGUCCCUUCCCCGACCUUCUCGAGCUUCUCGUACUUCUCCAUCGCCGAGAAACCCUAGGUCGUUCUCGGAUUCGCGAAUCGUCGAAAACCCUAGAUCGGAGCGGAUAGUAGAGGAAGGAGUGAAACCCUAGCGCGUGAUCUGUUUGAGGUUGGGAAUGAGAGGGGACGCGAGUUUUUGAAAUGUGAAGGGAGGAGGGAAAAAGGAAUUAGUGGGCCGGGCCAUGUGGGGAGUGUAAUGGGCCGUGCGAGGCUAUAACGGUCGAAUUAUUUGAAAUUUGAAAUGUGUAGAUAGUUUAUCCAUUCUACUUACCUGGAAAGGACUUUUUGUGCAUAAUAAAAGUCGAUGACAAGAAAAAUUUUUUAAAAAAUUCUUGCUUUGAUAGGGUGUCAAAUUCGCCAACCGAAUCUGAAUUCGAAAAAUUAAUCGGAUUCAAACCUAGAAUUGUACGAUUUUGACCGUACAUCGGAUUUUAUACAACUGGUUUAAUUUUAUAUACGAUGACUCGUAAUGACAGAGUCUUAAAGCAUGUGAAAAUUAUGGCUUCUUUGUUUGGCUGAAGCUGCUGCUAAAAAGCAUUGUAGAAGACAAUCGAUUGAGAAAACAUUCAUUAAUAUUUUAUUAUAAGUUUUAAGUUGAUACCUAGUUUUGUAACUCAGAAGCAUCCAGUAUUUGUGAAAAAGAUCAAAUUUGAUUGUUCACUAUACAAUUUAUCCCAUUUCUAAGAGCAUAUACACUCCUUUCUCAUGUAACUUCAAUCUUAAGAAGCACAGUAUUUGUUAUCCCUUUUUUGUUUUUCUGCUCACCUUUUUUACUUGAAUCUAGCAAAUGCUACAUAAAAUUCCAUAAAAAAAAAAUGUAACUACUAAAGCGAAAAUGUAAAAAAUUUCAUUCUUCAAUGAAAGAACCAACUUUGCCGAGCUACUACAGAUUAGGGCAAUACUAAGAUGCAUUUCACUCCAUUAAGUCAAGCUUUUGAUAAGCUACUUCACCAAGUACAAAAAGGACUUCCUCUUAUUCAUGAAGCUCGGAAGCAUCAUCCAUUGGCAAGAAACGAAUUAACCAUAAAUACAAAUCAAAAUGAGUUUCAUACUCUUAAUCACGAUUUCAAACUGCGGAGCAUAAAAAGCACGGAGUAUUGUGCUGCGAGCAAUAGCGGUUGCUGUCAACACUUCGAGAGCGAAACUGAGCUAUCAAAAGCAGACCCCACAUGGCUUAUAACAAAACCGUAGAUCUUGCGCUUCAACUGCUCGACUCUUUCCUUCACCCUAUCUUCUCCUUGCACUCUCCCCACCCCAUCCAACCAUUCAUUGAUCCUCUUCAGCUGUGAAAGCACUGCUGCCACUCUACCAUUGUUAUCCUUUCCGUUACUCGAGCCAUCUCCGAACAAGCGGAAGCCCACGUCAAGCGCUUCUUCAACGAACUUCAAGAACCAGUUCUGCAUCUCAUGCCGAAGAGCCUUUGCGAGCUCGAGUGUUUCGCUCAUUCCUUGUCCUCUUCUCCACUUGUUGGCUAUUGAACUUGGUUGCCUCUUCGAAAGGCUUGUUCUCGGAGGAUCUACGGAGACAGCUUUUGGCUUUUCUAUAUCCUUUUGCUUGUGGAUGCAUUCAGUAACAUCAUUUAAUAGGCGGAGCGCUUCAAGAUCUGUAACUAACGCUGCCUCGACCCAAAGAGUGGCUGAUUUAGUACUCUCUAGAGAUGUUGUAUCAUUCGGUCCAUUGUUAAGAGACUCAGAAGUUGAGUUCAACUUCACAAUAUCUUCAUAGAUGGAGAGAAAGCGAUCGAUUGUCGGGAGCGGAUUGUUAGCUUUCGAUGUUGAACAAAGAUUGGAAAACAUGCUGCAAAUGAAAGUUGACAAGCAAACCAAAAAAAAAAAACCUAUUACUAACAACAAAGUUAUAGAGAGAUUGGUUGGAGUUAGAACCGAAUAAAAGGAAUUUGUACCUUAAAUUCCUGAUCACAGAUUCGGUGACCAAUGCCUCUUCCAACGCUUCCGCUGCAGCUACUGAUGCAAUGUCUCUCCUCAGGAAAGCAUCCUGUAAUUUAAAGUGAAAGAGGUUAGAAGGUAAAAUAGAUUGGUUAUAGGAUGAAUUUAUUUUAACAAAGCUCAUUUCAGAGAGAGUGAGGAUGCAAAAACAAUUCUAGAGAUGUCACAGAUUUAAUUAUUCCUGCAGAAUCUGAAGUUUGAACUAAGAUCUUCAAAGACUUAUUUGUUACAUGUGUAGGAAACCUUUUCUGAUAACAAACCAACUUUCGUGCGAAAUUGCAUGGGUUUUCAAUUAAUGGCUAUUUGGCAAGUUCUCGUGCGGGGAUAAAAACAAUUCAGAUAUUAGUUACUGCGAUUUAUGAGCAGCAAAAGAUGCAAUUUUCUGAGAAGAACAUCUACCUUUCCGAGCUUCGCGAGGUUACUAGACACACCGUCCAGUGGGAUGCUGCCAUCUGUCCACUUUCGCUCCUGAACUGUAACAUUUGCAGAUGCCAAGUUCUGCUUCUCUGAAGAGGUGGAUUCCAUCUUUUUACUCGAUUUUGUUUUCUCAUAUUUAGAAACCUCCGGUUCGACCUUCUUACUUGGUUUAGGCUUCUCAUUAGUGGAUGCUUCCUCAUUAUUUGAUUGUUCCCAACUAGCGUCGCUCAGUCGCCGUGACAUUGCAACCUAUCCAGAUAAAAAGAUGCAGAAAAUGAGUCAGCAUUUACAGAUAAAAAAAAAAGCGCGGAAAAAAAAAAAUACAAACUUAAGCAUUCACACAGAACACGAAGCACAAUAACUUUUUGUUUUUUAGCCUAGACCAGCUGUUUUAAUUGAAGAAAUCAAAACAACUUCAGUUUCAAAAAUUUAACAAAAUUCAGUUUGAGAUAGCUUUCUCAAUGAAAUAGAAGAAAAACCAAAAUGCCGUUUUAUCAGAGCCAUGAUUGAAUGCAAUUCGGUACCGCUUACAAAGCCGUGGUCCUAAGUCCACAUUUACCACUUCAUGGCAUAAAUUUAUAUUUGGCGCACGUGAUAUGAUUCACCAGAUCUCCAUCACCCAUAUAAAUUUAUAUUAAGAUUGAUCUUUCGGUAAAAAAAUAAACAGAAAUUAAAGUGAAGUAGUAACCUGGGUCCUCAAAAUGGCUUCUUUAUCCACUUUACUCUUGGACCCUCCCUUGUCCUUGAGCUCCGAAGAGACCGACGAAUCGUCCCAGCUCUUCCGCAUCGACUUCACCGACCCCAGGAGCGCGUCCGACACCUUCGAGAUCCCCGCGACCACCACCCCACCCUUCUUCUUCUCCCCCGUGGCCGGCGACAUCUUCAGCCCGCCCGACAGCCUCCUCGCGGGCGACAUCGACCCCCGCCUCCCCAUCGGCGAGCUCGCCGACUUCCGCCCUGCGGGGGACGGGUUCCGGUACCUCGACGGGACCACGAUCGCGGGCUCCCUCGCGGCCCUCCGGUUCUCCUCCUUCGCCGCGACCAGGCUCGGCACCACGCACUUGGACGGGGCCGGCGAGGAGGGCCGCGACCCCACCGACGGCGACGACGGCCGCGAGCUCUCGCCGUUGCUCUUCCUCGCCGCCAAUUUCGCCCCCGCCGGCGACGAGAAGCGCCGCUUCCCGUUGGGGGCUGCCGCCGCCGCAUUUUCCUUGUCGGAGAUCGAGUUGUCGGGUUCGAGGGGGAAAUUGGGGGAUUUGCGGGAGGAGGAGGAGGAGGGGAGGAGGGGGGGGCCGGCGUGGGCGGGGGAGGCGGGCUGGAUGACGAAGCCGCGGUGGGAGGGGGCGGAGCGGGCGACGAGGGGCUCGGGGGAGCCGGCGAAGGGGAGGGGGCGGGAGGCGGGGACGGGGCGGAGGCCGAGGGCGCGGGGGACGGGGGGGCGGUCGAAGCGGAGGCGGUCGACGUGGACGAGCUGGCCGAGCUGGGGGCGGGCGGAGAGGACGGCGUCGGCGUCGCGGUCGGAGAGCGCGACGUAGGUGGAGUGGAGCGAGUCCGACAGCUGCAGGUAGAAGCCGUGCGCCGGCCAGAGGUCGUCGGCCGUCGACGCCGACAGCGCCGGCACGAUGCCCGUCACCUGCAGCACCGCCGACCGGUGCUCGCCCGCCACCCGCGCCUCCGUGUCCAUCGACUGCAGCAGCUUCAGCAGCACCCCCGGCGUCACCGUCGCCAUCGUCCGUCCCCCCACCACCACCACCACCACCAACCAAACUGUAAAAAUAAGCUUUAAUUUAGACCCCACUACUACUCCUACGAGGGGAGAGGCUUUGAAUGAGCGAAUGAGCGAGUGUGAGUGGUACUACUACUACUACUACUACUACUACUACUGUAUUGUGUGAGAUCAUAGAGAGAGAUGUGGCCAUUUGGAUUGUCGGCGGGGGGGGGGGGGAGGAGAGAGCCGUUAGGAUGACGUUGGGGGAGGAUUUUGAAUUUGAAUUUCAAAUGAUGCCCGCGUGGUCGGGGUGUAAAAACAGGAGAGAGCUGGGGGGUAUUUUGGGAAUUGUGGAGCGUACUAUUCUCACGGGUGGCGGGUGCGACGGACUCGCGGUGGGGAGGGCCGUUACUCUGUUUUUUUUGUUCGAGAGGGCCGUGACAGUUGGCGAAGACUUAUUGGCUCACCUAUAGAUUUUACCAUCCAGUGAUUAUAAUUAGUUAGAAUUAUUAUGAACUAUUUUAAAUUAACUAUCAAUUUUCUAAAAAAAUUAAAAAUUAAAAUUUUAAUUUUUUAAAUUUAUUUGAUUUGAGUCAAUCAAUAAUAUUUUAACUUUCAAAUAUGAAUGUAUUAUUUUUUUUAAAAAAAUAGUUAAUAUAUUUUAUAUAAUUCUCGCAACUGUAAAUUUAUUAAAAUAAGACAUUAGUUUAACUUCUGAAGUUAAAAUACUGUUGACUGACUCAAAUCAAAUAAAUUAAAAUAUUGGAUAAUAAAAUUAAAAUUUUGAAAGAUUGACUAAUAAAUGUUUAUGUUUUUACCUUUAAUUAUUGUUAAAUGGCUCAACAAAAGAAUUUUUGUUUGUUUGUAAAUAUCGAUUUAAAUUUAAAAAAUUUUAUGCUUAUCAUUAUAAAUAUUGUAAUAUAUCUAUUUAAUAAUUUAUUUAUUUCCCAAAGAGCUUGAAUGGAAUCAAUAAAUCAAUAAUUUAUUUAUUUCUAGGAGUGCUAUGCGGGACUUGUUUUCACUGUAAGUUACCCCAGCAUUUUUAAUUAAAGCAUAUAUAUAAACUAUAUUUUAAAAAUCUUUGAACUUUUAAAUAAAUUUUGAAUGGCUUGGCAAGGUGCUCCCAAAUACGGUCCCAUGCACCGUGUGCGGUCCGUGUCGUGCCGUGCCGUGAGCUGCUUGGCUUAUUUUACACCUUUGGAACUUCCACAGAAACAUUGAUAGGCAUUGGCGUGUUCGUGGGCCCAACUUGAGAUCAACGAGCGUUGUCGCCUAUUUUAUUACUUUGAGCCUAGUUCGGCCCAAUCCAUUCAUUCGGAUUAAACCUUUUCGGGCUUGUCUUUGUUUACGAAUGUAAAAUUGCGUGGAGACAUCUGUUAUUCUGAAUUGGUCACUUAACUAUUCUUCUAUCAACUAAUGUCCUCUAGGGUUGAGUGGAUAGUUAGUUGAAUAGUAUGAUCUAACGGAUGAAAAUGAUCAAACGGAUAAAUCUAACGGUAGAAAAUUUGGUAGCACAAAGUACUUGGUAUUAUUAAUAGCAUUGUAGCUGAACUCAAGAGAAAGAGCUAGGCUAGAAUAUUAGUAAUAGCACCAAGUCAUUGGUCAUAUUAAGUUUCGGCUUUUUGAUGAAACGAUGCACAGUUAGGAUGAUAGUGGUUCUCUAGGGUUAAGUGGAUAGUUGGUUGAAUAGUAUAAUCUAACGGAUAAAAAAAUGAUUAAAAGGAUAGAUCUAACGGCAAAAAAUUUAGUAGCACCAAGUGCUUAGUACUAUCGAUAACAUUAUAGCCGGACUCUAUGUGUGUGUGCGUGCGCGCAUUCCAUUGCUACCAACAAUUAAUAGUUAGCAAAAUUCAGACUCCAAGUGGUAUUAAUGGUGUUUAGAAUAAUUAGAUUUAACUAAAUCACAACUAUGUUUAAGAUCAUCUCUAAUUUGAUCAAUGAAAAUAACUGAAAAUAAAUAAAUCAAAAGUUAAAGGAUUUGAAUGAAGCCCAAUGCAAUGUUAACUUAGUAUCUAAUUUGCCAUGCUUUCAUGCAUUGGCAUGUGACAUAGAUCAAGUGAAAAGAGCUUUGAACUAAAGAUUACUCUUUUAUGAACAAAUCCAUCAUAAUUUUCAUUAAUGAGUUCACAGACUCUAGUUGUUUCGCGUUCAUUGAUCUACGUAGGCGACUACUACAGUACAAUUUUAUAAAAAUUUGAGUAAUCUAAAACUUUUACUGAAAAAAAUUUAUUUCUUGUCGUACCAAUAAAGAACAAAAAAAAGAGCUUACUUGAUGUGUAAUUUUUGCCGGCACAUAAAUAUUUGGUGUUUUUUUUUUAGAGAAAGGUAGACUUGCUACGUGCUUCAGUCAUAAUAAAUAUGAACUGAGUUACAGAAAUAAGACAACUGGCCCCGAGAAUCAUAAAAGUUCCAAACAAGAGUUGACUAAAAAAAAAAUCAAUUACAUGCUAAGGUAACUUAUGACAGUCUACUAGAAAAUUCUUCCAUUACUUCGCUAGCAAUUUGGCCUUAUUGACUGCCGCCAACGGCUCAGUGUUGAUCCCUCUGAAAAUAAAAUUAUUCCUUUGUGUCCAUAUAACCCACCAGCAAACUACAAAUAAACGUGUUCUCGUCAUCUUUUUCCUGUUACAGUCUUUCCGAGUCGCCCUUUUUCAAACUUUACGAACAUCUUCACUGAGGGUACACCCUAAAUCCCCUUCGCCAAUCAUCACCGUAAGCAUAAAAUAUCUACUGAAAAUACAACCUGUGAAGAUGUGAUCUAUCGUCUCUAAAGAGGAUCUACAGAACACACAAGAUAGGUUCUACGUCCAAUCUUUCUUGGAUAAAUAUUUGAUGUUGAUGUCGUGCAAGUGUAAAACCAACAAAAGUUUCCUUUACGUUCGAAGUAGUAAGAACUUUUUCCCCUUUCUCCGGGGCACUGAGGCAACACAUGAAGGAGACUCUUAUAUAUUCAAAUUAGAGUGAGAAAUUCAACCAUUAAUGUGUGGUGUUUUUCCUUGACUGAGUUCUAUGAAUUGAAACAGUGAGAAACUUGACCAUUGAGCAGUGCUUUUUUUUCCUUGAUUGAGUCCGUAGGUGUUGCUUUCGAUUUAAUUCAUUUCCGAUAUGUAGAAUUUAGGAGUACCAAAUCAAGAGAAAUUUGACACGCAUAGGUUGUUCAGAAUGAAGAUGGCAAUGUAAAAUGAAAAACAUGGAACACGAGUUAUCUACCGAUAAUAUUACUCUACAUGGCAAACAUAGUCAACAUAGUAAUUGCAAGAAAUUCUCUACUUGCUGAGACAGCUUAAUCAAUGAAUGGUGUCUUAUUCAUUUACCUUGUAGAAUGCCUCAAGGGAGAAGAAUCUAGCAACCAAAAGUCAUUAGCUUGACAAGAAAGUAGGAAUGAGAUUUUGUUUACAUUCUAAUGCACAAUUUCAUGCAAAAUGCUUAGAGAUACUCUUGAUAGUUUUCAAGGUAAAAGGAGUAAGAAUUGAAUACGAAUGCUAAAAUCACAAUUCCCUAACAGCUAAAACUUUGAGAGAAAGCAGUUAUUUUAUGUAAAUUUUAUAUACUAUCAGAACAAGAAAUCCUAAGUGGAAAUCCGGCCGGAUCCUUAGUUUUAUUUAAUUUUCUUCCAUAUAAUUUCAGUCCACGUCUUGAACUUUUCAAAACAUCUGAAGGCUAGAUGUAACAGCUAUCAGGCCAUUGGGCUUAUUUAAUUUCUUUUUUCUAUUUAAUUCAAGUCUGAAACAACAAAAUUUUAUGAAACAAGUAAAAUAUUUUUUUAUUAUAAAUAAAAUAUUCUAGUUGUAAUUCCAACCAGAGCUACAAGAAGGUUAGUAAAAAAAAAAAAAAAAAAAAAANUAUUAAGCGCUUGAUGCUACCGAGUUUUUCACCAUUAAAUCUACACCUUUAAUCAUUUUCAUCCAUUAGAUCAUGUUAUUCAACAAACCAUUCGCUCAACCCUAGAAGACUAUUAUCACCUUGAUUGCAUAUCCUUUAAUACAAGGGUCAAAAAUCUAAUAGUAUCAAUAACUUUGUGCUAUUAAUAGUAUUCUACUCUAAUUCAAUAUAUAAUUUAUCAGGUUAAAUGCAUACAGAUACCUGUAAACAUAGUGAUUUGCAAAUAUAUCUUUACAAAGUUCAAUUUUCAUAUAUUAUUCCUGUAAAAAUUCUAAUGUUUUCAAAUAUAUUUUUCUAGUUUGUUACUGUUAGAGAACUAUUUAUAUUUUCAAUUUUGUCAUCACAAAUAUGUCGCUCCAAAAGACACAACAAUAUAAUAUAAGAUGGAUAAAAAUAUCAAGUUAUGUAAUAAACUAACAAGGUUAAGUAUUUAAUAUAUAGUUAAGUAAAUUUUUCUAACGAAUUCUAAUAACAUGAAUUUAUUUAAAAAUAUUAAAAUUUUUACAGAAAUAAUAUAUAAAAAUUUAAUUUUAUCGACAUAUAUUUAUAAAUUAAUAUAUUUGUAGGAACCUAUACACAACUAACCCACAGAUCACCAAAAAAGAUAUUAUUAUGCUAAUAAAUAAUAAAGUGUUGUACAUAGUAGUACUAUGGUGGUCAAGCGUGACAGAUUUUGUUGUUUCCAUUUAAGCCGUUGCAUGCGUAGGAGCCACACACCUGGAGCAAAACAGUUGGUCGACGCCUCAUCACGAAGACUCCUGCGUUCUCCUCCCACAAGAAAAUUAAUUUAAGCAUUCGGUAGUCGGUAGAAGUAGUUAUUUUAAUCACUUAACUCCGCGUGAGAAAAAAAAAAAAAAAAAAAGAGAGUCUCGAGAAGCACUUUUUUCUGCUGUACGGUCAAGCAGAAUUUUUUUUUUUUUUAAAAAAAAUUCUCCACAAGAAGCCAAAAUCAUCCUCACAAGUCGACAUGGCUUAUUUGGACAGUGUGCCGACGAGCAUAGACUGCCGGUGUUGAUCUUGAAAAGGAAAAAAAAAUAUUUCUAAAAUAUCUUCAAUUUUAUCCAAAUUAUAUUUUCAUAAAUAAAAUUAGAUUGGAAUGCUUAGUAAAAGAUUAUUUUUACUAUCAAAUUUCUAACCUUGGGUGAAAAAUUAUAGACUUAGAAUGAUAUUAGUCCCUUAUGAUUGAAUGAUCUUCUAGAAUUGAGUGGUCCCCACUUGGUUAUAAUAUUUAAUUUAGAAAUGAUGAAAAGAGUUGAUCCAAGGCCUAAAAAUUUGAUAGCAAAAAAGAUCUUUUGCUAUCAAUAGUAUUAUAACACAAUUUUUCAUAAAUAUGUAUUCUCGUUAAACAAAAGAUCUAUAAUUGUUAUUCGGGUUGCCGUCGUUGACAUAAAUCAUGUACCAGUCUUUUUAGGUGUCAGAAACGAGUAUUGUGAUGAUAACUCGAUGAAAAUAGAGAUAGUGUGAUGAAUUGCAAUCUAAUCAUUAUUGAGAUUUUAGCGGCGAUUUAAUGUGUACCCUUCAAUAUUUAAUCUAUAUUUUGGGUGAAAUAUUACUAAUAUAUGGAUAGUUUUGAUCAUUUUAUUAAAUUUGAGGAGUUUUUUUAUUUUUUUUAAUCUUGAUUACUUCUGGAGAAUUUCUAUAUAAUUAGGGGUGGGCUUAUAGAAUUAAUCCUAAAUUAUAUCGUGGAAUAAUUUAGAUUAUUCUUGAAAACUUAAAUUAACCCUAAAUUAUAUGUAAUUAGAAUCUUCUGAUCUUUCUCUAACUUAAUAUCAAAUGGAUUUACUCUUUUUUUUAUUUUUUCACCUUUCACUUUCUUAAAGCAUAAAAGUAAAAUCUAUAGAAUCAGAUCUGGAGAUUAAAAAAAAAUAACAACAGAAAAAAAAAAAAAAAGAAAGAAGAAGAAGCAAUUCCAUCUACAUUUAUUUCGAUUUGGCUAUGCAUUUAUACCUGAGCUACCUUUUGUCAUGUAAACCUAUUAUUGUAAUUAACUUAUCGACAUUAUUUUCACUCCUACAUAAAACAUAUUUUCGACGUUAAAAAAAGCCAUUUUUGGAACUAAUAAAACCGAUGUUUCUAAACAUGAUUAGGUAUGAUGAUCGCCAAUAAAACUCGUUAAUCAAAUAAUCGUCUUCGAUUGUCAGAUUUACCCUCAUCAAGUAUUUGAAAACCGUCUAAACAAUUUGAAAUGUUAGACAGAUCUCAGUGAACGAAGUUCUAUUCUUGAAAUGCAAUGAAAAAAGUUGCGAUAGAAUAUUUUACUUUAUGUACUUAUAAAUUUUUUUUUAUUCUGCAUUAAUUGAUUUUCAGCAAAAAAAGCCUCUCCAUCUAUUCAACUUUUUUUGUUUUAGAGAUAGGUAGCACGCUAUCCGUUUCGUUUAUUCAUUUAGAAAUAAACUUAACUAGAAAUGUGAAUCAAUUAGAAUUCAAAUUUAGAUCUCAGAUACCAACCAUCAAACCCUCUCUAUCGAUUCAACUGUUUAUUCGUGAGUUGUAAUUUCUCCCUGCAGAGAUAUUUCGGUACUGAAGCCAACUUUAUCGUUAACGCGUGUAUGUACUUACAUCAAUCAAUUUCGUGUAUUUGAUCCGCAAUCCAGUUGACGAGGUUCAUUGGAAUUUUUAAGGCUGUGGUAUCUUACGCGAACUUCUCUACGAGGACGAGUCCACAGAAGGGAAAGGAGAAUUUUGUAGCAUGUAAAACAAUUUAGAUUCAAAAGAAAAAUCAAAAUUCGUUUCACUAACUAGCAAAUGAAGAUACACUCGCCACCCCUCCUCUCCAACUGCUAUUGCAUAAAGCAUCAUUAAAUACAGAUAUAUAUAUGUACACGAAAAUUAUAUAACUUGGCGCAAGGUUUAUGAGAGAGUUUUUUUUUUUUUUUUUGAAAAAAAAAAGGAAACGGAAAACGAAAACCCCGCACCAAAAAAAAGGGCCCCAAAAUCAAACAAAGCUCUUAAAAUUUGCCAUUUCCGAAAUUCCGAAGGGCGCAAAAGCGCUUUUGGGCCAAGCCGAAGACUAAAAAGGAAGCGCGUUUAGGAGGACCAGCUCCUGAUGAGGGAGGGGCGGGGGCCGAACAUCUGGUCGAGGACGAUGACGAUCGCCAUGGCGAGCGACGCGUCGAGCUCCGGCUGGACGACGAAGCGGAACACGUCGGCGCCGAACGCGGCGCCGCCGUUCGCCGCCGCCUCCUUCCGCCGCACCUCCGCCACCGCCGCCCUCCGCCGCGCGUCGUACACCACGCAGCUCCGCCGCGCGUACGAUCCCUCAAUCUCGAACGCCGCGUCGCCGCCGCCGCCGCCGCCGAAGGGGGUGACGUGCGCUAGGGCUUUGGAGUGGCGGAGGUUCAUGUGCCGCUUCACGGAGUAGAGGGGGCGAAUCGUCUCCUCCCCGUCGUAGAUCACCCAGUGAUCCCCCAAACUCAGCCUCUGCAUCGCAAAAUCCACAGGGAUCGGGUUAGGUUCCGGCGAUCGCCGAGAGCCGAAUCCGCCGCGAAAUGCGGCAGAUCUAACGCUUUAAGCCGAUCGAGAGAUCGGGGGAUCGGAUCGCUUACCUUUCGCCGGAUCGUGAGCAGGGCCUUCCCCGCGGCGUCCAUGAGCACGACCUCCCCCUUGGCGCCCGAUCCGUAGUUGUCGACUCGGUACACGAGGUUCCCCUUCGCGUCGAACACCGUGAACCCGCUGCAGUUGAAGAGGAGCGACUUCGUCCACACCGUGAGCGCCGCCGCCUCCUCCCGCCGCCCCUCCCCGCCGCCGCAGCACGCGGCGGAGCUCGUAGAGAGAUCGAGCGCCGGGGACGCCGCGUUGGGGUACACCUUCGUCAUCGACCUCAACAAUGGUGCGAAUCCGCAAACUCUACUACAGAGGAAGAGGAAGAGGAAGAAGAAGAGGAGGAGAUCGAAGAAGCGCUUCUUCUCACCACACCGCCUUGUUCAACUGAUUAAGAGUUCUACGCCACGGUGCUUCAUAUAUACCCGUCGCAUGGACGAAAAUACCCCUGGAAAGUCCCACAAUCCCCGCUGAGCCUCUCACGUGCGAGGCGUGGCGGUGGUGACGUGGCCACUGGCCACGGGGUUAAGAAUUCCCGGCUUCGGAAGGUAAUUAAUUAGUUCAGAUUUAAUUAACCGCUAUAAUAAUUAUUAAUAAUAUCGUCGGAUUAUAUUAUAUUUAAGAUUAAACACUUAAUUUUUUAUUUCCGGGGUGAGAAUCGUGAGGGACACGUGGCGGCGGGAAAGUGACGCGAAGGGUUUAAAAAAAUGGGAGCGAGAUAAGCGUCGGGUCCCUUGGGCGGUUGGGUGGGGUUUUCGCAUCAUAAUUGUGCUUCUCUUGGAGCCACUCGCGUAGAAGAAUAAUGGGAUUAAAAUUAAUAAAUUAAGGUUGUGCGGAACAUAGAAAUUAAUUAUAUAAUAAUAUAACAGAGUGGACUAUGUCCCCAAUACCAAAUGUUUAUUUUACUUGCUCUUAAGUAUUAUUUUAAAGUAGAUUUAAAGGCAAGUUUUAUUUGCCACAAACAAUAGGGAUUAAAGUUCGGAGACGGGUAGUGUCAAAAACUUAUUCGCAUGGCAUGACACAGUAUGGUAUAUGCGUGUCUUAUCGUGCUAAUAUACAUCGAUUAUAAUGAUAUUUUUGUACUGAUAUAUUAUGACAUAAAACGUAUAAAUUUUAUAAUCUCAAUAUAUUUUAAUUAUUUAUUAUAUUAUUUUUAUUAAAUUUUUUAUAUUUUAUUACAAUAAAUAUUUACUAAUGAAAAAGAAAGUGAAUGUUGAGGUGUCCCUCUGGCACGAGAGUUGUAUAGUGCCAAUAUUCUAUUGGCAAAAUACGACACAUCAUACAUGGACAAAUCAUAAGUUAAUUGUAUAUAAAAGAUAGAUAAGAUUGAUUUGCAAAUGAAUUAGAAGUUUUAUUCUAUUUGUAUGUAAAAUUAAAAUAUGUGAAGUGUUACGCAAUCAACUUUGAUUGCUUUAUGAUUUGACCCACAUAGUGUGGCGGUUACAUAGAUUUAGUCAGUAAUAUAUUAAUAUUCCAAUUUGAUUUGUAUUGUGAUUAUAAAAUUACUAAUUUCGUAGAGUUAUUAUUCGAAGAAAUCCCAAAAAAAAAUUCAUAGUAAAAACCCUUCUAUAUAUAUUUCUUUCACUUAAAUGAGACUAAAAUUUUUUAAAUAAUCGAUCGUAGUUUAAUAUUCAGAAGUUUAUUUUAGUUUUUAUGGCACGUCAUUUUCUUCUUGCCUAAGAACCUAUUUUAGAAGUCAUGCCAAAUAGGGUGUUAGGUUCUAAUUGCUAAAAGAGGUAAUCACUUGUUUAACUACUUAAUGACUCGUCAAACAUAGUUAAUAAAUUAAUGUAACCGCAGAUUUAACAGGUUAUUAUAUAUUGUCAAUCAUGGUUUAUUUUUAACACUAGGGUUGUAAAAUUUUCUCCUUGACUAUUCCUAACGUUUUAUCUAAUAUCUUAUUUUUAGAAAUCUCUGCCAUUUUUAUAUUGUUAACGCUAACAAUAUUUGUCACGUCAUUAUCAAAUUUUGUCAUAUGAUAAACUAGAUAAAAUUAGAACUCUAUGGUACAAUUAAACUUAUAAUAUUUUAAGGGUUAAUUGCAUAUUGUUCUCUGUAAAUAUAUGCGAAUAGCAGAUAUAUCUCUAAAAAGGUUCAACUUUUUAUAUUUAUUUCUAUAAAAGUCUUAAUAUUUUCAAAUAUAUUCCUCCUGAUAGGAUUUGUUAGAAAAUAUAAAAAAUUAACUAUAGGUAAAAUACUUAACCCUGAUUAAUUAGUGAAUGAGAUUUAAUUGAUCUUUUUAUCUCUCUUAUAUUAUUUUGAUGGUAGAAAAAAAGAAGAUGGCCGUUGAAAAUUUUUUGAAGAAUAUUUCUUCAUAAUUUUAACAGUUGGGACUUUUAGAGAGACAUAUUUAUGAUGACGAAAAUGUCAUUUCACUUAUCAUCUGUAAAAAAAUAAAUCGUACUUUAAUGAUAUGAUAAUUAUUGGACUUUUGUAGGGACAAAUAUGAAAAAUUAAACUUUAAAGGAAUAUAUUUGUUAAUCAAUAUGCUUACAGCGAGUUGUAUGAAAUUAAUCUUAUACUAUUUUAAUAUAGUUUAGUGAAAAAGUGCAUCAAUAGUCGUGCAUGCACGCACCCCACAUAUAUUACUGUGGUCAAAUUAUGACACAUGGAAUAGUUUCACUAGAUUAGCAACUUUUGAGUUAAUCUUUUGCUGUGGUACUUUUAUAGGGAUUAAUUUUAAUUUCUAAUUUUUAAUAAUACAAGUGAUCCGAGUUCAACAAAAGUGUAACGUUGAGGCCCUUUGUGUUGGUCGGCUUGCCAUGAUCAAAAGGAAUCAUAAUGUCCACAUCUUCAUCAUUUUAUCAUCCACUCACAAUCUCUCUUUUUAAAUGAAACUUAACCAGUUGAUUAUUAAUACUUCAUCAUGUUAAACAUGAAUUAAGCUCAAUGCAACAACAAUAAAAGGUUGAAAUUAAGUAAAGAUUAACCUUGUAUCCCCUUAAUUUGUUAGGUAUUUUGGAUCGGUUGCACAUUGCGGGUCAACCCAAAUCUGAACUCGGACCAAUAGUGGAUCUGAUUUGUUCAAAUCCGGUAAAAAUCCAAUAUGAAAAAGAAGUGGCAAAGGCAUGAUUCUAAGGAAUAGGAAUGGUUGUGCUAUGAUAGUACUACGAUUUUAUGUACCGUCGGCUGUUAAAAGAUGAUGACCGUAUUUGAUUUAGUCAGAGCUUUCGUUCUCAGAAAUAGCUUUUUGCGCAGUUGUGCGUCUAAAGCACAAACACAACUAUAAGGCUGGAUUGGCGCGAUAUAUCUUUUCUCUCUCUCUCUCUCUCUCUCUCUCUCUUUUUUCUUUCUGCAAUACAUCAAUUUCACGUUGUCCAUUCUCUAUGAACUCUUUUCGAUGACUCGGCACGAAUGAGAGGCUCUUUAGCGGCGGAUCCAAGACAGUCCCUCUAGUGUGAUCUCCUUUUCAAAAUUUUCUUUUUGAUUAGAUGGAUUUUAUCUUCUUCUGAGAUUUGAGGAAUAGGGUAAGAGGUUUGGUCCAAUUCCCAUACAUUGGGCAUGUAUUUAACACCCUUGGAUAAUGAUUCGCUUUAUUUGUUAAAUAUAAUGAACUUACAUGUUAUUUUUUUGGCAUCUUAAAUUUUUUGGAGAAAUUGGUAGUUUCGUGAUAAAAAAAAAAAAAACCAUAGAUUUUUAAUUGGCACUUAAAUAGUUAUAUCACAUAUAUAACUAUUCAAUCGAGGUAACGAUUUUUUUUUUUGGGGGGAAAGAAAAACUCUGUGAAAAGAUAUUGCUACAUCUAAAUUAUAAUUAUUUUUUCGACAUUUCAUUGGAGCAAAAAGCUCCUGAUAAGAUUAGGCAACUGCAUUUUUUUUUGUGCCCAUCAUUUUCAUGAGUAGGGGUUCAAAAAGAGGCACGUUGACUGUGGGGGCUCACUACUCAUAUAUGCUAAUAAUAAAGGUGUACAUAGCAUGUUAACAUGAUCUUAUCACAAAGUAAUCUUCAAUUUGGCCAAGCAACCCACGCUGUGCCGUUCCUGCCCUUUUCCACACACAAACACACAAAAAAAAAAAAGAAAAAAAAAAGAAAGCUAUUCUUAUCUGCACGCAUCCCAUGCAAAAAAUGGGACGAAACUUAAAUUGUGAGCUUUUCCAGCAAUUUCGUAUUAAAUUAUAUGAAACAAUCGUUGUGAAAUAUGUUCAACAUUCAUGCCUAAGGUAGAAACACUUUAGUAGGUCCAAGACGUGGACUUAAAUUGAGUGAAAGAAAAUCAAUACUGUUAUGACCCAGCAUAUACCUUCUACUCUGAUAUUAUGUUUAAUUAUAUAAAAUAACCGUUAGUUUCUAAAUACUUAUGCCGUUAAAGAACGGUAUUUUAAUAUUUUUAUAUUCAACACUCUAUUGUUGUCAUCUAUCUAAUCAGCAUGUAUCUCAAAUAAACAACUAACAGGAUUCGGUAAGAAAACUCAAUUCGCUUUAUUAAUUGUGAAUUCAUUAUUUAAAGAGAAAUGCUAAGUCUACAAUCUGUAUCUUUGUUUUCGGUCUAGUUUUUUCGGCUUUGCCUUAGAGCCUGAUGCUUGUCGAUAGGACAUGUUAAAAAUAUAGUUCAAUAUUGAUAGCUAGAAAUAAGAAUGUUGUUUACAUAUACUGUUGAAAUUUUUUUCACCUCUAUAUAUAUAUUAGAGGAAGUUUUUGAGUUAGUAAGGACCUUGAAGCAACAUUACAAGACUAUUUAGAUGCAUAUUAGCUGAAAUUGUGCUGCAGUUUUAACUGCAUGUAGGACCGAUAAGGUACGUGAUUUGUUUCCUUUGGAUCUUACUGUUGUCGUUGAAACUACACUAAAAGACUCAUAUGCAGUAAUUGAAAUAAUGCCUAAAUUGGCCAGAAUUCAAACUACAGCAAUUAGAGAUAAACUUAUCUACCUAUUCACUUUUAAUAUAUAUAUAUAGAGAGAGAGAGAGAGAGUGAGAGAGAGAGGGGGGAGAGAGAGAGAUAGAGAGAGAGUAGGGCUACUAUACUCUAAUGAGUAUAAAGCCUUUUAUACUCAUGAGUUGUUUUCGAUAAUGGAGCUUCCGAAUCGACAAUCCACUCCGUUAAAUAUAAUUUAGAGUAUUUGAAACUUCUAAAAAAUAAAUUUUAUAAUUUUUCAAAAUCAUAAUAAAAUCUAUCAAGCAGGCCUAAAAUGAACGGUCAAAAUUGAACUACGUCCUAAAAAUAGAUGAUCGGAUCCUUCAAUUUUGAGAUCGGAGUUAUUAAUCAUUAUCUAGGUAGUGAAUAUAAUUUUCGAUAAAAAAUUCAACAUAUUUCAAUUCUUUUACACCGUUAAACUAGUAAGUAUUCUAUAUCGGCUAUUAAAAAUUAUCAAUUUUGUGACUUUUUUAUCGUAAGAUAAAUAAUGUCGAAAAAUUAUAAAAUUUGAUUUCUAGAUAUUUUAAAUAUUUUAGAUAAUGUUUAACGGUAUAGAUCAUCGAUUUGGAAGCUCUAUCAUCGAAAACGACUUAUGAGUACGAGGGCUAUCGUAUUCAUAAGAAUAUAAUAGCUGAAUUCUCUCUCUCUCUCUCUCUCUCUCUCUCUCUCUCUCUCUCUCUCUCUCUCUAUAUAUAUAUAUAUAUAUAUAUAUAUAUAUAU
rnacentral:lncRNA from 1 species